UUUUUUUUUUUUUUUUUUUUAAGUGUUAAGUACUAAGCAGGUUUCAUUCUACACUUGAACUUUACCAACAUAACUUAAUUUAAGUUAUGAUAAUAAUAAAUUUUCUAAAAGUUAUACACAAAACAUGGAAUGAUAAAUAUAAUUAAAAUAUCAUAAUUCACCACAAGUUUUCAUAAAUUCAUUAUAAACAUAAAUAGAUACAAUCCAAAUGUGCACCAAUUAUCACAAAUAAAAACACAAAAAAUAAAUAAAUUAAAUAUUGAAAUUCUUUUACAACCCUUAAAAAAAUUCAUAAAAGAGUUCAAGUUAAGACAAACUAUUUGAAUAGCAAACUUUUAUCAGUGGCAUGAUAAGCAACCACACCACCUUCACAAUUUCAUCAACUUAAGCUGAAAAAGUUAAAAUUUUAUUAUAAAAAUAUAAAUCUAAUUGCUCAAACUAAAAAAAACUAAAAAUUUUUGAAAAACAAAUAUACAGUUAAACACAUAAAAAAUUAAUUGCUACUAAACAUUACUAAUUAACAUGUUAUAUUAAAUUCAAUGAUCCUAUACCAUUAAUUAUUUUAAAUUCAAUUAUCAAUAGCUUCGAUUAUGUGCCAACUACCAUAUUUUUGACCAACCCAAUGUUAUUAUUUGUAAUUCCUACCCAAUUCCUACACGGAUGUGCACUACUUUUGUAAAAAUUUCAUCCUUAAUUAAUCGAAUAAAAAUAAAACAAAAAUGAGGGAAACAUAUGAAAAUUGAGGGGAAAAAGAAGAAAAUGCAAAAAAUCAACUAAAGAUAAUAAUAUAGAAAAAAACCUUGAAAAGAAAAAAAUUAAACUUACUAAAAUGUUGGAAAACAAGAAAAGUUGAAAUUUUCAACUUGUUUACAAUCUGCUAAAGAUAAUAACCUAAUAAUAAUGGUGAAGACUUGAGAAAAUCUUGUUGUGGAUAUUUGGGUUAAAAAUGGUUAAGAAGAAAAAAUUGAAAAAAAAAAUAAGAGAAGAACUUGAUGUUUUAAUAUAUUUUUUAGUCAAGUAGAAUUCUCAACAAACUUAAGUACAGUCUAGCAGUAAGAUUGUCAUAUUUAAACUUGGAGACCUAGGUUCGAAUCUUAGCUACACCAUUCUUGAUAUUUUAUUGAAAAAUUUAAAAAAUCGCCGGUUCACGGUUCUUAACGGUUCGCACGGUUCGCACGGUUCGUUCGGGUUUCAACGGUUCUCCAUGAACUUCCGGCUUUAACAUUAGACCGGACCGGUGACAUGGCCGGUUCGCGGUCCAACCGGUCGAAUCGGCCGGUCCGGUCCGGUUCUGAAAACAUUGGUUUUGGUCUGAGGCUCUUUUCGUCGGCCUGGGGCUCCUUUUGUUUCGUCGGCCCUCGUGCUCCUCGCAUGCCAGGCUUUUUUUUCGUCAGCCCUCGUGCUACUCACGUGCCAGAAUUCAAGACCUGGUUCUGCUGAGUCAUUCUCCUCAACGGACAGUUGUAAAAAUUUAUCACUCUUGUUUUUUUCUCCGCUCCACUCCACCUCUGCUCUCCACUCCAGACGUCUACAUGUACUUGCUCUCUAGGGUUUUUCUUAAAUUUCCGCUGCUUGCCCCUCUCUUUCUUCCCCUUCUCCUUUGCCUCAGCUUCAUCCUCAGAAUCUCCGCCGCCUCUACUUCGUUUCCUCCUCUCCAAAACAUUCGAUCUCUCAUUUCUUCUUCAUUCUUUUGCAUUUCUUCCCAUUCUCCUGGUUUUGUGUUAAAACCUUCUUUGCAUUGAAUUUUUUUCAUUUUUUUUGGGUUGCAGUUGGAAUGAUUUUUAAUUUCUGGACUCUUAUGCUCCAUCUAAGAUAGAGUUGGUAGCGCAGAAUCAUCUUUCCCCGCUUGCUCUGUUCUUGCAGGUAAGAAUCGCGGCCAUUAGAAUCGUGUUCUUGAACUCCGACAACUGGUUGCUGAACCCACUGUGAGGUGCGUACCAGAGGAACUUUUCUCCCCUGAAUUCUUCUGAACUUGUGCAUUGUGGAGGAACGGGGACUUGUUCGAAAUUACCUGAAAUUGAAAGCACGGAUGGGGGAAGCAGGCGCUUCUACGUAAUGAAAAAAAUACGAGAGCAAGAAAGAAGGACAAAAAGUGCGAAGGAUUUUGAUUUGGGACGCUGAUUUUGAUUCUCUCUUUUUCUCCACUUGUUGCUUCUGAUGGGAUUCAGUGGUUCCAUAUUUCCUCUUAGCAAGAAUCAAAAGGUUUUGGAUUGGUCGUUAGUUAGCUGUUCAUAAAUUCACAUAAGUCGCAAUGAAGUAGUACUACAUUGGAUCAGAAAAGAACUGUCAAGUUCUAAAAUUAUACUAUAAUUUUGGUUCCAUUGUCUUUUUUAAGGUACCACCUUCUUUGUUCUGAUGUUUUUUCCUAUUUUUUCUAUUUCCCUUGUUCGAGCUUUUGUGGAUUAGCCUAUAUUUUCAAAGGGAAAAGUGAAGAUUGAAUCCAUAUUGCGAGCUACUGAGUUGCGGCACAUUAAAUUGAACACGGUUGCAUAUAAUUCUGCGAUUGGAAGUUACAUGAAUUUUGGGGACUUUGAUAAAGCAAUAAUGGUAUAUGGGUCGAUGAGGAAACAUAAUGUUAAACCCGAUUCUGUCACUUACAAUGUGUUGAUAAGUGGUUGCUGUAAGAUGUCAAAGUUCUCUAAUGCACUUGAAUUUCUCAAUGAAAUGUUGGACCUCAAAGUUCCAUUAUAUGUAUUCAUCUGCUAUAUGUGCCUAUAGUAAACAGGCAAGGACUAUCGAUUUGUGACUACUGUCCCUGUAAUUAGAUUCUUCCAUACUUAAAUCUCUCUCUCUCUCUCUCAGGGUCAACUUGCUGGAGCAGAAUCAAUGUUUUCCAUGAUGAAGAUGACUGGUUUUCAUCCUGAUGUUGUCACAUAUACUGCUAUGCUACAUGCAUAUAGUGUUGCUGGUAAAAUCCUAUGUCGGACUAUUUCAUAUAUGCUGGCUUAAAAUUACUGAUAUUAAGAAGCUCAAACUGAAUGUCUUGUGGAAAUUCCAUAUGCAGAUGACUGGGAGAAAGCUUUUGCAAUAUUUCAAGAAAUGGAAUUGCAUGGUGUCCAGCAAUUCAAGGAGUGGUUUUGUAAAUGAAGCAAAGCUCCUCCCGGAACUGAGCCCAAUAAAAUUCUUUCCUUUGUUGGAAUGCAUAUGGAUGUUGUUACUGCCAACCCUUCUGACUGGGUAACAAAUUUUGAACUUUUAGCUUUUUUGAGUAAUUUAUUUGUAAUCUGAUUAUACAUUUUGGCAUUUUUCUUACAUUCUGAUGAUUGGUUUUGUCUUGUGUUUGAUUGGAACUGAUCGUAAAUUUGUUUUGUGCUGUGAGUUUGCCAGAAUGAGGACAAAAGAAAAUGGUAUAUGUUAAUUGGGUUUUCUUACUUUAAGUUUGCAACUCUCUCUCUAUUCUGAAAAAAAAAAUUGUUUUAAUUGAUGAUGAAAGGGGUUUCUUUGAUUGGAAGUUUAAAUUUGAUGGUGCAAGGUUUAAAGUUGGAGACUUUUUGUGUUUUUAUACACUGGCAAUAUUUUUCUGAAUCUUUUCAUUGUUAUUAUGGUUAGAUCUCGCUGUUGCAUGUACAAUGCUACAAACAUAUCCAUUUUCCCCAGGAAUUUGAACCUCGUAUGGAAAUUGCAGUUUUGCAAUGACGAGCUAUGGAACUUAGUUAAUUUUUGGUAGAUAUUGAAUGUAUGCAAGUCUUAUUUUACAGUAGCUGCGAAUUUGUAGUCUAAGGAUGUUCACUAUAAGAAAAUUAAAUCUUGAGUCCUAAAUUGGUACCUUAAUGAAAAUUUUUGGCUCUCUGUAUUGUUUUAUGAGGCCCGUGCUAUGAUUUGGGGUAAUGAGUUCAUUAGCCUUACUAACUAAUGGGUAUCUCAUUCUGUUGUUGCAAAUAUUGUAUUCCAUCAAAACAAAAGUACUUCAGCUCGUAACUUAUAUUUAAAGUAUUUAAAGCGAUUUAACCAGCUAUUUCUUAAUUCGAGGGCAUGAUUAUGGAAUUUAGCUAGAACCUGUCAUUGUAAUUAUCUUUUUCCAAGGUUUCAAGGAAGUAAAUAGAGGGAUUGGAAACAAACUAAGUUUGAGUUCUGCUCUUUGACCUGGGUAUAAAUUUUUGUCUCCUCAGUAUUCAAGUGUUUUGUAUUUAGAGUCUAAGACAAUAUCUAUGCCUCAGAAUUUUGAUCCUUUUUCGCUGAGCAUUGAUGGGGAUAAACUACGGGGACGUGGAACUACUGAUUGCCUUGGGCAUGUCGCUCUUGUAGCUGAACUUAUGAAGAAACUGGGAGAGACAAAGCCACAGCUAAAGUCCUCUGUUGUUGCUGUUUUUAUAGCCAGUGAAGAGAAUUCAUCUAUUCCUGGGGUUGGUGUGGAUGCAUUGGUUAAGGAUGGAUUGCUCGAUAAGUUGAAACAAGGGCCUUUGUAAGGACAUAAAAGUAGUAUUUAAGUAUGAGAAUCUUUUAUUGGUUAAUUGGUUAUGUUUAAAUUGUUUGGCAUUUGGUUAAUGGUUUAUGUGUUUGAAAACAGAUUUUGGAUAGAUACAGCGGAUAAACAGCCUUGCAUUGGGACAGGUGGCACUCCAUGUUACCGGAAAGCUUUUCCACAGUGGUUUGCCCCAUAAGGUGCUUUUUGGCUUUCUGUUGUCUCAUAUCAGCUGCACUAAUUCUUGGUGUAAAACUCACAUGUGCAGGAAAGAGAUACUGUCACUUUCUUAGUUGUGUCACCAGGCAGGCAGUUCAUAUUAUGACAAAGAUCAAGUAAUUAAAGUAACCAUUUUUCUGGAAUGAUGAAACUAAACUAAAAGAGAUGCAUCAAAAAAAAAUUUAACUUUGCAAGCACAAAAAAUACAUUUAAUAUUAUUUCCUCUUGAAUUAAAUUAUUUAUGCAGAAACAACUGCAUUUGAAGUAUUCUUAUUUUCACGGAUAAAUCCUUGUAAGUGAUCACAGUGCACCAAAAAUAAAUGGGAUGGGCUUGGCUGUAGAUGAAUAAAUGUUACGAUAAUUUAGCUGGACAAUAACUUGGAAGGAUUGAAGAGGAAUACUGCUGCAAGUUCAUGCACAUUAAGAAUGCUCCAUUACUGGGAAGAACCUGUGAAUGUGUUCCAUUUAGUAGUUUUCUUUUUCUGUAGGCUAUUAAUCCCUUGGAGCUAGCAAUGGAAGCACUCAAAGAGAUCCAAUUACGGUUCUAUAAAGAUUUCCUUCCUCAUCCUAAGGAACAAGUUUAUGGAUUUGCAACACCAUCAACAAUGAAACCAACUCAAUGGUCUUGUAAGUCUUGAUCACAUUGUGGAAGAACUCGGACGAGUGUGAUAUUUGACUUGUCAUAAGCAGCCAAUCGAAUUCCAUGUUUCUGAAUAAGCAUUUUAUAUUACAGAUCCAGGUGGUGGAAUUAACCAAAUUCCAGCUGAAUGUACAAUUUCAGGGGAUGUUAGGUAUAUAUUUCUUUAUAUAUUCUUGUUUAGGAACUUGAACUUCUAAACCCUUCUAACAAUGCCUCUUUACUUUUGCAGGUUGACUCCAUUUUACAGGUGGAAAUUUUUUCCUUUUUUCUCCUUACUAAAUUGUGGAUGAUUUAAUUUAUCAGAUUAUGAUAUUUCACAAUUAAUUCCUUUGCCCUCUUCAUUUUUAUGUUUUAGGCUUAAACUAAUUAUCUUCCUGUACUUAGUCUGCUGUAGCUUUACCAGUUGAGUUUAGAAGGAUAUUCAGGUAACAAUUCAAAAGUUUGACAUUAUAUAUUAUUCACUUGUCAACAGUGUAUCAGAUGUGCUGAAGAAGUUACAGGAGUAUGUAGAAGACAUAAAUGAAAAUAUUGAGAAGCUUGAUACUAGGGACCCUGUUUCAAAAUAUGUGCUACCAGAUGAAAACCUAAGGGGAAGGUAUGCCUUUGUUGACUGCUUUGUUUAGUAGGAGCAUGCUGAGUGGUUGUUGCUUUCACUUUAAAUUUGGUAGGAAUGUAAAAGGGGAUUGUAGUUUGUCAAAUUGAAAAUCAUUUAUCCACUAAUUCAAGAAAAUUUUGAUAUACAGAGAAGAAGUAUGCAUAAGGUAAUUACACAUCCUAAGAUUAUAAUCACUGCAAGAAACCAUAUUAGGCCCAACAGUCAACAAUAUAAUGCAAAUGUUUUUUGUAAACUGACAGAAAAGUUAAAAUUGUCCCUGGAUACAAUCUAUGAAUAUGGGAUAAAUUCUACAUUUUAGAUCUUGAACUAAGACUUCUCUGUUGUAAAUGGUCUUUCAUUAUACUCAAAGCCACAUGCUUCAUCUGGGACUAGGAGGGAUCACAGAACCAAAGCUCCCUUGUUUUCUACAGUUUCUACUUCUUAUCUUUCCACUUUCCCAGAAGUUUAAUUGAGUAUGCUCUUUCAAAGUUCAAAUAAACAGAAAAGAAAGUCCCACAUCUUUCUUGCAAACUGCAAAGCAUUUCAUCGAAGGAUAUUUAGGUUUGGGCUUCCUGUCAUAGACAAGCUUCAUCAUGUUAGGGGUUCUCUUUUAUCUUUUUCCUUGGGAGUUGGAAUGGGCAGCACUGAUGGCAAACAACAUAAGGGAAAAAAAUGCCGAUGUCAUGAGAACUUUUGUUUCCACAUAGGGGAUGGAACAGCCUUCCACUAAUAAAGACAUUCCUUGAUCAAGUAUUUAUGUUGUGAAUUGCAUUGCACCCUGAGAUUAUAAUUUCAAGCAUGGAAGUAGGGUGAUGGUCCUAUGGAAUCAGUUUUCUUUGCAUAUCAGUACAGUACUCAUUGUGUAAUAUUCAGUUUUACAAUUUAUUUACCCUCAGAAUCACACUAAGUUUCAACGAGGCAAAUUCUGGAGUUGCUUGCAAUCUUCAAUCCCCUGGUUUCCAUGUCCUAUGUAAAGCAACUGAAGCGGCAGUGGUGCAUGUAAAGCCCUAUUCUAUUACUGGUAGUUUGCCACUUAUUAUAGAAUUGCAGGUACAAUGAAUUUGCUUGUCAUAAGACUCAAAUCUUUUGGUAUCCUUCUAACUUUGUUAUUUGGCAGGAUAAGGGCUUUGAUGUCCAAACUGCAGGCUAUGGUAAGAUUCUUCCAUAUCCUACCACUUUUUUUAUUUAAAUAAUAUAAGCUUAUAGCUGUAUGCUUCUGGUAGUAUUUUGUGAAAAAGAUGUUUUGGUCUGCAUUAGGAUUUUUCCUAGAGCUUGGUUGCUUGAAUCCUUUCUUGAGCAUGUUACUUGCCAGUUAUACCAUUCUUCUUAUCUUAGAAGGAACUCGAUGAAAGCAUGUUAAGAUUCUGUCUUCUUGAUAAUUAUUUCUUCUAUAUGGCUAACACCUAACCUGGUUGACGUCUUCUAUACCCAUUCUGAUGCAAAAGAUAUAUAUGCAGCUGUCAAUUUUGGCUACACCAAAACAGAUGGAUUAAUGGAUUUUGCUCUUUUCAUAAACAUGCAGGCUUGAUGGCUACAUACCAUGCCAAGAAUGAAUACUGCCUUCUAACUGACUUGUGCCAGGGCUAUCAUGUGCCUUGGCUAUCAAGUACCAAGGCCUUGGCUAUCAUGUGCCUUGUGCCCAUGUCAUGAUAAUAAUAACGAAUAAAAUUCAUGACUUUUCAUUAUUGAUGUGAAUGUCAGAUGAUGGAAUAGUGGUAAAGGUGAGGUUAUUUUCUUUUAAUGUGUAGGAAGUUCCACGAAUGGUUGGUGGGCUUGUUAAGACUAUAUUUUUUUGCAUGUGGGAUAUUCUUUUGUAUAUUUUCUAGCAUGUAGGAUAUUCUUUUGUGACUUGUGAGAAAGUCGUGGUAAUUGUUAUGUUUCAUAUGAAUAGUUUCCAUAUUUUAGUUAUUCCUAUCUGACACAUAUGGCUCACUCAUUGCCAAGUCUUGGAAAUUUUUUGCAUGGGAGCACCAUUGAUGGUAAUAAAUGGAAAAAAAAAUAACAAUCAUAGGUGCAGAAAUGGUAUAAUGGUAAGGUUUCUUACACAAAUUGAAAAAAAAAAUGAAAGAAAAUGAUAGGGAUGAAAAAAUAUAAAGGACUUUAUGAACUUUGUGUUUCUAUAGCCAUUUGAUAUUCACACACAGAUUAUUGCUUCAUUUUGAAACAGGUUGCAAAGGAGGGAAUUCCACUGCCUCCAGAUAGAAUGUUAUGCCCUCUGCAUUCACAAAAGCGUGUAAAUCCAUCAGCUGUAGCUGUUUCAGGAUUUGUCUUUUGUUAUUCUUGCAUAUUUAAAUAAGUCUCUUAGGUUUGUUUCUCCAUACUUUUGUAUUGAUCAUGGUAAAAUUGCAGAACUACUGCCAAAUAUUGUUUCUAAGUGAUGCUUUCUCUUAUGUCGCAUUUCAGGAAGCUUUUAUCAUUUUUCUAUAUAGUGUACGCUAAACUUAAACAGUAAAUUGUACACUGUAGCCAGAAAUUCAAUUUUGCAACUAAUUCUUUUGUUUAAUCAUACUAGCAGUUGCUUGUUACCCCAGUUCAGUUACAUGAGAUUUGCCAUUUUUAGUUACAAUUCGAUAUUGUUUUGAGUUGCUGAUGGGCUGGGAUGCUAGGCUAUCUAGAUCCAUGUCUAUCUUUGUUGUUGUAAACUACUGCAGUAUCUCUGAUGAAAAAUUAUCUGAGUGUUCUCUCUUUUGGUCAAAAUUUUCUGUAGUAGGAUAUUUUGUCGUAUAUCAUUUACUUUCAGGUUCCAAUUCUUUUAUGAACAAGACUGUUAGGUCCUUUUCCUUUUCUUCCUUUUUUGGUCGAAUUAAUGAAUGGAAGAUUGUAAUCGCAUGAAUAUUUUACAUUGUGAUAUCUACUCAAGUUAAUGCAUUCUAAGAGCAUUUGCCAAUCUUUGGGCUGACCAUCCUUUGUUGUUGUUGUAUUCAAUCGAAAAGGCAUCGAAAAAAUGUAUCCAUGGCAUUUUAAUUUUCACCUUCAGCUCAAUUAGGCCAUUAUUAAUCUGGUACAUUUCAGUAAUGUAUCAGUAAUCUGGCAUUUUACUGUAUCAGUAAUCUUCCAUGUUUUAAUGCUUCUUUUCAAAUGCAAUGUAAGGUUAUUCCCCGUUUUCUCCAGUAGUAUCUUCUUGAGGAAUUUAUCCGUCUUUCCUACAACUGUUUCUGCAGCGAUGGAUAAGUUUUAGUUGCUUUCAAUUACUUUGUGAAAUUACAUCAGAAGCCACGGGUGAUGAAUCUAAAAAGAUAUAGCAUCAACUUACAAAGCUUCAACCUGCAAGUUAUUAGGUUUUCUGAAAAUGUAGAGAAUACCUCGCUUUAUAGUUUGUGAUUUUACUAUCCAGUGCAGCAGCCAGGUACAUUAUCAUCAUCGUUGCCAAAUUCAUGUAAUGCAAUGGAUUUGAAGUCUUUGCAUUUCCUUGAAGUUUAAUGGACUUUUGGAUUAUCAACCUUAAUCUAUAUAGCUCAGUGAUAUUUUUCCCUCUGUCAACUGCCAUACAUAUUCAUACUGAUAUACAAAAAAAAAAAAAAAAAAGAACUUGCGUGCAAUGUUGGAUAAAAGAAGAAUGCACCAAAAUUCAAUCACUCCCUUAAUUCGCAUUCGCAUAUUUGGCAGGGCAUAUUAUCUUUAGUCACCUACGCGCAUCGCGCGUUUUAUACCUCCUAGUUGACCAUAAAACUCUAAGAUUUAAGUAGUGUGUGGGAAAGUGAAGGAAAGUUGGUUGCUUUUUGUUUCCUUUCAUGUAUGUUUGGUUACCAAGAAUGUCGAAACAUUUUCUUGCACUUUUCUUCACUUUCUUGCAGCUUGAAUCCUGCAAAAUUUACGGGAUGAAUUUUGAAGGAAAAUAGGUCAAGUUAGAUACAAAAUUUCAACAACUGCUACUAACUAUUAUCACUAACUUCCCAUUUUUCGCUCAAAAUUUUUCUUGCUAACCAAACAUAUAAUCUGAAAAAUAAUUUUCAUUUUUCUUCAUCUCACCUUCUUACCCUUUACUUUCCCACACAACUUUCCUUCUACUCACUCAAACAGAUUUGAUUUGGUCCUCUAAAUGCAGGAGUUACCCAAUAAAUGCCUAUGAUGAACUCCAUCAGGAUCGUCGUGCUCAACCUUGAUGGGCUUGUAAGGUCUGUUUAGCCGAUGAAGCUUGGGCCUUAGUCUGCAAUUCUAGCUUGCUGGGCUGGAUAAUGCUGAUGAACGUUGUUCUUGCAUUGCAAUCGUGGGAAAAAAAAUAAAAAAAAAAUUAAGGAGAACGGGCAAAAUGAUUUUGUAAAUGAGAUAUAUAUAUAUAUUUUUGGGAAGGAGUAAAUGAGAUUCACUUGAGUGAAGAUGUCUCGGUUAUUAAUCAGAUCCAAAUUCUCCAUUACAUUGAUAUAUUUUCUGUAUAUAUUUCUCGUAGCAUAGCAAUGAAUUAAAAUGCGACAUGUUGAAUUAUAGGUGUACUCCAGUGAUGAAAACUUUAGGUAGUGGGGUUUUUAAAAAUUGUUUUUGAUAAACAAAAAAUAAUUAUUUCAUGGAUUUGAAAAGUUGUCAGCAAAUGACGGCAACUGCAAAUUUCAGAGAUUCUUUAUUUAUAUUUGUCUACAAUUUGGAUUUUGUUGGCUUCAUUGAGACCCACUAAAUUUGGAUUCUAUUGGGUUCAUUCAUUAUUGAGCCCCACAAUUUGUCUUAUAAACAAUGCAUUUACUUACGGAAUGCGUUUUUUUAAGGAAAAAAUGCCUUUUGAACGCGUUCUCUAAGGAAAAAUGUACAGAGAAAUAAAUAAAUAAGGGUAAUCACACAUCGCAUCUUUUGAGGAAACAAUGCAUUCACUAUGGUAGCAUUUUGAAAAUCUAAAUCAACACUUAAAUUUAAUGGAUUCGGAUCUUAAUAUAUUCAAACGCGUUUAAUAGUCAAAAUUUGAAUAUCUGAAUUAAUUUACUUAUCAUUGAAUGUGAUAUAUACCUAAAUAAAUUAGAUUUAAUAUUUAAUAAUUUAAUAAUCUAAUGGAUUUAGAUUUCAAAUUUCAGAUUUCAGUUUUCAUUAUUUGAGAAGAGAUUUAAAAAACAACAUCUUUUGAAAAUGAUUUUAGAAAAUUCCACAUCUUCAGAAUUUAAUCUGAACAAUAGAGGAUCAUGCCAGCCGAGCAAAUAAAGUCAAUAAUUUUAAAUUCAUGGCAUAGAAUUCUUUUGGCAUUUUCUAUUUGGUGCCCGAAAAAAAACACACUAAAAAGAAAAGUAAAUCUAUUCGGUGCAUUCAUGAUAAAUUUCUUAGAAAAGUAAAUUGCAUGACACCUGGAAUGGGAAGAACAGGAAAGAUAUUCCUUCAAGCCUGGAAAAAAAAACACAUUUGAAAAAGAUUAUUGUCUACCUAACAUUUGGAAUCGAAAGAAAUUACAAAUUUUGUUCAUUUUUAAAAUAUAAAAUUUAUUCUAACAUUUUUUUUUGCUAAAAAAUGCUUUUGAGACCAAAACUUUUACUCCUAAAACUAAAGAUUAUUGUCUACUUUUGUCUUUCCAAUUUCGAUCUCCAUUAUAAAUAAAUAUUAGUAAAUAAAUGUUAAUGAACAACAACAACCAAUCCAAUUGCACAGCCGUGCAGCCGACUCCCGUGAUCUAAAUGAUGCCGUGACUCAGCCAGCCAGUAGCCACCACCUUCUUUCUUCCCCCCCCCCCCCCCCCCCCCCGCGGGGGCGGGUGGUUUUACCUUUUUCAUUGUUUUGCCUAAAUUAUGUUCACUUUUACACGACUUUAAUCUAGGAUAAAAUUUAUAUAGUGCCUAAAUUAUUUUUUACAUGACAAGUUAUAACUAAGCACAAUUUAAAUUUCAAUAUUUGAUUUCACAUACAUGACAUGCAUCUAAUUUUAUCUGUACAUCUAAUUUUAUCUGCAUGUAUAUUAUCGGUGGAUAUAAAAUUUAUCCUUUAAUUCAAUUCUUCAAAAUUCCAAAUCUAAGAGCAAAAUGUUUUGUCAACAAUCUAUAGAUUCUUUUGUUAGUUGGACUGGAUGGUUGACAUUAUUGCCUCUGUAGUGACAAAAGACAGCUGUAGAUUUAAAAAAUUCAAAGGAGGAUACAGAUAUACUUCAGCUUCACAAGCACAUAUGAAUUCUUUUGACAGAGAAUUCAGACUUGCCACUUGCCAGUGCUUGACAAUCUAAAGAAAAAGAAAAGGCCAAGGCCUGCCCCUUACUAAUAAUGUCGACAUGGUUAUUAUACUUUUUAUUUUCUUUCAGUCUACUAAUAUAAGAAUGUAGACUGCUUCAAUAUCUGAACAUAUACUUUACAUUUCGGAAUUGAGAAAAACAGUGAAUACAACUACGUGGGUCCAUCGCUUAUAUUCCCUUGUGAUUUUGGUAUAAUGUAAGAUGACCUUUCUAAAGGUUUCGAAAUAGUAACAUUAACCCCUAUGAUUUUAUGUUAAGUAGAAUAUGAACGGAAUAUAUAAUUGGUUACGAUGUUUAUACGAAACGCGCUCUAAAAGCAUCUGCGAUAAAAUCUUAAUCUACAUGUAAUCCCCUUAUGGUUUAUAUAAAUAUCAAUUUUACCUCUCAGUGAUUUUUAUAUUUAUCUACGUAAUCUUCUUAUAUUUGUAUACAAUAUAGUUAAGCUAUCAAUUAAUUUAAUAUCUAAGCAAGGCCACUAUUGGUAUUUCAAUUCAUGACAUUAUAUAGGCUAUUUUUUAAAAUUAAUUUUUCACUUAACAUAAAAUCACAUUUUAAACCAUUUGAAGAAUCAUAUGAUCAUAGACGAAACACGAAGAGGGUUAUAUGUAAUUUAAUCCAACUACAAUAUAUAUAGUGCAUUUGCAACUUUUCUUUAAGCAAAGUUGGAAAACGAGAGCAUACAAGGUGUAUUUUUUAAGAGUAAAUCUUAUAUACAUUGACAGUGUAUAUACUGUCAUCGUUGGAUUCAUGACAUGUGUGUAAAAGUUUAAUUCAAAUUCAAAUUUUACUUAGUUCUUUAAUAGUGAGAUCUGUUUGAGUAUUUCAAGAAAUUUUUUAAAAAUUCAUUUUAGUGUAUUUCUCAAUUAUCUUUUCAUUUCACAUAUAUUACAUUAUUAUAAUUUUUUUUUUACAUAAAACUUCAAAGAACCCCAACUAAACCAGAUCUUCAAUAUUCUUAUUCAGAAUCAUGCACAUUUUUAACAAUGUAAAAAAUUAUUAUUACUAUAAAAAAUUUCUUUUUGUUCCUAACCAUUUUUCUUGAUUAACCACAUAAGAAAAAAUAAUUAAUUCGUGUCGUCUAUUUUGUCACACAGGGUUUUAGCAUAAGAAUUCCAUUUUGUAAUUUUUUUUAAAAGAAAAAAAAAAGACAAAAAUCUAACAAGUGAAGGAACCCCAAAAAAAAAAAAAUCUCGAUUGGUUGGCUUUUCCGGACUGUACCGUACCAGUUAUUUUACUAGUAGUUAUUUAGUACGGUUACUAUGAAAACUGCUGCCGUUUAUCGGUCCUUCAAAACAAAAAGUAAAAAAACAGAACAAACCAAAAUCCAGAAAAAAAAAAGAGGUAAAAGAAGUCAUCGUCCGUCUUGACCAACAUUUUCACUGACAGUGACAGAUACUUCACCAUUUUCUUCAGCAUUUUCCAGUUUGGUUCCUACGAAAGAGCACUAGGCCAAAAAGCGCCAGAUAUUUACCAAUAAAUUCCAUCUAUACGGAAUAUUUCUUUUUCACUUCAUCACCCUCCUUGCAAUUUCCGAGUCUCCCUGCCCACUUGAUCUUUUACUUCAAGUUAUCUGAAGAUUUGGUAACUGUAAGUCUCUUCGUCUGAUCUAGUUUUGUUUCCUAAAUCUAAAUAUGAUACGCGGUUUGUCUUCUUCCUCGUAGAUUUUUGUGUAUCUAUUGUUUUGUUUAUCUGGGAUUAUGAUGAUAUAGAUGGAUUAAAAAAAUAAACUCUGGUCAAUAAAAGAUAGCCGGCUUUUGCUUGUGAAUAUGGAGUUUAGUUUUGCUGGUGCUUCCCCUUCUGUGGAAGUCUUGAUUGUCAGUGAUCAAUUCAAAAUAUAAUUUUCAUGCUGGAGUUCAUAAAGUUCAUGUCUUUUUGAGUGGACUUGUAAUUACUGGCAAAAUUUUCUUUUAAUUUAAAGGGUUUAUCUGAUAAUUAGCUACUGAUGAAAUUCUUGGGUAGAAGCAAAAGGACAGUAGAAAAAGUUGAAAUAAGGGAGAUUUAAAGACCCCAGCUCAAGUUUGGUUUUAGAAACUCUUCCUAUAUUCUUUGUACAUUUUGAUGAUUUUUCAUCUUGUCAGUUGGGUUGAUUUAGGCAUUGUUGAAUAUGGGAAGAGUUCAAUUGGGUUGUGAAAGUUUGGCAGGAUUGCAUAAAAUGUAAAUGGUGCAGAACUAAGCUAGCAAUAUUUUUGUCACCUCCAACUACUGUUUGGAGACGUUUGGUAUGCUGCUUCCUUAUCUCGGGGAGCGGCUGCUUUAAAGCAUAAUUCAUUAAAAUGAAACUGCACUUUUCUAGUGGUGAAUCUGUUAACCUUUUUUCUUCAUUUUUCUGGAUGGGAACCUCUUUUUGUUUAUUGAAUUUUGUGAAUCAUGGUGACCGUAUUCUGUGUUGAGGUGCUCUGAAAAUCUGGCAAGUGUAAGAUACUGUAACUUAUGCAGGAAAAUAGCUCUGGGAAGGAGAAUUAUUAUACCAUGAUUGUUGGUUGGGAUGAUGUUGUAAAUUGACUUGCACUACAUUAGAGUCAAUCUCGUCCUCUAGUAAAGAAGGGGAAAUGGAUUUCCAGCACAUUUUGCUGCAAAAGCCGUUCUCUCUCUAUGCUAAUGGGAAGUAGUAACCCUAUUGAUUCCAACAGCACGUAUGCCAUGGAACUUAGGUACACCUGGUUUGUUUAAAUAUAUGAUUAUUUACCCAAAAAAAAUGCUUGCAUCAUAAGAACAUUUUUCAAUCAUCUUUUUAUCUUCCCAACUACCUUUUAUCUCACAUAUAUCACAUCAAAGCAAGUGCUUCAAUGUUAUUCCAAAAAAAAUUUUCCAUAUAAUCUCCUAUCCGAACAUACUCCUUGUUAUUAUUGUCGGCCCUGGUAGCUUAUCAUUUCUAUGUUAGAUAAAUAUGGUUCCUAGUCUGGCCUUAUACAUAUGGUUUAAUGUGUUCUUGCCUUUUUGGAGUGAAUGAUGAAAGUAUUAGUGUUCAUUCUGAUUUGUCUUCAGUGGAAUAGGCCCUCACAGUGUAUGUUGUCUUCCUUGCAGUGCACAUUAAUGCAUUUGGUACUCUAAGAUGUUUGACCACGCUGCAAAGUCACAGUACAUCGGUGGACAGCGAGAGAAGUUUGUGAGGUAGCUGUUGGUUUGUAGUUUUGUGCACAUAUGAUUAAGAUUUAUUAUGGCCUGACCAACAGAUCCUGAUUCCUUGCGGUGCUACUACUGUUUGGGCUAUGUGGUUGGAAUCUGCUUCAUUCAUUGUCAUUUAGCAGUAAAAGAUUUUAAAAGUAUGGGUUAUUAAGCUGAACGUUUGCUUAGCUUAAUGGCUAGACUUUGAAAUAACUCUAUUAUGAACCUAUAUGUUUACCUUAGCAUAUUCUCUUCUCCAUCUGCUUCAACUCGAAGAAAUUCUUUUGACUUGUAACAGAUAUGUCCUAAUUAAAUUUUUUUGAUUUGCCUAGUUUGCCUUGGAGAGGUCCUUCUUUGAUUUUCAGAAUCUGGUCUUUAUUUGCAAUGUGAUGGGUACCAUUAAGGAAAUUCUUCUUCCCAUCUUUCUUUUAUAGCUUGUAGCAUUGGAGAUUGAGUUAUUCAAUGAUUGUUCUCUUUCUUUACUCUGAUCUAAAACUGAAUUGUUUUUUUUUUUGGGUGUUUAGAUUGGAUGACUUGGACUCAACACUGUCAUCGCCAUCUGCUUCAGUGGCUACAAAUAAAUGUGGCUUUGGCAUUGAAGGCAUAGGGCGAGUUGGUUCUUCAACUACGACUACAUCCAAAUCGUUUAAGAGAGGAAUGAAAAAAGGAUCUGAAGGGCUUAAAUCAAUUGGUAGAUCCUUUGGAUUUGGUGUUUCGCGGGCUGUGUUUCCAGAAGAUCUAAAAGUUUCAGAGAAGAAAAUAUUUGAUCCUCAAGCCAAGUUCCUUCUUCGGUGGAAUAGAUUUUUUGUCAUAUCAUGUAUUCUAGCGGUGUCUGUGGAUCCAAUUUUUUUCUACCUUCCAGUUUUUGAUAAUAAAGCAAACUGCCUGGGCAUCCAUCGAUCAUUAGCUAUCAUAGCUACUACGUUGCGUACGGUCAUUGAUGCUUUCUAUCUAAUUCAUAUGGCUCUUCAGUUUCGAACAGCAUUUAUCGCACCAUCAUCUCGAGUUUUUGGGCGAGGAGAACUUGUAAUAGAUCCAGCUCAAAUUGCCAAGCGAUAUGUGUGGUCCUACUUUAUAAUUGAUUUUCUUUCAGUGCUUCCGCUACCUCAGGUUUGGAGAAAUUUUUAGUUUGGACAACGUUGUUUUGAGUGCUAGCUUUAUCCUCUUUUUCGAUUUUUGGGAAUGAGAAUCUUAUAAUCUUCAAAUGUUGUGCACUAACUGGUAAAAGUUUAUCAAAUUCACACAAUAUAAAAUUUUCUUGUUGCUUUUCUCCAUUCAAAUUUUUUCUCUCAUAAGAUUCUCCUUCGUUUAGUUGUUAGAUUUCUUUGUGAAAGCAAAGAAAGAGCUUAUUCCUGUUUGUGAACAAUUCUCUUUUCAGGAGUCAAGAAUUGACUGCUUUUAUAGUUAAGGAUAUGUGUAUCCAUUGUGUUAUACAAUUGCUAAUUAUUUUUAGCACCAUCUCACAUUUCUCUACCUUUCCAGUUUUUGCUUUAAAAAUAUCAGUUCUUCAUUGCUCCCUUGCUCUCUCUCUUUGUGGGUUAGCACACUGAAAAUCAGCACCCGAGUGACACUACAUUCCUUCUUUCAGCUGGUAAAUCUGCUCGAAACACUAAAAAAGUAAUUCUAUUUAAAAAUUAUUCUUGAGUUCUGCUAAGUGCAUACAUGUUUUGGUAAUAAGCAUUCAUAUGUAUGCAAACUUGGUUUUCACUAUCUUCUUGUUCUUUGUGGUUGGUAUCUUUCUUUGGUUGAUGCUACACAUUUUCCUUAUUUUAUUCUAUUUCUAUUUAUGUUGGACUGCAUGUAUACUCUUUCAGGCUGCUUUCUUUGGGGUAUUGCUUCCAGAUUGUGGUUAUGUGAAUGUUUUGAGAACUAAACUUUUAACCCGAAUAAUAGUUUUAGAUUGGUCUAAACAAUUUUUGUGCACCAAAGUGUGCUUUUUUAAUAUGGAAUAUGAAUCUCUUUCAGCUAUGUCAUUAGACUUCUUGUUGUGAGCUGAUUGAAAUUGAGUAGUAGUAAAUGUCAGAAAAUGGAAAACUUUUUCACUUCCUCUUUAACAUUACUGUUUUGCAUCUUUGCAGAUUGUUGUGUGGAGAUUUCUCCAGAAAUCCGAAGGUUCAGAUGUCUACACUACAAAACAAGCAUUGCUUGUUAUUAUUAUUCUUCAGUAUAUUCCGAGGUUUAUCCGGGUUUUACCCCUCACUUCAGAGCUGAAACGUACAGCUGGUGUCUUUGCUCAAACUGCCUGGGCUGGUGCUGUAUAUUAUUUGUUGUUAUACAUGCUAGCCAGUCACGUAUGUCUUUGCAGUGUGAUAUAUUUUCAGUCUCAUAAUUUUUCACGUUUCAAAUACUGAAAUUGUAAUAAUUAGCCAUAUUGGCCCUUAGAAAAAUAACAGUAUCCUUUUUUUUUCCACUGGAUUGGCUUUGCAGAUAGUUGGGGCACUCUGGUACUUGUUAUCUGUAGAACGCAAUGACUACUGCUGGCAGAAAGCAUGCAAAACUACUAGACUUGGAAAAUGCGAAACUAAUUUCUUGUACUGCGGCAAUCAGAAUAUGAAAGAUUUUAAUUCUUGGAGCGGUAUCAGCGAAUCAGUGCUAAAUGCAUCUUGUGGAGUGGGUGUUGAAAAUCCACCAUUUGAUUUUGGAAUUUUUGAGCAGGCGUUGUCAUCGGGCAUUGUCUAUUCAAAGAAAUUCAUAUCUAAAUACUGUUACUGCCUUUGGUGGGGGCUACAGAAUUUGAGGUGAAUGAGCAAUCAUGCUUCAAUUGAAUCAAUAUUAUAUGAGUUUCUCUUUUUUUUUUCUAUGCAUGCUCUUCAUUAACAGUACAUGAAGAUUUGUGCCUGGUCUUUCCUUCACUGUACUUGCUGAUUAUAGACCUUUUUUUUUUCAGCUAAAAGCUGUUUUGAGAUGUUCCUUCUUCUUUCCACUUAUACUUUUAAGCUACUUAUGAACCCAAGACAUGCAUUAGAUAUUAAAUUACUCACUUUUCCAUAAUAAAUUCUACAAUAGCAAAACCAAAUGGGAGCAGGCCCUAAUAUAUUUCAGUUGUUUUCUGCUAAAAUUACUAUUUCUCUGUGUUGGAGAAUGCUAAAAUUUGAAGUUUCUGCAUCUGGGUUCUGAAACAAGGCUGUUUAUGAAUUCAAUUAGAGAGUAAUAUAAAACUCUCCUGUAGAUUUUAAACCUUUUUAUUGUCUAAGUAAUUGGCUCCUUAAAUCUGACUUUUUGGAGUAGCUGAUGUAAUCCUUAAUCUGGUAAUACAGUUUCAAAAACAAUCUGCUUCAUUAUCUGUGGUGAUAGUGCCCUAUAAUGCCUAUUCUUCCUGUCAAAGCUUUGGUUGGCUGGAGUCAAAUAGGGUAAUAGAAUUUUUAUUUUUGCAUUCUUGGGCAUUUUCGAUUUCCCUUAUUUUACAUGCUUUGAUUUCCCUUCUUGUUAGUGUCUUUGGGUCUUGGAGCACAAUGUGGGGAUGCUUUCUAGUCUGAGGUUAAAUUGCUAGAGAUUUGUUCUAUACUGGGUCCUAGGUCUAGUUAUGUGUAGCUUAAACACUCUGAAGUUGUCUAUUUGAAGCAUACUUCUUUCAGAAGAUCCACAUUUAGAUGGAUUUGGUGGAGAAUGACUAAAGGAGUGGAAUAUGCUUUUGUCUUUUCUGUAUCAGUAAGAAACCGCUUAAGAGAUAUAUGUUGAAGUUGAGUUCCUGGACUGCCAACCUUUUAGUUUUUCAUGAUCACUGGUGAAUAAGCUUAAGAAGUUUAAAAAUAACAGAGAGGGAGAGAGGUAGAGGUAGAGAGAGAGAUGCUUUAACUUGUUGAUCUCAAAAUUUGUGCAUAGAUCAUUAAGAAUGUCUUAGACUCUUCUACAAUCCUGCUUUUUGUUAUUUUUGUGUAUCUACCUUGUUUUUAUCGCAAUUAAUGAGCAGUUUGAAACAUUUUUCUGAGCCAAUUUCACACCAUGCAGCACACUUGGCCAGGGGCUUCAAACAAGUACAUAUCCUGGAGAGUCUCUGUUCUCUAUUGCACUUGCAAUAUUUGGCCUUAUUCUCUUUGCACUCUUAAUUGGCAACAUGCAGGUAAACUACAAACAUUGACCAGAGGAUGUACAUAUACGUUUGCUGCCUUCUUUACUUGAUGUUUGCUACAUGUUAUUGUACUUCAUUUUUGUGAUUAAUAUGGGUUUGGGUUCAUAUUUUUUAGCUUUUUGGAUGUGGAGAAUAAGUUGACUUGGAUCUUGCAGUAUUUAAAUGCAGCAUCAAGUUUUAUGCACAAAUUCUCCUAUGAACUUUGGUCUGAUAUUUCUUGUGCUUGUUGCAAGCAUCCCCUGCAUUAUUAAAAAAAAAGUUGCAUCCUCUGCUUGAUCAUGUUUUAGGAAAACACAUAUUGAUGUGGAUAGUGUUGCCACUACCAAAUCCCUAGAUAGUGUCAACUUCUUAGGUAAAUUUCCAAAUUACUAUGUUCCAAAAUUUGAUAUCCUAUUAUUCCUGUAUUUAAUAACAAAUUAUUUCCAUAAAAGCCCUUAGUGGUAUAAAAACCAUUGUACCAGAAUGGCAGAAGUAUUUGUAAAAGGGUUUUUUGGAGCCUUUUUAUGGUCAAGAGAAACUUAGCAUAUAAAUCUCUAGGAAUAGGGAAGUACUAAUCUAAUAUGUGGUGUAUUAGUGCUUCUUUGUUGAUACUGAUUUUUGUGAUAAUAUAGUUAGGAAAUAAGUUUCAACACUUUGAUUAUGGAACUAAAAUUUCCAUAAAUUACUCCAAUCUCACUAUAAGUAUUUAUGGUAACAGAUGACUUGCAUGCUAUUGCUACUGUUCAUCAUUUCAGCAUUUAGUGUUAUUGUUUUUCCCAGCCAUAUUUUGCACUUGUAGAUCUUUAAUCCUUCUGUGUAUCAGUGACAGAGGCAUAUGGUUCGUUCCUGAUUUAAGGGAGUGUUUUAUUAGUAAAAUUGAUCUAAAUUUUCAGCGAGUACAUCCUUUCUUGUAUGAACCUAUUUAAUGAAUUUCAAACGGUAGCGUAUGAGUUGUACCAGGAUUUUAGGAGUCCUUACCAAUUAUCUUUGAAUAAUUUGGUACAAGAUGAAUAUGUCAUGUUUGUUACCAUCCACAUGGAAGCUUACUCAUAUUUGUCGAAACUGAGGUUAGAAAAGGUCUCCACUAACUAUUUUUAUAGGUCACUUCUUCGAAGUUGUUAAGCUGAAAGUACUUCACAUUGUUUAGUGCAUUAUCAUUUUUUUCCCCACUCCCUUUUUUCGCAACUGAAGCCAGAUUGUUAUCUACCUACUUGAUGGCGUGUUUUGGGUAAAUUCAUUCAUCAAUAUGCCUUUGCUUGGGUAUAUAAUGCUGAGUAACGUCUUGCUGACAAUUUUAUAUGAGAUCUAUUUGGUUUUGACAUGUUGUAUGGGGACAUAGCGAGUUUAGAUCUGAAGUUUUGACAUCCAGGUGCUUUCUUUGUAUUUUGUUGUGUUUGGUGUGGGUUUAAAAUGCUAAAUGCCUGGUUAAUAUUCUCAUUAAGAUUUUGUUGUCAAUCCUGGCAAAGAAUGGGGAUGUUAAGGUCAGAAGGUAACUCUUGUAACAUCUGAAGAGCAUUGAGUAGAAAAGAUGAGUUGUUAGGAUGUCUUGUAUCAGAUUGAACUAGCUUUGUGAUGAACUGAAGCUACAAAAGUUAAUACUUUUUUAAGUUAAAUUGAUGGUAGGAUGUUGUCGUGAUGCUAUGUUUGGUAGGUUUGUCUUCCUCAGUUGCUUGUACAGAUCUUACUACAAGAAGGUUUAACAUAGGCAAAGAAGAACGAAGAGAAACUUUCAAUGAGUUUUUAUCAAGACAGACUUAACAUCACAUCAAUUAACUCUUAUGUCACUUUUCAACACGAAACAUGAAACGAUCAUACAGGAGAGCAGAAGACUUGGGAGAAUUUGAGAAGUAAAGCGGAGCUAAUUAUUUAAAGACGUUUUGGUACUCUUUUCGCCACUACCUUUUGUUGACUUGUAAAUGCAGUACUUAAGUAACUUGACCUAGAGAUGACCUGUGAAAAAUUUCACUAACCACUAUGGUCCUGAGAUCUCUAACACCUAAUGAUGUCAUGAAUAUCAGUAUAUGGCCAACAAGGUACUUAUCUGAAAGUCAUGAAGGACAUGAUAUUUUUAAACAAAAACUACUUUUAUGAGAGGUGAUGUUAGACUUCCUAAGUGGUUGAGACUUCUCAAAUAAUGAAAUAGCAACUGCAUCAUAUCCUGAUGGCUAACUUAAUUUUUAGAGUUGAUUACAUUUACCUCCCAUGUGGUUUGACCAAACUACCAAGCCAACCCUGUGGUUUCGCUAAAUUACAGUCACCCCCUUAUGAGGUUCAAAGCCAACUAAUGCAAGUAGGGAAAUGACAGAACUGCCCUUUGCAAAAAUUACAUUUGCCUCCCUCAAAGUGUGUCCAAAUUACAAAAAAGGACACCUAUAGUUUGACCUGAGUGCAAUUUGACUUUUGAAUAGCUAACUAUAUAAGAAAAUCUCUUAUUGUGAUCCAAGAAAAAAUCAAACCCAAAUUAAAGUAAAACAAUAUUACAUUACUGAAAAUGAAAAUAAAAAGUUGAGAAAACUUGUGCCUACGACUUAUUUCAGCCACUACAAAACUCUCCAACACUUUUCUUGCACAACAAUUAUCCAAUUUAUUUAAACAUACAAUUUGGUGUAUAAUAAUAAAUUUUAACUACAGUAUAUGGUUUUUUAUCCAUAAAAUGAAUUUUAUUUUUAUCCUUAAUUCUAUAUAAGUGUUUUAUUUUGGACUUUUACUGCUGAUUUUUAAAUUUAUGUCUUUGUAUAGAAACCCUAAAAUUAAAUGCAUAUAGGCACAUUUACAAUAAAUAUUUUAUUUUUCUUUUUUUGGAAAACAGAGUUUAAUUAUUUGCAUAUUGACAUGGAUAAGGUUUUCAAUAUAAAAAAUGUAAUAGUGGUGGCUAAAGAAAUUAUAUCAGUGAUCAAAUUAGUAUUCACUGUGUUGCCAUGUGACUAGAAUUUUGGUUAUGCUAACUGUAACUUGGAGCAAAAGAUGAUCGAAAAAAUUAAAUAUUUGUAAUUAUUGGGAAUAUUAAGGUUUUCAUCAAAACUUUUGUUGCACUUGAUGUUGACAAGUGAAAACGUAUAUUGAGUAAAUGAUUGACUAUGUAAAGCAUUGGACUAAUAUGGACGAAGUAUGGGGUUUAUUUUUUUCAUUUGGACAAACCUCAAGGAAAGUAAAUGUAAUUUGGAUAAAUCUGAGGGGAGGUAAUUGUAAUCAACACAAUUUGCAGAAGGGUAUGUUGGGGCUUUUAGACAUAUAUUUUGCUGAUGCAAGCAGGAUUUUUAAUGUUAGUUAACAUGAGGGGGGCAUUUGAUAAAUGUUUUGGCAUUCAAGGGGUUUGACUGUAACUUGGUUAAAUCAUGGGGUUAGUUUAGUAAUUUGGUCAAAUCACAGGGGUGGUAAAUGUAAUUAACUCUUAAUUUUUAUGGUGAAUUUGGUCAGUUUUGUGGAAUGCAAACACUUUAGAAAUUAGGUCUUUGUAGCAACGGAUGAGUUUUAAGAGUUAGCUGUUUACAUGGUAAUUAUUUUGUUUUGGGUUUACAACAUUCACCUAUUUAUAUUGCUUGAUAAUGAUACUGCAAAUAUACCGUCAGAAUUUGUGAGAGAUUAGUAGACUCACAAUUUUUGUAGAAGGCGAGUAUUCCCCACUUCAUGGCACCAUGUAUGACAAUAUGUAGCAUGGAUUUCCAGCUUAGCACCAUAAACAAUACGGCAGCUGGGUCUAUUUGUCACAAUACUCUUGAAUAUCUGUCUCUCUUGGAAUCUCUCUAUGCUAUACACCUAACAACACCUCCAUUUUCUCAUGCUGCCAAGCCCAGAGCAAUGGUCUUCCAUGCUGAAUGGUUCUCAUUGCUGGCUCUGGCAAUGAGGAUGACCUAGUGAAUGGCAUUCUUGGUAAUUAAUAACAUACAUUGCUGUAACACUGGGAUUGAUUUGAUGCAUCAUGAUUGAUAAACAUCCACUCCAUAAACAAUACGGCAGCUGGGUCUAUUUGUCACAAUACUCUUGAAUAUCUGUCUCUCUUGGAAUCUCUCUAUGCUAUACACCUAACAACACCUCCAUUUUCUCAUGCUGCCAAGCCCAGAGCAAUGGUCUUCCAUGCUGAAUGGUUCUCAUUGCUGGCUCUGGCAAUGAGGAUGACCUAGUGAAUGGCAUUCUUGGUAAUUAAUAACAUACAUUGCUGUAACACUGGGAUUGAUUUGAUGCAUCAUGAUUGAUAAACAUCCACUCCUUGAAUGAGAGAGAUUCUAAGGAGCUUCAUAGUUUUAGAAUAAAAAAAGAUUCAAGAACUUGCAGUUAGAAGACAACAGCUGCUCAGAAUUUUGAAAGCGGCUAGAGAUUCAGCAAAAGAGCCUAUGAAAUUCUUUCAGAAUAAAAAAGAUCCAAGAACUUGCAGUUUUCUCAGUGAAGAGACACCAAUUACAUAAUUGACUUAAGGGUGGCACUGUAGGGUUUCAGAUAUUAAUAUCAGCAACUUGUCUCUUACCUCAGUUUAUCUCUUCACAUUUUUUUUAUGAAUUUUUUUCCUUAAUUUCGUUGUUUUCUUGUUAAUACUAGUUUCUUGGUCAUUUUAUUAAGAUUACUCACAAUUUACCUUCUAGGCUUAACCUGCCCCUCUUCGCUCAGCCCCCCUCCAAAAGGGCCUAAAGUUUGUUGAAAAAGUGUCACAUCUUUUAAGAAUAUAAGAUAUGUGUUGGGCAAAUAUUAGGCAUACUGAUGGAUGAACUCUAUAUGCUUCUAUCUUGUAAUCAGAGAGAUAAUUCAUUGAGAAGCAAGUGCAAACUACAGAUUGGCUAUCUGUCAGUCCUAAUAAUAUUGCUUCAUGCUAUCACAGACCUAUCUCCAGUCUCUUACCAUCCGACUUGAAGAGAUGAGAGUUAAAAGGCGUGACUCAGAGCAAUGGAUGCAUCAUCGCUUACUUCCACAAGAUCUGCGCGAAAGAGUUAGACGAUACGAUCAAUACAAAUGGUUAGAAACACGUGGGGUGGAUGAAGAGAGUUUGGUACAGAGUCUGCCAAAAGAUCUCAGAAGAGACAUAAAGCGCCAUCUUUGUCUGGCUUUGGUGAAGAGGGUAAGUUGCUAUGUUUGCUCGAAUGUUUUGAUUGCUAGGCUACCAAUUAAUUUGUUUUCCCUGUGGCAGGUUUUCCAAGCUUUGUUACUCACAGAUCCUUAGCAUGUUUCAGAAAUAUUUUCCCUUGUUUCUGUAGAUUAAGAUUUACUUCAAAGAUUACAUGAGGUUUCUUUAAUUCAGACAACACUGUAGUAGAUACUAGUAAGAGAAAUAAAUGGGCUACUCAUUUGGGAAGGAAGAAUCAGAUGAGAUUUUUUGAUAUGUGUUUAUGCAACCUUUUUACCCCAGAGGGAAAGAGGAAUAAUCUUUUAUAAAUGAUUUUUGUAAAGUCCUAUUCGAUGCAUGUCAAAGUCAGUGUAUUUAAGUAGACACACACACACACACACACAUACAGCGACGCAGCCAGACACACUCAGACAUGUAUUAGCCACAUGUUUGAUGCUUUUGCCAUCUUGCUAGGUACAUUUUGCAUGAUAUCACCUGAGAAAAUUGUAGUGAUUUAGUGUUUUUCUUAGUUAUCUUCAGAUUUAAUGUCAUUAAAACAUUUCUUCAAAGUAGCAUAUUGGUGGGGGAGUUGGCGAGGAGGUUGUAAAAGAUUAUUUUGUGAUCAUAGCGAACACAUCUUCCUAGCUGCUGCUUUCAGCCUUAAUUUAAUCUUCUGGAUCUUAUAAAAUAUUUGGUUUUGCUUUCUCCAAAAUGGAUGCUGAGGUUGCUGUUUGCUCAAACGUUUUGUUAACUGUUCCCCAGGUUCCUCUCUUUGAGAAUAUGGAUGAGAGAUUGCUUGAUGCUAUUUGUGAGAGGCUGAAGCCCUGCUUGUACACUGAGAAUACUUAUAUUGUUCGAGAGGGAGAUCCAGUCGAUGAAAUGCUUUUUAUCAUACGUGGUCGCCUUGAGAGCGUGACAACUGAUGGUGGAAGAAGUGGAUUUUUCAACCGUAGUUUGUUAAAAGAAGGGGACUUUUGUGGAGAGGAGCUUCUGACAUGGGCACUGGACCCAAAAUCUGGUUCCAACCUGCCAUCUUCCACCCGGACAGUGAAGGCCUUGAUGGAAGUGGAGGCUUUUGCUCUGACGGCUGAUGAGUUGAAAUUUGUAGCUGGUCAAUUUAGGAGGCUUCACUCUAGACAAGUUCAACACACAUUUCGAUUUUACUCACAGCAAUGGAGGACUUGGGCUGCGUGUUUUAUUCAAGCAGCUUGGCGCCGCUACUGCAAAAGGAAGCUUAUGGAACUUAGAAGAAAGGAAGAAGAAGAAGAAGAAGCAGCAGCGGCAGCAGCAGCUGGGGGCAGCAAUAACGCCGGCGGAGGUUCAUAUAGCCUCGGCGCAACCUUUUUGGCAUCUAGAUUCGCAGCUAAUGCACUUCGUGGUGUCCAUCGGAACAGGAACCUGAGGAGUGCAAGGGAGUUGAUGAAAUUACAGAAGCCACCAGAACCUGAUUUCACUGCUGAUGCAGAUUAAGUUGUUAGUCUGACUGACUCAAUUGGUUAUUACCUCAGGUCCUAAGUACUGACCUUGCAAGCUCGUAAGGGCUAAACAUUGUAUAAUAUGCAAAUAUCACAGGAGUGUUACCGUUAUUGGAACUCCCAACUUAUUUUGUAUUUAGAUAUGCUUGAAGUGACACUAUUUUCAUCUUACCUGUCUUCUUCUAGAGCUUUGAGAAAGCAGAAGUAAUGUGCAUUUUGGGCUUCUUUCUUUUCUUUUCUGACAUUUUUAUAGCUUUAUUAGUGAAAAUGGUGUGAGCAAGACAUGCCUUCCUUUUAAAGUAAAAAAGUUCAAAAAAAGUGUGCUUUACCCUUGGUUCCCGGCUAAAAGCAGCACGGUCUUUUUCAUUGGUAUCUCUACAUUAAGCAGUAAGCACUACUUGAUUUUGAGCCAAUUGAAAGGUUCUACUUGACAAUCAAGUCCAUAGGUUACCUGGGAAUCUGCAAAAUCCAGUGGACCAUUGUUAAACGCUGGCUGCGUUUGGAUAGAAAAUUACUUGGUUAUUAAAGACAUUGAGAGUACAAUUGACAUCCUGCCAAUGUUAUGAAGUUUUUUAAGUGGGUCUUCUGUCCAGAGGUUUUUAAGUGUAUAGGCCGUGCACCCACCACACCCCACAUGUAAUGUAGCCUCAAAUAAUCAAAUAAUCCUUGGGGUCACAUACAGCUAAUCUUUUUUUUUUCCGGGGAACGGAAGUAAACACACAUAAUUAGAACAAACACAGGAGUUAACGGAUAAACCAGCCCGAAAGCAAUUUAAGAGGAAUCCACAAAGAAACCACGUUCGGCCAAUUGGUGACAGAACGAGGCCCUUAUGGACCUUAAAUUCAGAGUAAAGACCCCACGAUCUUCCGAUAUGGGAUGGUGACCCAACCCCACGCGCGCACACCCUCACCAUAUAAUGGUUUGACAUACAGCUGAUCCAUCUGCCAAAAUAAAUGCAAUCUGUGCCUUAAUGUCCUGGUCAAAACAUACAAAUAAAUGCGCAAUCUUUAAACUCAGUAGAUGGUUCCAAGAGGUAAAUCUUCAACCAGGGAAUUAAACUCUUGGGAUGGGACCUUGGAAGUUCAGUAGAUGGUUCCAAGAGGCAAUCUUCAAUCGGGUGAUUUAAUUCUGUAUGUUACUCUUGAGACCUUGACGUUUGGACAGAGUGCAGAAUCAAUAAAUUUUUUCUCAAAUUGCUUUCUCUAUUCCCUCCCAUGUUCAAGCUUAAUUCAGAUGGUUCUGUUAAGUACGUAUAUUCGUGUUAAAUAUGGGUUAUCCAAGAAAUCAUAGGUUGCACUGAGAGACAGACGGACAGAAUUGUGUCCUAUUUCAUUUGUCUUGUAGAAACCAAUACAACUGUUGUUCCCUCUGAUCCAGCAAAAUCAAUCAAAACUCCCUGGAUAUGCACCAAAACUUUACACACACACACACACACAUAUAUAUAUAUAGGUAUCCGAUGACUACUUUGGAAUGGUUACCUUAAGUAAGAGGAGGCAAACAGGCGUGCAUAUGAAUGAAACAAUGGGCGAAUCAUGCCUUCACUAUUUCUGCUGCGUUUUGCAGGAAGAACAUGAAACAUGAAGAGUCUCCAGUCUUCACCCACAAAUACGUCGAGACUCGAGAGGGAGAGGCGGAUGCUUGCUACACUAUUUUUAUUGUUCUUCUUCAUUUGAACCGAUAUAUAAAACUGUUUCUUGCACCCAAAUCAAAUCUCCAUGAACCAUUUUAAAGUCCAUGAGUUAUACAAACUACUAGACAUCUGGACAAUCAGCUGCUUCAUCUAGAACACCGACAAUCAGCUGUUUCAUCUAGAACACCGCAGGUAGAUAGUAGAUGAAGAACACCAACGAUCAGUUGUUUCAUCUAGAACAGCGCAGGUAGAUGGUAGAUGAUAUUGUGACUAGUUCCAGUCUCAAGCGCAAGAACUUGUGUAAGAAUGAGGGAUAUGUUAGAUUUCAAAUACUAUUUGUUGAUGGAUACUCCAAAUCUGCUACUUAUUAGCAUUCUGGAAGGAAAAGAAUUCCAAAAAAAGUUAAACCAAAAAAUUCAGGAAUUAUAUAUUACAUCGGGAAAUGUAUACAAUAUUUAGUUGCAAUUAGAAAUCAACAAAGUAAUCCAUGUUUAGAAAUAAGCUGGAGAAAGGAAACCAUAUCACUAAAAAGGGACUGCCAACUUGAUAGAAGAAAUAUUUUGGAGAACAAAAACAACUUUAGAUUGUUAGAGGCAAGCAACAAGACUUUCUUAAGUUGAAUAUUAUCCAGACGGGAAUAAGAAUUAACGAUGUCAAAUAUGGCCAAUUCAAUCUGGUCUCUAAGAUUCAGGUUUCUUGUAGCUGUGUAAAAACAUAAUUAGACAGACACUUGAUUGUGAUGUCUAUAUCAUACUCAAUUGUGAUUGAGUUAUUUGAGUGCUCUAUGAUCAUGAUUCUUUAUCGGUCAAAAAAUGGUUGGAAGGGUUUGAUUGCAGUCACCACCAUGAAUGAAUUAGGUAUGUUUUGAGAUCAUAAGUCAUUUAGAGGGAUUCGUAGAUUUCUCAUUAACACAAUUCUUACCUUCACAACAAGAUUCAAGCAAACGACUUUUUUGUGAAUAAGUGAUCCGUCCUUAUUAACAAAAUCAACUGAUUAUGGUUUGCUACUUCCUCCAUUCCAAUAUUAGAGUCAUUUUUUGAGAAUCUAACUUUUUUAUAGAGAUAUAUUAAUCAUUAUGUUUAGAUUACAUGGCAUUAGUGAAUUUACAUAUUUAUCCUUCGAAUUCAAAAUAUUUCCUUGUUAAAUAUGUAUUAGAAUUUUAAAAAUUGCAUUUUCAAAUGACAAGAUUGUAAAGUAUGUGUUAAAUUUGAAAUGGUGACUUUUAUUUUGAGACAUAAAUAAAGCGAAAACAUGAUAUUAACAAUGGGAUAAACGGAAUAUAUUGUAAAGUGAUUUUGAAUCCACACAGUUAGGUCCAAAUCUUUAAUGCACUUUAGAUUAUAUGAUCAAGGGCGAGGAAGUUUUGCAGCACGAAACAUAGAAGGAAAAGAAACCAAUAUAACCCUGUACAUUGUAUAUUUGUAUCUUAAUUUUUUUAAACUUUAUUAUUGAAUUAAUCAGAGGACAGGAAGGAGUAUAGUUUCUAAUUUGUAUUCCAAGUCCACACUUAAAAUGUUAUCAAACAUGAGCAAUGUACUUCGAUUAGAUUAUUGGUCAUUAAAUAUAAUUAAGUUAUUAAAUGGACUAUUAAAUUCUUUUGUUAAAUAAUAAGAUACUAGACAGGCAAAUUAAUCGGCAUAGUGAUGAAGAGUUUUUCGCCUUUUAACUUCUUCAAUAAAUUAUUGAAUGAGAAUAUUCUCCCGGAGACGUACAAUUAAUUUUAUUGAAAAAACUAAAAAAGUCUUUUACAUAAUUUGUUGAAUGAGAAGAUUGAUAUUAAUACAACACUUUUAAUCAAUUAAAUUUUCCUGUCAAACUAGUAUGCAAAAGUGACAACUGCCCCACACGGUAACACUAUGCAUUAAGAGUAUACGUACAACAAAUAAGUCAAUUUAUCGAAAUAGGCAGUAUCUCGCCGGAAAUUUCUCUAGAAACUUUUCUUGCACCAAUAGAAAAGAAAACUAAAAUCAGACGAGCAAAAAGGAUGGUCAAACCCAAAAUGACCGGUAUUGAGGUCACGGCAACAUUCUAUAAUUAAUGAUUUGAAACUCAAACCAAAAAGUAAUCGUGGUAGCAUUUGCUAGCUUACAGUUCAAAACCAACCUGAUGAUUCAGUCUUUUAAUGAAGUAUAAACCAUUUUCCUAGACAUUCCUGAUCUUUCUUUCUUAGUCGAUCUUCACAGAUGAGUAGAUGAGCCUUGUGAACCAGAAACAGGCAUAGAAGCCAAUUGUACCAGUCAGUACGAAGAAGGCAUACGAGGCAAUCAGCAUGUACCCAAAGUACAAUAUACCGGACACUGGCUUCGUGAUUUCCAGCUUUGUGAAGAAGUAGAAUGCUGCAUAUAGGAAUAGAUAGAGAGCUGAUGACCCUGAAGUGAGGUACGAUCUCCACCACCAUAGAUAAUCCUCACUACACAGCUGGAAAUAGCAGAGCACGAUUGUGAUCUCAGCACAGGUGACAAUUAGAAUGACGAAUACGAGGAAGAGAAAGCCAAAAAUGUAGUAAAAUUGAUGCAACCAGAUUGAGGUGAGGAUGAAAAAAAGCUCAAUGAAUACGGCACCAAAUGGAAGUAUGCCUCCAAUCAAGACGGAGAAGACCGGGUUCAUGUACCAAGCCUGCUCCGGAAUUUGCCUUGGGAUCUUGUUUGUCUUCACUGGAUCCUCAAUAGCUGGUUUCUUAAACCCUACAUAACUACCCACAAAGACGAGUGGGACUGAGAUGCCAAACCACAAUACUACUAAAGCAAACAUGGUUCCAAACGGCACCGCCCCAGAGGACUUCUCGCCCCAAAUUAAAGCAUUCAACACAAAGAAAAUGACGAAGACAAUUCCAGGGAACAUGAAUGAGGUACGAAGAGCAACUCUCUUCCACUCUGUCCCUUUGAACAUCUUGUAAAGACGGGUAGAUGCAUAUCCAGCAAAGAUGCCCAUGAAGACCCAGAGAAGAAGCAUAGCUGUCAUCAAGCCUCCCCGGUUUGAAGGGGAGAGGAACCCAAGUAAGGCAAAAAUCAUGGUAACUAAUGUCAUUCCAAAGAACUGAACACCUGUCCCCACAUAAACGCAAAGCAUAUCCGAGUUCGUGGGAGGUCUGAAAACAUCCCCAUGAACCAGCUUCCACCCAGUCUCUUCCUGAGCUUCUUCCUGGGUCUCCAAUUGGUUGUACUUUGAAAUGUCACGGUACAGUGUCCGCAACAUAAUCAUGGCAACCAUGCCAGAUAGGAAAAGAACAAUCAUCAAAGAAUUAACUAUAGAGAACCAAUGAAUUUGAUCAUCAGCCAUCAGAAGAUAAGUAUCCCACCUAGAUGCCCACUUAACAUCACUCUCCUGCAAAUUCAUCAAAUAAAGAAAUAUAAUUAACAGCUAAAUUCAAGAUUGAACAACUAAAAUUUCACAUAGUAACUAAUCCACCUGAAACUCGACAUCAUAUGUGAAAAUGAUUUCCUUCUUAUCAUCAACCUCUUGAGGAGGGUCUGCACUAGUUACAGUACGUUUUGCAUGGGGAUCACAAGUUGAUAAUCGAACAUUAUCGUUCCAUCCACCAUCAUAGUCAUGUUUCACACUGAUCAACAAAGAAUAACCAACAUUAUGACAUGCAAUGCAUUAACUUCCCAUCAAAAUUUGAUCCUGAUUAUAAUACAAUACCUAAAAGGUCUAACUUCAAAUCCUACAAUCCUUGCAGCAUCACUUUGUGCAUCCUUGUGAUACUUUACUGUGAAUGAUAAAUGGUUGUUGAUAAAUUGCUUUUCCUCUUUGCUCUGUCACGAAUUAGAGAAGAUGAAGCAAAAGGUUAAAAUCUCCAUUCACUCCACAACUUCAUACGUUGCAAGCAAACAACUUAAACAAUGAAAGCAAACUGGAACUGUCUUACUCCAGCAUAUAAUCCUUUAAGACCAACAUAAAAACCAUGUUGAUAGACUAUAGGGUCUUGUUCGGUCCUCUUUAUGGGCUGAACAAGAGGUAGAUUAUCUAAUAUCCUGUACAAUGCAGCAGAAUGUAAGAAAUGAAUCACAUUUUGUGAGGAUAACAAAUUUCAUAGAGAACCGGAAAGAAAGAGAAAUUAAGGGAAAGAAAGACAGUAUUGAAAAACUUGUCUCACAUGUUCACCCGAUACUCAUCAUCAAUCUUCUCCUUGAAUUCUUUUGCAGUUUUUGCAUUAAGUACAAUACGACAUACAAUAUUGCACAUUUGUGGCUCCCGCAUACGGAACUACAAAAAACAUUUACAGAUCAGUUUUAGGAUACAGGAAGUACAUGAUAAUACAAAAUUGAGAAAUGCCAAAGGUGGAUUAUGAGCACAAAAACUAACCACAUAAGGGGAGUUUUCAAUACGAUCACCACGAAGUACUUCUCCAAGAUUCUCUGCACUGUCCACAAUGGUUUUUGGAGCACAAUAUGGAAUGGAAUAGAAAGAAUAAGGAAGUUGUGUCUUUGUGGAUGUCAACUUGUUCACUUUGACUUUCAACUCAUCUCCCUGAAACCAGAAGAGAAAAAAAAUUAGCAAAUCAAUUAUCAAAGAAAAGAAGGAACAUGGAAAAAAAUUAGUUAUGGCAUUGGCAUUUUGAACAUCAGUAUUUAGGUCUUAUUUAGUUCUACUGAAAUGGUUUUUAUGGUGGAUUAUCCCUGGUUUCCAUACUAUUCUAUGUUCUACAAAAUAGGAAACCAAGGAAGGGAGGAAUCCAAACUCUCAUUUAUAAGAUAAAUGUUCUCCAUGGAUCUUGCUGAAAUACAAAUGCAAAUUGUUCAUAUUGAAGACCAAUGCAAAAGCCUACAAACAUAACUCCUCCGUUCACAUUAUAUUCACAGUUGUAAAACAAGAUCCAGAGUUCACAAUUUGAACGCAUUCCCAUGUCCAAGUAAACAGACAGUGAAUACUAACAUCAUUGAGUGCAUGUAGAUUCUCCUAAAAACAUGCAAACCAACAAAUAGAGUACACAAGCAACAUAGUCCAAGUCACUGAAGGGUAGAAGCAUGAAGACGAUAGAUAUCUUUUAUCUUUCCUAUAAAAGCAUAUGCUACCAACAAGAAGACACUGAAAACAAAAGAAUGUGCAAGUUGAUUCCCUUAAAACUGAUAAUGCACAAGCGCUAAGCAUUUGAUUACUGCACCACAUACUAAUUAAUAAACAUUUCUAUGCUUAGUAUAAUUCAAGUGGACCAGCAUCGGGAAAGAUCCAGAUAUAAACCGACAAUCCCAACAAGCCUUAAUGCCAAAUCGUGAUUCUAAGCUCGACAAACUGUUGUUCCCUCAUGUGAGUUCUCAAAAUGUUCGAGGUACAACAAAGCAACUUGUUACAUCAAUAGCAGCUCAACUUCACUUCACUAUGAAAAUUAGCUGCAUCAUUAUCUCAUCAUAUUUCAGACAAAAAACACCAGACAUGUUUCAAAUAAGAAGAAAAUGUCUAGUCAUAUCAUUUAGUAUUAAAGUAAGCUGAAUAGAGUGAAUUGAUCACUCAAACAGCUAUUAUUAGUAGAUAUUUCUUGAUAUUCCAAUUUCUACAUCAUAAAAAAAACCAAGUAAUUUAAAAGAAUGCACAGACGCUCCUCGUUGAUGCGCGAAAAAUUAAAAAUGAACUUAAAACAUCGCCAAGGAACGAAUACCAAAUCCUAAUUUCUGCUCGUUUAAACAAUACUACCAUUCGCAUUCACUAUAUCUUCUUCAUCUCUGCUAAUUGGUAUUAAACUUAUCAACACAAAACUUCCAAACUUCUAGAACAACAAUGAUUCCAGGAAAAAAAAAUCGUACAAAUUACUAUUCUUGAAAUAGGAAAACUUUAUUUCCAUAAAAAUGCAUCAUUUCCUCCAUUGACAUAACUAACUGCACCACAUUUCCUAAACAGUAGCACACUUCAAAAGCUCAACUUAAACCUGGAUUUACAGAACAUCAACACACGUAACUAGAAUCAAGUAAAAUUUGACAAUUAUUAACCCAGAUCUGACCAAAACAAGCUAUAAAACAGUUAAAAUGGCACAAAACUCAUAAAAUCAAACAAGAUCCAAUACUACAACAAACAACUUCUCACUUUUAUUUCCAAAAAAAUUAAAUCAAUAUAGUCCAAUUCAAACAUCAAGAAGAUCUAAUUACCUUGAUGAAAUCUUGCGGAGCAACACCGGGGAGGUAAAAACAAUGAGCGGUGGCGAAGAACAGACCGAUGAGAACGACCGAAACCGAGAUCCAUCGGUGAAUUAGCUGAGGCCUUGCGACCUCCAUCUCUCUCUAUCUCUCUCUCUCUCUCUUCUCCUCUUUCUCCUCUUUCUCUGUCUAAUUCAGUCUCUUCCACUAAGAUCUAGAUCCACACACUCCUCUAUAUAAAUAUGCGUAUGUAUAAUUUCCUCUUUUUUAAUUUAUUCCGCGAAUCUAAUGAAAUUACUGCGUGAGUGUGUGAGAGAGAGAGGAAAAUGGUGGGGGGGGGGGGAAUUUAAACUUAAUUUUGGGUAUUAAUAAUAUAGUGGGAGGAAACGGGAAGAACAAGGAACAGCCUGCAGCACUCAAGAAAAAACGACUGGGGAGGAAGAUGGAUAUGUGGGGAGUUGGAUUCAAGGCUAAUUAAACUAUCAUUAGUAAUUUUUAAAAAAAUAAUUGCUGUGGGCAUUGAGGACCGUUGGAUUGAGGGAGAAGUCGUGGGGUGAAUAGUUGAGAUUGGACCUAAAUGGGGUUGACGAAGACUGAAUGGUAAUUAAUGAAGUAAGAUUUUUCUUUCUCGGUUUUGGUAACAGUUUAAGAUUUUCUUCUUUUUUUUUCGCAUGUUUGAAUAAAUGGAAAGUUGUUGAAGUAAAAGGAAAAUAAAAGUUUAUAUUUAGUCAUAAAAAAAUUUUUUGAAACAAAAUGGGAAAUUAGCGAAAAUUAGUGUCAAUUCUUAAGAUCCUUCCGUCCAUUUAACCAUUUUCUUUCAAGAUCCUGCAAAAUUUAUUAUUACAAAAUACAAAAAAAAAAUGUAUAAGAAAGAACAAGAAAAAUUUCAAAUUUCUUAAGAGAACAAUAACUAACAUCCUUCACUUUCCAAUGUAAACAAAUAUUACAUUGGAAAUUCUUUCUUUAAAUUAGUGGAAUGAUCAUGUAUUUAAUUAUUAUUAUACUCUGUUCAUCCCAUAAAGAUAGAUUUGCUUCUACUUUCACACAUUGAGAAUCACACAUUGAGAAGUGUGAGUUAAUAUAGUUAAUACAAUCAUGUUUUUCCAUUAGUUUUAGUAUUAUAUUUAUUACUGCAACUAAAAUGAUUGACAUGAGUCUAAGGCAUAACAUCUAGUCAAAUUCAUACUCAUAACACCAAGUGAAGUUCAUCAUGCUUUUGUUUUGUUUGGACAGCAACAACUGUUGGAUACAUUUUUCAAUCAUCUUUUUACUUUAUAUAUAUCAAAUUAUUAUAGUAAUUUUUUUACAAAAAAUUCAAAAAAAUGCAAUCCAAACAAAACCUUAGAUCUAAAUUCUUGAAUGUAUAAAAGAUGAAAAAAUAGAAAAAAAAAAUCCAUAAAACUUCGACUUCCAUUGAAUUACAGAUUUUUUAAAUUUUUAUAGAAAAAUAUAUUAUAAUGAUGUGAUAUGAGAUAAAAAGUGAUUAAAAAAAUAUUUAUGUGAAAAACUCUCAAUCUGAACGGGACUUGUUUUUUCAUUUCUGAAAGUGUUGCUUAAUGUAGCGGUCAAAGUGUUUUAGAUUUCGAAGCUUCGCGCCGUCGGUGAAAGUUCUAUUUGCACAUUUGCCCUUUGAUUAGUCCAAUUUUUGCAUUAACAUGCUGAAAAAACUUGAAGCUUGAAGUUAGUGGUAUAGGAAAUUUGAGACCUCUCUCGCUCAACUCACCCAAACUUUGUUAAUUUGUUGACCUUUAUAUCUUUCGUUUUUUUUUUCUGGUAUAAAACUUAAUUACACCCCUUAUUAUCAUCAAGUAAUUAAAUAGACUAAUCAUGAGGUUUUAGUAACAAAAGCAUACUAAGGCACUUGAUCAAAACCUUAAAACAAACACGUGGAGUUACUAGUUUCGUUAUUACACAGGCUUUCUCUGCUUAGCAACCUGCAACAAUGUAGUUGACUUUGGUCAUCUAUGUUCUUACUUUUAUGGUUUGAUGACAAGAACAAGGAAAAAAAAAGACAAUCUUGCUAGUCAAUACAAGGCAUAAACAGUUGGAAGAAGCUUUUUUGUCUUUUGUUUUUUUUUUUAAAGUAGAAAGUUUUGAAUUCCAAUCUUAUACCUACAAUAUCAUUUAUCUUACCAUUAAUUCAACCCUUCCUCCCUAGAUGCUAUUUUACUUGUAUCGAACAAGAUAUAAUUAAAAUGCUAGACAAAAAUGAGAAAGAACGAAUAGGAAUAUACAUGAUUCCGUUGUAGUUUUAGCAUGGUUUGAUGAUGGAUUUGUACAAUAUAAUUCAUUAGAUUGUUAAAUUUACCAUCAGCUUGAUUUCAAUUCGGCCUAGUUUCACGAUACGUUUGAUAAAACUUAAAUCUAAAAACUGAAAUUUGAAAUCUGAAGUUUAAAUUCAUUAAGUUAUUGAAUUGUUAAAUAUUAUAUCUAAUAUAUUUGAACGUAUAUCACAUUCAAUGAUAAGUGAAUAACUUAUCACUUAUUUUUGAAAGUAAGUUUUGUUUAGAAAAUUCGGUGUCACUUAAUUAAUUCAAAUAUUCAAUUUUUGGUUAUCAAAUAUAUUUGAACAUAUUAAGAUUUGAAUUCAUUAAAUUUAAGUGUUGAAUUAAACUAUCAAACAAACCUUAGGCGAAAAGAAAGUUUACAAUCUAAAAUGGUCCUUGACUUUGACUUGCUGUUGUGGUAAACUCUUGAAGUAGUUGGGCAACUGAAAUGUUAUGAGCCAAUCGCGCAUGAUUAGCACUAGUGUGUUUGGAUUGUAAGUUAUUUGAGAUAUUUUUACUGUAGCACUUUUUGUGAUGUGAUGUAUCAUGUAUGUGAGAUAAAAAGGUAAUUGAGAAGAUAAAAAGGUGUAUUGGAAAUUGUAAUGGUGAUGUAAGCAAAUAUAUUUGGACAAAUAACUUCCAAUCCAAACACACUUCGUUCUGUGCGCCUGUGACUCAAUUUUUGUCCUAUGUGGUUUGUGAUGAAUUGAUAAUAAACCAAAUUUAUUUUUUUUUCUAUUAAUCUCUCGUACAUUGAUAAUAUAUACACUGUCAGUCUUGGAUAAAUGACAGGUAUGCAAAAUUUAAAUUUGAAAUCCAACUUUUACACAUGUAUCAUGAAUUUAACAGUGAUAGUGUAUACACUGUUAGUACAUAUAAAAUUUAUUCAUUUUUUUUUAACAAGUGCCAAAUAUUUUUUUCCAUGAUUUGCAACAACAUUGACUUCCAAUAAAAGUAGACUAGAUUUAGGCAUAAUCCGAAGUAGGACUGUGCCCGGUUGUGAAUUUAAAAGAGUAACAAAUCACAGAUUUUCCAUAUAUACGAGAUAUGAAAUGAAUGACGAGGUCAAAGCGGCAGUUCUUGCUUAAUUAUUAUAAUCCAACAAAUUAAUCAAGUCAAGUAUAUUAAAAGCUACAAAACUUCGAGCUUGCUUGGCUUAUAAUUUUGACCUACCCUUGAUUUGGACAACCCAGCUGUUGUGUAGUUUCUCUUUUUUAUUUUUCUUAUUUUCUUCCCUCAUCAGGACACCUUGUCCUUUGGUGUUCACUUAAGCUCCCCCCCCCCCCCCCCCCCCCCCCCCCCCAACAAAUGCUAUAUAGUUAUUUCAUUUCUCUGUCUAAUUAUUUCUAUCAUUUUCCUUGCUGUAUAUGAUUGAAGAAAGCCAAAGUCCAUCGAAUGAUCAAAGGAAUUUUUUUUUUUAAACGAGUAGUGGUCAAUUUUUUUUUUUUUUUUUGGGAAACAGGGACGAAUGGAAUUUAAGAAGCGGAAAAGAGGCAGGAGAACAACGGUUAAUUUGAUUCACGUUUCAACCAACGCAAAACAUAUUCAAGAAGUGAAAUUGCAUAUUUUAUGUGGAUGGUAUAUUAAAACAAAUAAUGGGACGUUAGAAGGUGCUCCUCAUCUUGUUUACACAUCCCUAUCAUUUGGGAAAUUGGUAAUACUUAGUAUUAUAGAAUAGCUCAUUAAUUAGUCUUUAUAAUCCGUGCAAGCUAAAGUGCCAGCUUUGUAAAGCCGUAUAUUCCAUAAUUUUUUUUUCCUAUGCUGCGCAUUAUUUAAGUCAUAAGGAGUGGAAUUAUUCACCAAACGUGGGUUCCGUUCCACGGUGAAAAUCCAGCCCUUAAUUUGAAGAACUGAGAUUUUAUAUGCACUUUAUCUCUACAAUUAGCCAAAUUAAUUCAACACAGAUCCCUUGGGCAUGCAGUCACCCGAUAGUCUACAGCCCAGCACCGCAGACUUUACCUCUCAAAAGGACUUUGCCUGUUUUGCCUAGUUCUUCACAAAUUUCCACCGUUCUAUAUCGUCAGUUUGUCAACAAGACUAGUUGAGCAGAUGUGAUGGUAGAAUUUGAGAAUAGUUUGUGUAAAAUUAGUGAUCUAGAAUAACGAUAAAGGACCCCCUACUUUUUUUUUUCUCAAAAUCAAUUAGUGGUGGCUUAACACUCCCUCUCUUAUACGUGACUUGAUAUUGGUGAGAACCUCUCUUAAAUGGAUCGAAACAAACUUAUGAAACGUAGUUCGGUACGAGAUGCAAGCGAACAAUGCCCUAAUAGCUCAAAUUUUUCGGGAUCAAAUCUAUGGUGGGACUCUUUUAAGUUAUAUUCAUGAAGUCGUCAACUUUGUUAAUUUGCAUUAACCCUAGAUUCGCUUGGGCAUGGGUGUUCUGGUGCACGCUGCCUCGCACCAGGUGCACGAUGGGCUCUAGUUGGAUAGGAUUAUUCGUUUCACAUAAAGAACUCACUUUAUAGUUUUCAUCCGCAUCCGCAAGCCCCGAAUUAAACUUCUUAUUGCACACCAAGAGGCAUUGCGCCGGUUACUAAAGCUCGAGUGUUGUGUACCUAUUGUGCAACAGGAUUCUCGACUCCCUUAGUUCCUAUGAAUGUCCCAACUAAGUUGCAAAUGGAACUAUGAAUAAGUUGAUGAACAAAACUUGAGGCCCAACUCUGAUAUCAUGAUGAUCAUCUUGUACUUAGUUUUCCAAUUUGUCUGCAAUCUUAGAUUUGCAGCCGAUGCUUCGAUAACGAACUAGUUAUAAUAUCCUUAGCUAUUCAUACUGCAUGGAGAAACAAAGAAUUAAGAAAAGAAAAUUCCGCUUCACCACCUAAUUAUCACGUAACGUCUAAAUCCCGCCAACGCCCCGCCCCGCUCCUCCCCCACCCCCCGGUGCCCGGCGGGGCAGCCAACCAAAAAAAUUCUGGGGUUAGCAUCCAAGAUUCGUGCAAUUUCGAAGAAUGAAUACUUCCACAAUUAAGGGAACUGAAGCAAAUACUUUAGCAUCCAUCCUUUAACAACAGCAAUCACAAAACAACUUAAUUUCCAUCUUGAGUAGGUGCAUCAGUUAAUCUGACAGUGCGAGGGAGCAUAAACUCAGCGUGUAUUGGGUAGUGUGAUGAUGGAUAAAGCCCAUCAAUAUUGUCACUUAUCACUUCGCAUGAGACUGGUGUCAAAGAUCUGCCUCUAAAAAGAAUCCAGUCGACAUGCAGAUCCUGAGUUUGGCGAUCCCAGCAGAGGCAAAGUGCUCUGAAGAUCAGCUUAAGGAAUUCAACAGCUCCCUGCUUGUCACCUGACAGAACAAAAUAAAGAUUGAGGGCUGGAAAAUACACCAGACUCAGAUUAGCCUUUCGAAAGCUAGCAUGUUGAUACCUUUGAAUCCAUGAUAAGUACGUAUUAGGGAAACAUUUUUCCUUACUCGAGCAUUUGGCCAAGUAUCCCUCAUAUCACCGACAACACCAUGCUCCCUGUAAAAGAAACAAUGUUUCAAAGAACUUAGCAGCUAUACAGAACACAAACUACUUUAAACAAAUUUAGGAGUUGGAGAGUAGGGGUCCACCAGGAUGAGUUAGCUACAUAUUCACCAUUUGUAAAACAUUAUCUUGUGCUUGGGGGAGUGAAGGUUGACUCGGGAAUGACAAAGCCACUCAGCUGAGGUUUUAUUGGUGCAAGUGGUUGCUUCCUACAUGAUUUAACAGGAUUAUGGGCAAUGGAAGCAGGACACUUGAUGCCAGGAAACCAAUCAGACAAUAUGUAGAGUUGCAGCAGGUGACAACUCAUUGUCUGACCAUGACUGAAAAUGCAGAUUCACACCCAACUUUUUAAACAUAAUACUUUUAUGUUCCUAUCUUGCCUCUUAUCCCAUCAUAAAACACAAAAAAUAACACCUAGACCAACAAAGCAGAUGCAAAAAUGGGCGGUAUGGAGCAUGAUAUUUCCACCUCGAAAAGAACAGAAAAUCAUAGUGGGUUAACCUUCUCUCUGUAACGUAACAAGCACUUUUUUGAGAACUGAUGAUGCUAAUUUAUAAUCGAGAAGCAUUAUUUUGAUACUGAGACCUAUCAUAGAGUCGAAGACUGUCGCAAGCAAUUUGACUCACAAAGUUUGUACCUAUACCAAGUUAACGCACUUAGAUUACAGUGCUAAAAAUUGUAAAGAAACUAUUUCAAAGCAAUGUACAAGAGGUCUACGAUUUCAAUUUCCAGUCCAUUUCUCUGUGUGUUUUAGUAUUUUAGCAGAAAUCACAGGGUCCAAGGCCAUUUCAUCCAGCCUUUUCACUAUGAAUUCAUUGAAGAAAAAUAGAAUUUCUCAAGGAUCAAGUAGCAACAAAUAAAAAAAAAGAAGGAAUGUUCCCUCUAUGUUUGAUAAAGGGGAUUAAACUUAUCAAAAGAAACGAUGUCAAGACAGAACUUUCACUCAACACAAUUCCGUUACUCCGGAUUUAUCUUCUUUGCAAAAGUCAAGGAAUAUUUGUACAGAAAAAUUGUCCAAAUUGCCAGCUUGGACCAGCCAGUCCUGAUUAAACCAGAAGCCCACUCAUUAUUCUGGCACAAUACAGCCAUAUUGUCAUUUGAAACACAGAUCAUGAAGCUUCAGUGAGGCAUUAUUUAUUCAAAAUUUAUACACAGAAAAUAUCCUCCUUGCAUACACCCUUUAGAUUCUAUCAAUUUCUUUGGAAGUGCAAUUUUGUUGCACUUUAAAAUUUUUAUGCUGCAUUUUGUUGGUUUCGAUUUUGGAAAAAAUCUUGAGACAUUAGAUGCACUGAACAGAAUGACAAUUCUUCAUAAAGGAAACUGUCCUAGGCUUGGAAUGGAUAUUUGUAAACCAAUAAUGUACCCACAUAAAAUUGAGAAGAUUCCAAGGAGGAAUACCGUAUACGAUAAUAUUCAUGCUGGUUGUUUCCAGGAUGUAUGCAAUAAAAAAUUUCAAAUGAAAAAGGCAAGUUGUCAAAGCAAAAUUACAAGUAUAAUUGACUUAAAUACAAACUGAAGUUAUCAGCAGCAGAGUUCAGAGAAAAUGUAAAAUUUCAAUUUCAGGCUAAAAUUGAAUCAAUACCUUGAUCUUCCAAGAAGAAAACGGCCAGUGGUUGAUUCCUUUUGUGUAUUAAAUCCUCCACAGUAUACCACAGGCAAGCUAGGAGGCAAAGAGGCAAUAUGUUGCCAUGUCAGCAAAGCACUUCGCCUACGAGCCCGGGGACUAAAUUCAUCCAUGCAAGUAUUUACUAUUUCAAAUGAAAAACCAGGUGGUUCCACGCCUUUCAGUUGGAAUGUGUACACAAUUUGUAAAGGAAGCCAAGUGUAAAAUGGUCUGUGAUGCAGCAUUGAAACAAAUGGAUAUAGAGAAGACAGUAUAAUGUGUAAAAGGAUAUUGCCCAUGUUGCAAUGCAUGGAACAAUAGAACCCCAAGACAUGCUUCCAGGUACCGAAGGUGACUCUGACAACCAAAAAGUCCCACCCUCUAACAGCUCUACCUUCAUCCAGAAACAUAAUACAUGAAAAUACAGGUCGAGUUCUUUGUAUGUUCAGUGUUCCGUAAAGCACUGGGAUUAUAGUAGGUUUUAUUCCUUCUACGAGUAAUUAGCUCAGCCAUGUCACGCUAAGAUAUAGAGAAGUUUUACCUUCUCCUUGUCAUAGAAGAUGGUGCAAUACUGGUCUGAAGUGUCUUCAGAUCCUUUCCUUGAAAUUCCAAAUUGGUUGUAACCUUUUCAAAUGAAAGUUGAAGCAUUAUAAGUGCUAGAAUUCUGCAUAACAUGUUACUGAUCCAAACUGAGUUAUUGCACCGUGCAGGUGUCUUUAUCUCAUUGAUAUGAAAAAAAAAAUCAAAUGAAGCAUUCUCUCGUUAUGAAAUAUAAGAUGUCAAGUUGCAAGUUUUUAUUAAUUAGAAAUAAGCUUAUUGCAACACGAUGCAUACAGAGCCAAUUCGUAGCUGUGAUCUGACAAAAUAAAAGACUAAAGAUGUCUUAUCUAUAAAACACAUUAGCAUGUUUGCAACAAAUCACGCAGGUAAUAAAAUCAAAGCAUGCUCAAUAUAUAUAUCAAAGCACUGUUAGAGGUCAAGAAAAAGUUUAGCCCAUGCUGGUUGCCAGGAAUCAGAUGGUUGCAAAAGCAAAGCUACCAACUCAGUUGUCUUACACUAAAAUGCAACGAAAAUUUGGGCAUCUCAGGGAGUUCAGGACCAGGAAGGCAAUGCUGUUACCUUCCACAGACUUAAUUCCUAUACAUACUAAAACAUACAUAGAUCCUAAAACUAUUCCUUAAAGUAGAAUUUAUUAGAAUCUUAUUUUCAAGAUGUCCUAAAUCGUCUCUUGUUAGGUUGCAUAAAUAUAUUUUUCCAUAAAUUAAAAGCAAAAGAAGGGAAAAACUUUUCAUUUGGCUACCAUGAUCCCUCAGUUCAUUUAGAUGCUGCAGAAUGAAGAGUCGUUCAAACUCAUUGAGCACCACAAUUUUUCCAGGGAACUAAAGAUCAUGCAGCUAAAAAUCUGUAGGUUAGCUCUCAAAACAUUUAUGGGUUAAUGUUUAGAGUUUGUCAGUACUAUGAUAUCAUCAAAUUUUCAACUAUAUCUCGAAAUGAAAUUUCUUUGCCUUUUGGCAUCAGCACGUAUAUGCAGCAUAAAUCCAAGAAGUGAGAAACACAGCAGAAAAGCAUAAAGAUUUCAGUACACUGAAGGAUGGCAUUCAACAUUCUUUUGCAUCUAUUCAAUUGAUGGACUAUAAGCCCUCCCCACAGCAUAUAGACAUGACCCUUAAUCUUCCCUAUUCUUUUAGACGCCAGUCUCGUCCACUUUAACCUUCAACAUGAACAAUUGCAAACCUGACCAUUAUCUUCAUUAUAAUCCUGGACGCAAUUAGUGAUCUUCUCCUUAACGGAAAAAAAAUAAAUUUAUUCUUUGAUAUCUACUUGUGUGAAUCUCAACAUCCUACGUGUCAUUAAAGGGCUCCCUAUUCAAGUAUAAACUAUGAGGUCAACCUGUCUGUAGACAACUAAUUUAAGCAAUGAAGGAGAGAUAGAGCAGAAGAAAUGCAAGAUGAAAUUUGGUCAUUGCAUCAUAAAACAAUAUACCCCACAAGUCCUCAACUCUUUGUGAGAAACUUCACCUGUCAAGCACUGCUGAAGAUAGUCCAACUGUGACUUUACACCUAAAACCAAAAGACAACAUGUCAAGUUGCAAAACCAAACAUUUAUGUACAUAGUUAACAAAAGAACUGAAAAGCAUUAAACCAUUUAAGAACUUGAACACUAGAAAAAUCCAGUCUUGGCCAAUGACCUGAGAAUAGAAACACUAACGAUAACAAUAAGUGUACAAUACCCAUGUCCAAAAGACAAAUACAAAAAAUCCCAGAUCAACCAUUUCAACAAAUGCCAUAUGAACAAUCAAUCAAGAUUCAAGAUCCACUCAAUACAUUAAUCCCAUUAAAUUUCAUACCUUGUUGGGUACAGAGAAUCAUCGGAGAAUAACUGGUGAUGACACUUAUACAUAUGUCUUUCCUUUUGUCCCAUGAGUUAGGACUGUCCUCUGCUUGAUCCUCAAGAAGAUUAAAGGUCAUUACUGUUAGAGAGACACUCAUUUUUCAGAGCCUCUGCUGCAGCUACUUCUCUCUCUUUGCUUUCUUUUCUACAUGGUAAUAAUGAAGCCAGAAAUUAUUGGAGUUUCAUUUUGCUAUUCCCAAAGGUGUGAUCCUAGAGUGGGAACACAAUACAGAGAAAUUUUUGGUUUUUCACGGUUGUACAGCUUGGGACUUGGGGAGUUGAAAGUUGAGCCUGAGUCAAAUAGAACGCAGCUCCUGCUGUUGGGAAACUUCUAUUAACGGGGCUUUCCAACAUGAAGUCUAGGUGUGUGUCUGAAAACCGAAUCCUAGGGGCAUGAGGCCCAAAGAGAUUAUUAGCUUUUGCUACAUAUCAUGCGUUAUAUAGCCCAGUGAACAAUAAUCUCGUUUGAUUAUUUCAACUAAUUUUAGACUCUAGUUUUGAAUAAUCAGUUAUUUUUUUAAUGUUCUCAUUUAUUUUUACAUCUGAAUUUUAUAUUCUUUAAUAGAUAAAAAAGCUAAAAUUCAGAAUCCGUAAAGGGACAGCUUAAAUUGAUUCUAAUUUUUUCUAGAUAAUCAAUUUUGAAAAUUAAUUUUUACAAUAUCUACAAUAAACAAUAACAGUUCUUAAAUAAUUAUGAAGUUCGAUCAUUUAUACUCAAUUUCCACGUCUCCCUUCUUCUUUUCCCUUCUAAAAGUUCCCUGUUUCCAUUUUUAAUCUUUUGUCCACCAUCACGUCUUUUCUUUUCACCUCUCUCCUAAAAAAAUUGUACAAAAGGAAAAGAGAAUUUUGGUUGGAAACAUUUGCUAUUAGCAUAAGGUGUUUCUUUUUUUUUUUUCUUUUUUCAAUAUGGGUUUAUAAGAAUUAUACCAAUUAGGCCAAAAUAUUUUGCUUUUUUUUAAAAAAAAAACCCAUGUUAUAAUUCUCUGUACCACUAAAAUCAAUGAUACUAAUACAGUACAUUCGUCAGAUGACUUAAAAUUCCAAGCAUUGACAAAAUCUCUUUGAAAAAAUGACCCAAGAAGUCCAAUGUUGUAUCAUUUUCACACGGAAAUAGUUAGCCAGGUUCCAUUUCAAUCCACCUGUAACACAAAAUACAAUUAUUGUAGGACCUCAAUUGAUCCAUUUCUUUUGAUACAUAGUUUCAACUACUCCUAAAGCUUCUACACUGUAUAAUUUAGACCCUGUUUAAUAAUCCAAUUCAAUAUUUAAACUUAAUAUAUUCAGAUCUUAACCUGUUUAGACACGUUUUAUAACAAAAAAUUAAACAGCAGGACAAAAUUUUAAUUGGUAACCAUAAUAAAUACUUCUUUUUCUAUGAGGAUUUUUUCAAUAGAUUCUUAUCGAAUACUCGUUAAUACCUACAAUUCAUCUAAUCUAUCAUAUAUAUACACAUACUAACAAUUAUUACCCUCCAUUGCAUUUAUAUAUAUUUUUUCUAUUUAAUCUUAUCUACCCUCCUUUGUAUUUAUUUACUUUUCCUAAUUAAUCAUACAUUUUAAAAAAAAUAUGACACUUGAAAUAUAUUUUAACAAGUGUCCAAUAAUCAGAACCUUCCUACAACAGAACCACCAUCCAGGCGCGAGCAGCUAAGCCAGAGUUGCAUAUACUUCCACUUAUCAACUUUGCUUAACUUUAAGGAAAGCAUCUCUUCUGCUUAUACUCGAAACAUCGCCAGAAUAAUGCACUUCAUACUUUUAUGUUUCCUUCCAGUCAUACCAUAAGGUGGCUUCUGGGACGCAGUUGAUUAAAAAGUAUAAUAAGAGGUUUCCCUAUUGAAUAUUUUGACAUCCUAUCAACUAUUGACGCAACCAAUCCUUAGAUAACCCAAUAAUUGGGAUUAGCAUAAGAAUUAGAAGGCUAAAUGACACGCAAGCAGCUUGAAAAAUACACAAAGUGGGACACCAAGUUUCAGCUUUUCAAAGGUGUCAGCACUCAGUAUUGCAGGCUGCAGCACACAGAAAAACCAAUGUUUGUUUUUAAAAGUACUUUUAUUGCAUUACUGUCAGCAAAGUUUACCUACCAAAGCAAAACUCCACGGAAGAAUUCACACUGCAUAUAACACAAAUUUCAAAUUUCACAAGAACAUGAGAGCCUGCUAUGGGCAAAUGGCAACCUGAGCAAUAUCCAGAUGAUUCAACAAAAUCAAGCAAAAGCCCAUUAAAUAUCUCGCUUCUCAGCUCUCAACGUAUUCUCUUUUCUUUAUAGAUAAGCUUAUCCCCUUCAACUUUACUUUCUCCUGAUAAACAGAACUCAGAUAGAUAGCUACUAAGAAGAGUUUUUGAGCACCCACUCCACCAAAGUUGAUAUGCCAAAUCCUGUUGCACCCUUCUUCUUUUCAUUCCAAACAGGACCAGCCAUGUCAAUGUGCAUCCACUGUACCUUUUCGUCAACAAACUGCGAAGCAAACAAACAAGCCACAAAAUAUACCAUUGGAAAAGAAAAGGGAAAAAAAUGCAGCAUGCGAUCAUUGCUUUCCAAUUUUAAGAACACACCCGAUUAGACAUUUAGAAAACCUUCAUGUUUCCUAAUGGCCUGAAACUUGCUCAAUUCCUUUUUCAAAAGCUCAUGUGUAAUUGAUGCAGACCAAAACGGUUUAGGAACCAAAAUUAUGCAUCAGAAAGUAUUUUCAUUUCAUUGGUGCAGAAUAAGAUAUCAAAGACCAAAUUGACACAGAGAUCAUAUUUCAGAUACCACUACAUUUUCUUUACCUUUUCCCUGAUACUUUUUUAUUCUUUUUCUUUUUUGGGGAGGUGAGGAGGGAAAGGAAGGGGGAAGAAAUGCAGAAGUUUCUGAUUAGUCAUGUUCAGCUAUUGAUCUUAGCAAUGUAAAGGCAUUGUAUAAUUUCUGUAACACAUGAAACAGAAUUCAUUAACAAUGCUGUCAAUUGACGGUAUGAUUUCAAGUAAAGAGUGGUUUGAUUUUCUUACACACUUAUUGACCAUAAACGCUUCUGUUUUAACUUGAUCUAGAAAGUUUCAAAAUCAGAUGACAAAUUAGGCAAAGCCAAGUUUCCAGAUCAAUACCUGCUUCAGGAACAAAGCUGCAGUGAUAGAACCACCUGGACGACCACCUGUAUUUACCAUAUCAGCUACUCCAGAUUUCAUAGAUUCCCAGUAACUUUCCUCCAAAGGCAUCCUCCAGAGUUUUUCUCCAGCAACUUCAGAUGCUUCAAGUACCUCCUUUGCCAGGUCAUCACUAGGUGUGUAAACACCUGUGUCAAAUUUCCAAAGUCAAUACAACUGCAAUCAUAAAACUGUUUUCCCUUCCUUUAUCUUUGGGGUGUGGCUAAUGCCACUGGAAGCAUUAUCAAUGCAAAAAUGAUGUAUUCCAGAAAUGCGUCAAAAUCUAAAAAAUCUACUUCCUCGAUAAUUUCAUAAAAGAUUAGGACACAGUUUAUCAUAAUGUACAUGUAGUUUUGCACAUCUUUAUAAGAAAGAGUAUAAAAACUUGUUCACGCAAGACAUACAUGCAUUACCACGUAAUGAUUUUCACCAAAAAGAACGAGAGAGACAGAGAGAAACAAGAAGUACAAACCAGCAAUUGAGGACCCAAGAGCUAUUAUACAUGCCCCGGUCAAUGUAGCCAGAUCAACAAUCUGCAUAAAAAGGUAACUCGUCACUCAGACAGCUAGAGAUAUUGCUAAGGGAAGACUGAAAUGAUAUUAACUCUACUGGCAAAAAGCAAAACAUAGGACGUUUAAAGGUGGUGAGGGUCAUGUAUCUGACCUGAUGCCUAUACAUUUUAACAUUGAGACAGAAACUUCAUGAUAUAAUGAGUAACGUCAGGAGUCUGAGAUUCCCACCAUGAACAAUUCAAGGAACCAAACAGGAGUUUACUUUGCAUAUAGUGAACUGUCCAAAAUGAAAAAUCAACUUCCAACAGGAUCACAAUACUUAUUACCCAGCAAGUCAAGUCGAGCACUUUAUGAUUGUCCAAGCUUUCCAAGUUUUGCAAAUAAAUAUAAUUAAACAAAAAUAUUAUAAUAACUACACAGAAUAGCAGUUUCAACUUUCAAUCUCCCUUAAAACAGCCUAUCAGAUUCUGCCAUUGUAGCUUUCAAAAUGAUAGCAUACAAAAAUGAGGUAGUUCCUUCAUUCCUUCUCCCCUAAGUAUUCUGCAAGAUUUGCUGCUUGUCUUUUCGCUUGGAAAGAGGAGUACAACAAAAAUUAAAAACACACACCCGAAAAAAAAAAAGGAACUUGUACUAAUAAGGAGAGCAGAAGGAAGAAGAAAAACAUAAAAUUAUCAAGCAUACACAGCAUCUGAAUCAUACCUUUUCAACCCCUUGAUUACAAGCAUAUACUAGAGCAUCUGCGAGAGUGAGUCUUCCCUCGGCAUCAGUAUUGUUAACCUAUGAUGAAGAUAUACAUAAGAAAGCAAUUUAUAUAAAUUCAUCUACCAGAUGUAUAGGGACAAAACUUGUUCACUCAUGUGAUAAAAAGAAUAGACUUGAAAGAUGAGAGUUGCAAACUCUUCUCCUUUCUGUCAAUGUUUCCAAGCAAAAGACUUGCUAAAAUCAAUGUGCAAACUCUUGAAACACAUAUAUUCAUGGUUAAAUUAUUACAAAUUAAGAACCAUCAUAAUGUAACAAGAGUCAACCAUGAGUGAAAAGAAAAUCUGGUCUUUUACUGGACAUUUUGUAGCUUUUAUCAAGUUUAACAGAGUCCAUCAGAAUUACAAAAAGAGACAUUUUGUAGCUUUUAUAAGGUUUAACAGAGUCCAUCAGAAUUACAAAAAGAAUAGUUUCACAUAAAAGUUAAAUGCUUCUAGGCCACUGAGCAUAUAACAUAAAAUCAGAUUGAAUACCUGGUAAAAAAGUAAACCUAUAUAGUCAAUUGUCUAAUUAUCUCAUCAUGCUGCAGUAUAUAAGCAUGCAAGCAAAAGUGUAUGAACCCGUAAGCAUAUGUAUAUCGAUUGUCUAAACAAGGAAAAUGAGUUGAGGUCGGCAACAGAGCCUAAUUUGUGCAGAGACUAUGAUAAUUCACACCAUCUGUAGAACCAGGAAAGAAGAAAUAAAAGUAUAUUUCUGGCCCCAUCAGAUCAGAUAGUAGUAACUGAAGUCAUUCCUGUCCGAAAGCAUUACCUCAAUAGUCUUUCCAUUUGAAGCUGUGACAAUAUCUCCAGGUCUCAUACCUGUUCCACUGAUCAUAUUUUCACAAGCUGCAACAAUGAAAUGAACCUACAAGCAAAUAACUUUUUAUUAGCCCAUAGCGUCCAUUAGAAGGUACAAUUGAUAAGAAAUUGUUUAGAUAUUCUUCCCGCAAGAGGUGAUAAAAGUUAGUUAAGGAUAAAAACAAUUCAGCAAGACUGGUAAACAACUCACCUCUACUCCAGCUGGCUUGAUUUGGCCAAGAGCCUUUGCUGCACCCAACACAGCUGCAGAGCCUCCCAUAUCAAAUUUCAUGAGCUCAAUUGAACAUCCUGGUCCUGUCUUGAUAUUGUAGCCACCACUGUGACAAUAAAGAAAGGCAAAUGUUCUUGAUCAAUGGUCCACAAAGAGAAACUAUGAGAACAUUAUAGUACAUGACAAAAGCAGCGACCCUCCAGGCAACCAAAAUUUAUUUUGUGCCACUUAUUACCUGUCAAAAGUCAAUCCCUUUCCAACUAAAGCCAGCUUAGUUUUGACGGAUCCACCCAGAGGCUUGUAAACUAUAUGGAUAAAAUGCGGAGGAUUAGCAGAAGCUGCAGCAACACCCAGAUAGGAUCCCAUUUUUAACUCUUUGCACUGCUCCACGUUCAAGAUUGUUGUAGUGAGUACAUCGCUGUACAAUGAAGCAAUCCUUUUGGCCUCUUCAGCUAGUACCGCUGAAGUACAAGAGACAGAGGUGAAGUAUGAGGGGAACACUCGUCUUCCAACAUGCAUAAAUUUGGGGAGAAAAACAAGGACAAAAAGAAAAACAUAAAGUCAUUUGGGCGUUAAAUACCGGGCAGGGGUUAAAGGCAGAAUAUGGGAAUCAAAACAAAGGUAACAAUCUGCAUCGCUCAACUAGUACAUAAAAAGAGAUUGCAAUGAAAGAUUCACCAACCAGGGGUGAGUACGUUGGCUGGCGCAUUGACAAGGUUUAUGCCAAAAAUAACUGCUGAGGAUACAGAUUCUGCAAAUUUAAGUUUCUUUUCUAUCUCAGGUCCAGUACCCAAACCAAGAAUGUCCACAGAUGUAAGAGUUGGUUUCUUUGACUCUGACUUAAACCUGCUAUCUUCAUAAGUCCCCAGCACAGUUCCUAAAAAAACACAUUAUAUGGUCACUGUUUAAUCAAUCAAGUUCCAAAAAAGGGAAAAAAAUACACACAGACAUAAGCAAAAUAAUUUGGACAAGUGAACACACCAGAUGCUAUGGCUGAAACAGUUGUAAGCCUUGAAUCUGCAGAGAGAGUUUCAGAAGAAGCAAGGGCAAUGGCAACAUUACUUGCCUGAGCAGACUUAGCUGCAGCAGCAAUUGUCUCACCAAGACUGCGAUAAGCGGCAGUAGUCGAUGCUGCUUGUCCAAGCCCUACCAAGCCAACCCUUUUAGUCCCCAGGCCAGGAACUCUGAGAAUUGUUGACUGCCCAGCCUUUCCAGUGAAAUCCUCCUCAGAAGACGCUUCAGACAACAAACCACCUAACUUGGAAUCUAACUUUUGCAAGAUUGGAUUUUGGAACUUUGAACUUUCAUCUUUUGCUACGUCUUUCUCUGUGACACCUAUAGCAAGUAUGUCUCCUUUCCAUUCAACCAAAUCAAUCUCUUUUGCCGCAAAAGAGAUCUUCCAAGAGUUCCAUCAACACAUUAAAAAAUUCAGCAAUUCAUCAACCAUGAAAAUACCAAUCAAACAGCAAUAUUUAUACACAUGGGAUGAAAAAUAUCUACAUUUAUAUGACCUCAAAUAAUCAAGCCAAAGAAGUAUUUUUAGUUCCGAAAUUGAUCAAAAGAACCAGACUGAGCAAGAGAACUCUUCAAUGUCAAAACAUGAGUUACAUAUAUAUAAAAAAAAAAGAUAAAAAAUGUACUUAAGGUCUAUCAUGAUCAACAACAGAAACAAAAGUUGAAAUAGAAAUUUUAAAUUACCGAAAAAGACUCAAACUCGAUGCAUCAGAAAUGUACAAAAAAAUCCAAAUCCAAACUAAUAUAUCAAAAUAUCAUGUUGAAAAACACUGUCCGAAGAAGUAUUUCUAAGUACAAUCUGUUAUGCAACAUCCAGAAUAACAUAUAUUAAUUCAACCAAGUGAUGAUUGUCUAUUAGUCCAAAACUAACACCAGAUGAAACUAAAUUCCAAGAACACAAUAAAAAAUUCAUCACACAACAAGCAAAGCAUUCAGCACAGUUCAAAUCAACCUACAAAGAAAAAUAGUAAUACUAAGCAAGUAUUCUUUAGUUGGGACUUAAACCUUAGGCGGCUCAAUUUAAUUAGGCUGAGUAAGGCCAAGACCAGCCUUAGCAAUGUAGCAAUGGAGUGGGCCAUGCAUUUUGCUCUUCUUGAAGAAUAACAACACAAGGGUGCAACAGAAAAAGAAAAACACCAGAUGGGUUUAGAUCGAAAUCUCAUAAAAACUGAGUAACAAGAUGAUGAAAAAGAACAAGAAAAAGUUGAAGCAACAAAAGUAUGAGAACAAGAGGCUAAAGAUGCUGAUGCUCUAACGGCUGCAAUUGUACAGUGGCAUGGCUAAUCUAUUUAUACUACUAGAAGUCUAGAACAAAUAUAAUAUCGUCAAUAACGUAUGAAAAAUCAGAGCGCAAAAGGAGAGUAUGUUGUGGGGUUCCUCAGGCUCAAUGGAUUUGAUCAACUGUGCUUGUUGACCUCAGCGACAGCAUCUUUCUUGCCAGACUAUGACUAAAAAGAUUUCGUUUUCCUUUUCAUUAUCUUUAAGGGCUUUUGCUAGUUUGUUUACCUUAUCCCUUGGUAGAGUUCUUAGUAAGUUGAAUGAUAGAAUUAGUAUUGUAUAGUAUUCUUAAUCUAUUUACAUUAUAAAAAUGAAAGAGCAUAAUGCUAUCAUGUUCAUUAGUUACCUUUUCAUUGGGGUACAGUUAGUAGAUCACAUUAUCACAAUGGCUUUGCCAUGCCUUUUCAAUGAGUAUAACGCUCACUUUUUACUUUCAGAAUUAUACUAGUUAAAGCGUGAUUAUUUUUAAAGAAGAUCACUUUUAUCAUUUAAAAAUUAUAAUAACAAGUCAAAUCGAGCUAAUGAAAAAUGUGGAGGACUGUGUUUUUAACUUCCAGCCUUGGCCAGCCACAGAAAUCCCGAAAUACAGAUUAGUUUUCAUUGACACAUAAAUAAUCGCUACAUUAAUAAAGCCAACAUUUUUGCCAUCGUAUUUAAUUCAGGUAAACGAGUUGAGUAAAAUAUUGCACAUAUGCUCGCAUAAGGUAUCUUAAGGUCGGCUUAUACCAAUCAAACAGCAAUAUUCAUGCGUAUAUGAUGAAAAAAAUAUAUUGACAUUUAUAUAGCGUCAAGGAAUCAAGACAAAGAAGCAUUUUUAGUUCCAGAAUUGAUCAAUGAACCAACAAAAGAACCCUAUAGUGUCAUAAAAAUUUGAACUUUGGACUCUCAUGAUCAACAACAGGUAAAAAAGUUGAUGCAAAUUUCUAAAUUUCCGACAAAGACUCAAACUUGAUGCAUCAGGAAUAGACCCAAAAAAAAAAAAAAAAAAACUCCAAUCCAAACUAAUUGAUCAAAAGCCAUGUUGCAAAGCAGUACCAAAAGAAGUAUUCAUAAGUACAAUCAGUUGAGCAGCAUCCAGACUAAUACAUCAGUCCAAAACUAACAACAGAUGAAACUAAAUUCCAAGAAUCCAACCAAAAAUUCAUCAAACAACAAGAAAAGCAUUGAGCACAGCUGAAAAUCAACCUACACUGAGAACUACUAGUAUUUAGCAAGUGUGAUUGAGUUGGAGGACUUAAACCUUAGGGGGCACAAUCUGAUUAGGCUGAGUAAGGCCAAGAGUGGCGUGAGCAAUGGAGUGGGCCAUCCGUUUUGCUCUUCUUGAAGAAUAAUAACACAAGGGUGCAACAGAAACAGAGAAACCCCAGAGGGGCUUAGAUCGAAAUCUCGUAAAAACCGAGGAACCAGAUGAUGCAGAAGUAUAAGAAGUGGAAGCAACUAAAGUAAGAGAACAAGAGGCUAAAGAUGCUGAUGCUCUGAUGGCGGCCAUUCUGCAGAGUGGGGGGCUAAUCUAUUUAUACUAGUAGAAGUCUUGAACAAAAAUCGUAUCAUCAAAAAUGGAGAGUGUGAUGUGGGGCUGGGUUGCUCAAUGGGCUCAGUCACCAAUGCCUGUUGAUGUCAGCUCCAGCAUCUUUCCUAUCAGCCUAUGAUUAAAAUUGAUUUUUGAUUUGGUUUUUCCCCUUAUCUUUUUGGGAUUUUGCUAAUCUGUUUAAAUUAUCCAUUGGUAGAGUUCUUUAUUUUGAAUCUUGGCUUGGUAUUAGAGUAUUUUACUGCGAUAUGCUAUUGAAUGUUAUAUUGUUCAUCUAUCAACAUUACGAAAAUGAAAAAGAAUAAUAACGCUAGCUUGUUCUUUUUCUUUUCUUUUUUUCUUUUGAGCAAAUAUGCUAUCUUGUUCAUUAGUUACCUUCACAUUUUAAUUGUUUGAGGUAUACUUUAGUACAUCAUCAUUUUAUUACGAUGCCUUUGCCACGCUUUUUCCACAACCAAAAUUGUUGCACUUUUUUAUUUUGACUUGUAGUAAUCAAACUAUAUGUUUAUUAUAAAAUAAAAGGUAAUUUUGUGUCCUUUCUUCUUGGAUUCUUAUAUUAUCCUAAUAACGUAAAAUCAGCUGAAAUAAAUUAUUGCAUAGAGUAUCUCAUUAUUUCACAAGUUGACAUAGGUAAAAUUCACUAAAAUUUUGAAAUCAUACGAAAAAUAAACCUGAAAAAAUAAUAUCCUAGCCCUUAUGUGCAGGAAUUGAAUCACCAAAUUUACUAUUUUGUGGUAAAUAAGGAGGAAACAACAGUACUGUAACAUGUACCAAAAAAACAAAAAGGAAUUGGUUUGUUUGGAUUGGGCUUUAUUUCCCCAAAUUUAUUUGCUUACAUCAUCAUUACAAUUUUCAAUACACCUUUUUACCUUCUCAAUUACCUUUUUAUCUCACAUACAUCACAUCACAAAAAGUGUUACAGUAAAAAUAUCUCUAAUAAUUGAACGCAAUGAGGGAAUAACACCUUUCAACUUGAAAUUUUGACAAAAAGAAAAAAACAACAUUCUAGCCCUUCAAUUUUGUAAUAAUUCCAAAACAAGACAUUUUGUUCAUCGAUCAAAGAUUGAAUCUUGGUUUAGUGGUUUAUAUUCUUGAAUGCUAUCUACCAGAGAUAGAGAUACAAAAGCAUGCUAUCUUGUUGAUGUGUUACGCUUUAAAUUAUUUUUUGUUGUACAUUAGUAUCUCACAAUACAUUUGCCAUGAUUUUGUCACAAGCACAAUGAUUUUAUUUCUUAUUUUUGAAGUUUUAGUGUAAGUAUAUCUUUCUUAUCCAGAGGGAAAAACAGUAUUAUUGGAUAGUGUAUUAUUUAAAAUAUUAUUUGAAAUAAUUAUUGUAACACUUUUUGUGAUGUGAUGUAUGUGAGAUAAAAAGGUGAUUGAGAAUAUAAAAAGGUGGAUUGAAAAAUGUGUCUAUGAUGCAAGCAAAAUAUUAUUUGGGAUAAUUGGGGUAUCCAAACAACUAUAUGUAAUUGGACUUGAAUCGCCUUCAAUAAAUACAACUAGAUAAAAAUAAAUCAUUUGUAUUUUGAAUCUAAUGUAGCAAAUCUUGAAGGGAAAUGACGUUAGAACUCCUAAAAAAUCUCAAACACUCAUUCCUUUUACAUUUAUGGAGUGUUUAAAAGUUUUUUAAAUAGUGCUAAUAUUCAUUUCCUUUCUUAAAAUAUGAAAUGGGAGAUAAUAAAACCAAAUAGUACAAGAGUUAGAUACAAAUCAUUAGGGGGACUCAAACCAGAGCCUUGGCUAUGACUUCUUCUCAGGUAACUCACCGAAAUAUGGGUAAGACGUCCAUCCGUCUGAUAUGAAUAUAUGAUAGCGGUUAGUGAAAAAGUGACAAUCGAUAUAUGACUGGGUGUGGAUUAGUGAGAAAGUGAAAGAUUAUUAGAGUCAUUAAUGUAUUUAUAACAUACUAAUGGACUAUUUAUGUAAUUCUAACAAAUGUAUAUUUCUGUUCCAAGGCUCAACCACCGCUUGCUCGCUCCGGUCGGUUGGUCCGCUUCCACCGGGAAAGGGAAAAUGAAGAAAUAAAUAAAUAAAUAAACUAUAUAUAUAUAUAUAUAUCGUCUGAAUCUCAUGCUUCGCGUGCGUAGAGUUGCCUAUUGUACAUCCGUCUAGAACUUACUAGAAGAAGUAGAAGAAGAAGUCACCGGUUUCGAUUCUGGGGCUCGGGAGCUGUAUAUCUUCUGAAACCCUAGAUGAGCUAAAUUCUGAAGCAUUGUACUAAAAGAAAGAAAAAAAGAAAGAAAUGGUGGCAACAAAUCUCAAAGCAGAGACAAUGAAGCUGAUGGAGCAGAGGAGCGGAAUUGAGGCUGAAAUGAACGUCAUCAUCGAAAAUCUCUGCCGUCCCGGUGGCCCCGGUCUGUCCGGCAACCUCCUUGAUUCCGAGGCAUGCUUUUAUUUUUGGAAAUUUCUAGAUUUAGAGUUAUUUGCUGAUAUCAUUUAUUGAUGAAUUAAGGUAGUAAUGUUUGCUAUUAUCUUGCAGGGAUUUCCAAGGGCUGAUAUCGAUAUUCCUGCUGUGAGAGCUGAACGUCAUAGGCUUGCAGGUAAAUAUGUUGCAUAAAUGGUUAGUAUGGUCAAUUCUCUUCCUUUUUAAGUUCAGGUGAGUAAAUUUUGGUGUGCAAGUGAUGUAAUUAUGAGCAGAGCAAGAUUAAUCGAGGGUUUGUGAUGGGCUAAUAUCUCAGUGGGAUUCUUACUAAGUGGAGCUUGAGUUCUUGGGAAAUCUUGCCCCAAAUUAAACCGAUAAUGUGGCUAAAUGAUGUUGCUUGUUUUAAGUUCAUAGAAGUUUUUGGUAAAUCUUAAGUUACUUCAACUAGGAGUUGAGCAGGAUGUUUGCAUCUUGAAUGAGAUGUAGAACUUGGAAAAAGUUAGCAAUUUUUGCGAGUUUUCUGCACAAGAGAGACAAUCUGUUUGUCUAAGAAGAUGGUUAUUUGGUUGCCUUUAUCUUCAUUGCCAUGCUGCCGUUUGAAUUCUAAACUGGUCAUGAAAAUUGGAAGCAGUAAAUGGUAGUCUCAGGUUUUGAAGAGACACGAGUAGUUAUUGUAAAGCAAAGGCUUUUUGUGCAAGGCCAUAUCAUACCUGGAUUUGGUGUGAUGAAACUGUUUAAUCAAAUCUUGGGGAAGUGUUAUAUUUGGUUUUUGCUUUCAUUUUUGUGGUACAGCAUUUAUGACAACUAUGGGAAGGUGGAAGUUUAUGUGGAAGAAAUGGUGGUAUACCCCCACCUCCUUUCCCAAUAAUUUGUGCUCUCAAGUAACUCAACUGUAUUCUCUAUUGGACCCUGCUCUGCAGUCUUGAUUAUUAAACUUGUGAAUAAGAUGAUGAGAUUAUGGAAGGUUCUUUAUUGUUCUGUUUCAGUUUGACAUGCACUAUGAUGUGGUUAAGUUGUUUGUAUCUACCCUUCUAGAUGAAAAGUUGAACCUCUUUCUUAAUCUGAAUAGUAUCUCUGAAAAGAACCAUGCAGUUUUGUUCAAUUGAUCUUCAUCCAGUAAAGGGCCACUUGGAUUAAAUCUACAUAGUUACUAUUUGGGAAAACUGUUAGUAUAUUUGAUGUAAGUUCACUGAGCAAUGUCUUUUGGAAACCUAAUGGUUUUGUCAUGUUGAUGCUAUGAUGGCCAUCAUUGUGCAGUCUUUUUACUUGCUCAGCGAGAUUGUGAAUUCUCUCUCUGUUUGUUUUUCAGAGGUACGCAAUGAUCAUAAAGAUAUCACAGAGAAAAUAAACCAAAAUAUUCAAGUUCUGCAUUCAGCAAGGCUUACUUCUACGACAACUGAAGAUACAGGUAAUCAUUUCAAUUUUAUGUCUUUCUUGCUGUUCGCAUUGAUCAAGCUUGUGAAUGAGUUAUGUUGUUUAUUUUUAGUAUUUUAAUUUCCAAUGUGAACAUUUUUUUCCAAAAACUUAUUGUUAUUGACUCAUCAGUUGGUGUAACUUUCUUAUUCUUUCAUUCUGCGUCAAUGUUGAACAAUUGAUUGCCUUGUUUGAGUCACCUGAAACUUUAUAUAUUUCACAACUGAGAAUCUUAGUUAAUGCCAAGGGGCUUCUGCCCCCUUCUGGAUUGUACUAUGUCAUGGUCCCAACAGUUGCAUGUAUUUCUGCUAUUUGUUGCUAGUUACUCAGCUAACAAUAUUUUAUGUACUUUUUAAGGUGAUGCAGGGAUGAUUGAUUUAAAUCCUUCUGUAAAUUCUGCCACAAGGGAUGCAUCAAGGGCCAUGGAUGUUGAUGUAGUUGUAAGCAAGCCCUUUGCAGUGGUUGAUGAAAUAACUGAAGGUUCUCCAGCCGCAGAAGACGGUGUACAACUUGGGGAUCAACUUGUGAAAUUUGGAUGUGUGGAAUUUGGUGAAAACCUGUUGCAAAGGCUUGCUGCUGAAGCGCAGACAAAUCAGGGGCGUGCAAUACCUGUGGUGGUUCUCAGGCAGGGUGCUCGGGUUAGUUUAGCAGUAACACCAAGACCAUGGCAGGGACGUGGCUUAUUGGGGUACGUUCAAACUUUUUCUUCCUUGCUUAUGGAUCUCUUUAUUGUCUAAAAUAGUUCUAGCUAUUUAAAAUUUUUGGCCUUAAGAAUCAUCAACCUCAUUAUGGUUGGUGAAAGCUUUAAUUUCUCAGUAAAUGCAAGAAUCGACUAUAGCUGUUUGUGUGUUACAUCUUUACCAAGCUUCUUUCUUUCCAACUCCCUGCCCUUCUUUUGUUCUCUUUUCCUGAGAAAAAAUGAAAAUUAUUGUUGUGUUUGCCAAUUUUUUGAGAUAGAUUGUACAUUUUCAGAUUUGACUCUCUUCUGGAAUCCUAUGAGGGCGAUUUUAGCAAGUUGUUUGAUUGUUGCUUGGUUCCGUGUUAUCUAGGAUGUAUGCGGUACCAAAGAAGGCUGAGAACAAUUUAAAUGCCACCUUUCCUACCCCUUUCUCUGAAGAAAUAGGGAAUCUGGGAAAAUAUUUUUCUGAUAAAAAAUGAUUUUUGUUAGGUCAGAAAAAUCCCAAGUAAACCAAGACUUGGGGCUUGAUAGUGCUGUAGUGUUCAAGAUGCUAACGAGUUCUGUCCUUCCGGUCUCAUCUUUUUAUCUGCUUCUAUUUGUCCAACUAGAUAUUGGACAGGUUCCUAAGGACCUUAAGAUUUAAUGCGCGGAGAGUUUGUCUUAUGGCGUUCAAAAGGGUGGCUUUUUGAGAGAAUUUCGCUAUAGUUUGCUCCCUGGCUUUUCCUGUUUUGAUAAUGUUAGCUAUUCUUGCCUCCCCACAUAUGCUAUAGAUAAAAGUAGAUAAAUGUUCGGUCAGUUGCUACCUCAAGUGCAGUGUCCCCUCACGCAUUCUGGCCUCAUGGGGUCCCUGCCCAGAGUACGCCUCCAGUUGUAGAUAGUCAUCUCAUUGCUAAAGCAACAAUACUGUAGUUGAUUAUUCCGUAUUUUUAUUACUGCUUUUACUUCUUGUUUGUUAAUGUCGCUUUUACUGCGGUCAUUUUGUUUGGAUUGUAAGUUAUUUGAAAUAUUUUUACCGUACCACUUUUUAUGAUGUGACGUAUAUGAGAUAAAAAGAUAAUUAAAAAUAUAAAAAGAUAUAUUAAAAAUUAUAAUGAUGAUAUAAGUAAAUAUAUUUGAAAAAAUAAUUAACUGUCCAAACAAAAUGCUAUUAACCUUCAAUUUCCUGGUGAUGCUUGCAGGUGGCAUAUACAGAUAAUAUAAUUGAUUACGCUGUCGCCUACAGGCUCCACUUGGUAAACUUGAGGCCAUGGAAGUGAAAGGCGUGAAACUUUGACCAUCUAAGAAGGAAAUACUUCUGUCGUGUUCAAACUUCAAAAGUUAAUCUGUCAACAAAAAAUUAUAGCCAUGAUGUUGCUGUACUCAUUAGAUUUAAAGUACUGUAAACAUAGAUUGCUCAUAGCAUGAUGCGUGGAUUUUUAUUCAAAAAUCUAUAACCUUUUUGGGCAGGCAAAGAUUAGCUUUCAUCAAUAGCCUACAAUUCCUACUCUAAUUUCCAUUAACAUGUCCUACAUUUGAGUGACUAGCCAAAACAUAAGCUAGAUUAAUGUUGUAAAAUCGCAAGGUUCCAAACAGAAGGGACUAGAUAUGUUUUGGGCAAAACAAAUGCAACCCAUUUUGGUCCCCCGCUCGAACGAUAGGGAUCAAUUUUCUCACUAGUGUGGAUGUCCCUUGGGCCAUGUUGUUUCUUACAAAAUUUAUUCUUACAAAGGAUCGGACUAGUGACGUAUACAAUACUUGAAUUCCUGAUGUAGAUGCUAUAUGGUUGGUUUUCAUUCUUCAAAGAUUACAAGUGUAAUAUGAGCAUUUCAGAGAUGACAAAUGUAAUUUGAGCAUCCGUCAACAAAAAGAUCACCCUAAAAAUGCUAUAUUGGACGUAACGAAGCUGGUAUUGCAAUCGAAAUAUUUAUUCUAGUUGCAUUUGGCAUAAGAUUAAGUGCAAAAAUAUUGUUAAUUUGUUAUGGUCCAUUUGAAACUAACAUUAAGAUUACAAAGUAGACUUGGUGCCUGUUUAGACUAUUAUAAAAUUGCAUUUCAUUGUUUUAAUUUUUUUUUUUUUUUUGCAUCUUCUUUUAUGAGAUGGAAGAGUAUAACAUUUUUUUUUGGGUAGAUAUAAAAUACAAUAAUCUGAUUGCUGAGAUCUGAAUUCAAGAAGUAAAGCUGGGAUUGGUCAUGUUGUUUAGCAAUCUAAAUCAUGGAAUUUACGAAAUCAAAUGAUUAUGCAUGCUAUUUAGUGGAUUAUCGCAAGGGAUCAAACUAGUAGCAAUUUGAUGUCUUUUUACCAUUUUAUACUUUUAUGGCAUGGAUUCCUCUCUGUACUAUGACUUGAGAGCAUAUUGUUGCCUCAGCUUUUUUGAACUUUCUUGUAUGGUCAUAUAAUCAUGUGUCUCAAUUCACAUGGAAAACAGAAAAAAAAAAAAAAAAAAAAAGGGCUGACGUGCUGUCUUACUUUUCAAUGUAAUCAACUGUUGGAAAUUGUUGUAAAUUGUUUCUUUUAUGUCUUUGGAUUGGGAAAAAUAGAAGACAACUUUUUCUACCAACCAAAAUUGUGUUAAUUCUCUCCCUCAUGUCCUGUUAGAUGGGACUUAAAAAGACACACCGAUUACCCUUUUUGCACCAACCACUUAAAAGAGUAAUAUAGCACUUGAAAAGGAAGAUGUAUGUUUCUCCGUUUCACAGCAACAUACCAGAUGUAGCAGUCGAAUUAAUUUAUUUAUUACGGACAGAAAUUAACUUCUAGAAAACUUGGGGAUUAGAUACUAAUUGUAACCAUAUAUGAUACUUAAUUCAAACCUUGACAGCUUCCUAAAGUUGGUUGUUGUUCCAAAUUGUCACAUGAAAAUGAAAAAAAGAAAAAAGAAAAAAGAAAGGGCUUGUCCCUUAAAUGAUCCCUAUGUUAUGUAUGCAUAUAUGCAGGGGCUCAAGAAUGAGGCCUUAAACUGCAUAUUUGUGGAAAAUUUCUCUUCAUGAUUUAGAAACAAUGAAACUAUACUAGCAUGCCAGACAAAGCCAAUGACACGAGCAAUGAUGAUGAACACCAUGGAACAAGUAAAGAGGUUAAGCCUAUGUAUCUUUAUUCAAGAAAAUGGUAAACGUUUUAUGUUUUAGCAGGAAAGAGUGUUACACGUAAGAAAAGUGGGUCGGAUUGGAUGGUAAAGUAGGAGCGAUUAAAAAAAAAAAAAGAGCGUUACACGUAAAUUAAGUGCUGCUUUCAGGCUUUUUGGUACCAUAAUUUUCGUGUUAUCAAAUGGAAAUGACAGUAAUAAAACUAUAACCGAGUUGCUAAAAAUCAAGUAAUGAGCACUGUUAGUCAAGCAGCAGAAUUACAGAAAUUUACAGUGUCAAUCAAUAAUACAUUCUUGCUGUCACAGCAGGAAAGAAUUCAAGUCCUUUUGUCUCCCAUUCUCAUUUUGGACACAAAUUCCAAAUCUUGUCGACAUCUUAUGCAUGCAAGAUAAAUUGUUGCAGCAAAACAGUUCUGUUUGCCUAAUUUUUCAACCUUGCAUUUAUCUUUUCGAGUCCGUGAUUAAUGGUCCGGCGAAAUGUGUAAAUGUUUCCAACUUUCCAUCCAUCGACAAUUAUUUGAUCCAUCACGAAAUACAUUGAAAACUGAAAGAAACGGAUCAACUAUACUGACUUGCCAGUUGCCAGCAAUGUCAUUGUCACAAAAUUUGAUAAAAUAAUUCAUUUCCUCUUAGUUAGAGCAAAGGUCCAAAUUCCAUUUGGCAGUUUGUGAACUAUUUGUCUUGCAUCUGCUUCCUUAUAUUCGAUUCUCUCUUCUAGGCUUUCGUAGCCAAGUACUCUAAUAAAUAAGAUCAAAUAGUUAAUCGAUUUUUGCGCUUCCGGAAAGUACAAAGAUAUUUUGAGUAGCAGACAGCAAAAGUACUCGUAUCAGUACAAUUAUCUACAAUAAUAGUAGGCACAAAACAAAAUUAUUAAGGUAAAGUCAGAAGUUCUAUUAACAAUCCGGUUGUUGGAUUGAUCAGAAGGGAGUGAGGAAAAAAAAGAAGUGUCUUGAUUAUAACAAAGAAAAACAAGAAGACAAUAAUUAUAUCAACUUCCAAAUUAUGCUUUGUUUUAUUUUUUUUGUUGUCACAGUCAAUUAAGCUUCAUUACAAAACUCUAGCAUUGUUUAUCUAAUUCAUGCACGAUAUAUAUUUUUUUUCAUCGUCAAUUGAGUCUACAGGCACCCGAUGGAGACUGAAUCACCAUCGGACCAGAUAUGAAACGGGUGAAAUUGUUUUCCUCUGUUGAGAUUCCAAAAGGGCCAGAACUGUCUUGUCAUGAAAACCUUUCAUUAAGUAGAUGACUUUUGCCAACAAGAGUGGAGAUAAUUGAUUGGCUUUCGAAAAUAUGCUUAAUAAGGGAUUAAUUAGAUAGACUUAAAAGUGCUAACGCCUGGGUGCGGUUGGGGUGGCGCUGUACUCCAGGCGCAGGGGAUUAGUCGGGCCGCCUUCGGGUCUUGACCCGGACACCCCUGUGUUGAAAAAAAAAAAAAAAAAAAAAAGAUAGACUUGAGCAGUGAAGCAUUUCAACACAAAAAUCAUGGCGUUUUAAGCUGUGUAACAGACUAAUGUCAAGUUUUUGAUAAUCCGUGAAGGGACAAUUAAACGAAACCAUUUCAGGGAAAAAGAAUAUAUUUGUUAGUUAAGAGAGAUGUUUACCCUAUUAAGCCAAAAUUGAUUUGUUUCUUAAAAGUCUUGCUUUCCAUUUCAAUCUUUUGUCGUUUGUUUGGAUUUGUGUAAACAUUUAAGAGAAGUCCAAGAUGGGAAGCAAAGCAUCCAAUGACUCAAAUGUAAGCAUCACCUCCGAUUCAACUGUCCAUCCAAAGCCAGGCACCCCUCACUUGCAACUUUCAGGGACUCCUUGGAACCUUAACAAACAAAACCCAACUAAUUGGCUAAAUUGAAGUUUGAGAGAGAACUGUUUAUUAGUAAGAUGGAAUUAUGGAACAUUUCUGACUCGAAAUGUUAGGGAGAAACGAAAGCUAAACUGAUGGUUUCUUGUCGAAAUCAAGUUUAGUUAAAAUUGCAUUACACAAGUAAAUCUUAACCAUUUCUGUGGUUCAAAAAGACUCUUAUUUUUCUGGAAGCUUAUGCUGUUCAGUCUUAAUUUUAUGGUUUCAGAUGUGUACCGUCUUGGUCGAGGCAAGUAUUCUUAAAACAAACUUCUGUCCAUUCCCACCUUACUAUUUCUGAUUUAAUGAAAUCAAACCUCUUAUAAUUGGUUCAAUUGAGUUUUGUCCAAUUCUGUCCAAUUUGUGUGAUUUUCAAGAUUUGAUAUAAAACCACACAAUAUUUGUUUGUGGAAGUAUUUUAUCUUGUUUGUAUACACCAAACUUGUAAGAAUUACACCAACUCGAUAAAAUAAGGGAUAAUUUCAGAAACCUCCCCUAAGGUUUCUGACAGUCUCACUGUCCUUCCCUAAAGUUUUCAAAAUAUCAGAAAUCUUUCAUAAACCUAAUUAGCUAGUAACAAAUCAACCCAAUUCAAAUACAAAAAUAAUAUAAAAUUGGUAUUAGGAGAGAGAAGACGAUUUGAUUCCAUAACUACCCCUUAAAUUUUGCAUUGGGUAUUUAAUUCAUUAUGAACAAUAUAUAUCUAUUUUAAAUUUAGCAAAUGUGAGGUGUUGUAAAUGAAAUUGCUUACAAAAGCAAGGCUCCAAUUUCAAAAUUGUGUAACUAUUACUACAUUUACAGAGUGUAAACAAAAGAUCAGUUUUCUAACUUUACGUCAAGUUUAGCAACUCAAAGUCUCAUCUAUGUAUUUCACGUGUAAUAUCACACUAUUACAUCUAUUAUAACACAUCAGUUGCAUACUCUACUUCAGGAGAAACAAAGCAUGUAAACCUUGCUACAGCCAACAUUUCAAUUUAAAAAAGGCCAUUUGUUGAAUAAUCACAAACAAGAAAAAAAUUAUCAUCAUUAAAAGAUUUUUCAAUUUAGUAGCACACAACCAACAAUCUGUACUUAUAUUUCAUACAACACUAAUACCUAUUUUCCAUGACAAUAAAAGUAACAAUUAGGAUAAAAAAAGAAAAAGCACUAUAAUUGAAUAUCAAUCAUCAAAUGGAGCAGAUCAUAUAGAAAAUAAUACAAACUAUAUAAUGUCAUAUUUUCCAAUUUUUGUUUGAUCCAAGCUAUUAUUUUUCACUUGUCGGGUCACUGUUAAGCAUGACCAACAAGAAUUACCGUAACAUUUGCAAUCAAAUAAUAAAAAUUCCAAAAUUUAAGAGCAGAAAAAUCUUAGAGGUCGAUCUUGAAAUUUUCACAAUCACCAAAAUUUUGAGAAAAUUUUGAGAGUAAAUUUCCUCUUCAAGUCUCCUAAAUCCUUAGAUCUAUUUCUCUUAUUCCACAAAAACCACUAAAGUCUGAAUUAUUGUUUCUACUCAUUCACAUCAAUUAUCAAUCUCAAAAAUGCACCUAUAUUUGGCUCCCGUUUUGUAAUGGCAUAUUAGAAAUUUAAAAAAAAAACUUAUAAAUUGUCAUUAUUUCUAUUAAACCAGUUAAUAACAAUUUAACUAAGAAUGUGAGCAUAAUUGCGAAAUAUCUCUUAAAUUGUGUGGGUAAUUAAGCCAUGCUUGGAUUGCUUGUUUCCGUCGGAAAAUAUUAUCGUUUUCCGUGAUCACAUUUCUCUAUCACCUUUUUCCCUCACAUAUAUCAAAUCGCUACAGUAAUUUUUUUAUGAAAAAUAACGGAAAAUGCAAUCCAAACACAACCGUGAUAGACGUAGCAAAUGGACCCCAAUGACCUGACAGGGAGGUUUCUGAUAUUUUAGAAACCUAAACCUCAGGGAGGUUUCUGAAAUUAACCCAUAAAAUAAUCUCACUUGGACCUGCCACUAAACUACAUUAGCUAUGGACUUAAAAAGUAGUAAAAAAAUUGUUUAAAUUGCCUUGGCUAAAGAAAGAAAGUUGAAACGGUCAAGCUCAUCUCCAAUCACACUCCAUCGCCCAUUCCUCUUCCACUCACUCUCCCUCUCCCUCUCAUUUUUCUUCUUUGCCUCCCUGUCUCUCCCAAUCUCUCUCAUCAAUUAAUCCUCUCCCUUCUUCACCUGUUGUGGUAAGUGAAAAAAGUUCAUGGUUCAUCUCUCACUCUCCCACAUUGUUCUUUCACAUUUCAGGUCUCCACUUUACCACACUCCCGAAAGGUAAAAAUGACAACUUUCCCAAAAUUUACAGCCCAUAAUAGAAUAUAGUGCAGUGUAAGUGCUCUGCCAAAUUCUUUGUUUUUACUGCCAUCAUCAUUCUCAUCUUAGCACUGGUUAAAAAAUGUCAGCUUUUGUGCUUCAACAAGUGCUAAUAAAGCUCUGAGAAAAAUCAAAAGAGAAAGAAACAUUUGCAGACUGGAAUCUACCCUCUCUUUUAAGAAGGCUCAUUAUUAUUCUAAUACCUUUCUUGGCUCAAUAUAAAACCACCUAUUCACAGCUGUCUGCUAUACUUAAAUCAGUAACUGCUGCCACUCCUCCCUCCUCUACUUAUAAGUGCGUCUUAUUCUAUGGCGUGCGUGCAAAUCUAGGCAUUGGUCAAAAAGGUGAUAUAUAUUUUUCCCAUAUAUGAAUAAGGGUGGUAUACUUGAAAUUUUGAGAAAUGGGUUUCUGGGGCUUUUGAAUUUUGAAGCAAGGAAAUGGUGGGUAAGAGUAAAAAGCACUACUUUUUUUAUUUGUUGAGGGAAGGCAGGAAAGUUUGGGUCUCUUUGGCGUUCUACUCUGGCGUUUUUGGGGUUCGAGUAGCGGGGGAGGAGAGGGGUUUUGGAAGCUGAAAUGUGGUUUGGUAAUGCGUGGAACUUAGCUGAUGAAUAAUCCUUUUGUAGUUAACUAGGGAUUUUGAGAGAAUUGUACUAAACCCAAAAAGGGAUUUGGUUAGAGUUUCUUGGUUUCUCAGUGGGGUUGAGCAUCUUGCAAUGUGGUUGUAAUGGAUGGUAUUCAACCUUAAAUUUGGUGAAUUCUUGACUAUCUGGGAGCAUAGGAACAGAGGCAAGUGUUACAAGUUAGAAGAAGUACCUCAUUCAAUGUCAGGGGCGCCAAGGAUGAGGCCAAUGAGCGUGGGAGAUUCAGAAGGGAGGUCUGUCCUAGUACCAGGUGGGAACAAGGCACAGCGGUCACUUAGGGUGAAAAAGCCUGUCACUAAGGCUUGGGGAAAGGCAGAGAAGUCAACUGACGAAGUUGAGGUCGUGGAAGAUAAAAAUGGCCCUUCAUCACCAACUUCUGUUACUGAUUUAUCGCCUCCCUUGAAUUCUACACGCUUUCCUUCAAUACUUCGUAGACAGGAUUCAUUGUUGCACUCUAGUUUAUCACUCAGUGCUUCAUGCUCUUCUGAUGCUUCUACAGAUUCAUUUCAUAGUCGGGCAUCAACCGGUAGAAUUUAUAGAACAAGAAUUAUUGCGAAUAGGAAAAAGCACUCGGCAUCAAAGGCAAAAAUAGUUGGUCCAAAUGGUGUUUCAGGAUCAACAUCUGAUGGUUUGCCGGCCAAGAGAACUUGUGCCUGGGUGACACCUACUACUGGUAAGUCUUGAUUUUGAAAUUUGAAGUUAACUCUGAUGUAUAGUCACUUCCGUUUAUAUUUCAUUUCGUGUUGUUUCAUUUUUCAGAUUUCAUUAGUGUAUAGGGGUCAGUAGUUUGAUGGUUCUAGGUUCUAGAGUUUGCUCCGCUAGGUUUGCUUAAGGCAGAAAUGAAACUAGUGAGUUCAACAAAAUUCAAAAUUUCAGCAGUUAGUGCUUUGCAAAGAACUAAGGAAUGUGUUUCAUAAACUCAGUUUGCUCGCAAUUACAAGGUUAUUUCUAAUUUUCUUCUGGAAUCUGAAUUCCUUUUAAGAACUAAGAAGGGAAACAAUAUUGGCUUCUGAGUGUUAUAAGGUUUGUUGAUUCAAUACAUUUUAGAAUAGUUUAGAAUAGCGAUUGUUCUGCCAAUGAUACAUCAAAAUUUUGUAAGUUCAGCAUUUGCUUUAUAAAGAGGAAGUUCCCUCUUUAACCUAUGGAGGUUAAUGCUGGCAACUCUUUUGUACCACUGCUUGUAUAGUAUUUUUCUUGGAUCUUCUAUGACAUACUAUUCUUAAAUUAAAUUUGUUGAGAGACAAUAUCUGCUACAUCAAAACAACUGAAUAUUAAAAUUACAGGCUUGGAUGAAAAUUUUGCAUUCCAUAUCAGUUAAUUUUGGUGAAAUUUUUUGGCUGUUUGCGCCUGCAUUAAAAUGCUAGAAAUGAAGUGCAAGCUCUACAUAUCCAGGCUAUUCAUUUUAUCUUUUAAGUUGCUUGAAAUCAUUAGCCUAUGUUCAUAUAAUAAGAGGAGGUGGUAUUCUGGCAAUUUUAAAUUGGAUCUUUAAUUGUGCGCCCCCCCACCCCCCUUCUCUUUAAAAGGAAACUGAGUCCCAACAUAGAAUUUUUUGGUCAAAAUGUGGACGAUUUCCUUAUUUCCUUUAAAUUAAUUUAUUUUGAAAAUGAUCAAGUUUUUGUCAAAUUACUUUUAGUUGACAUUUUAACAAUCUUCAGAAGAUGUAUUCCAGGUCUAAAUAAAUAAGCAACAUAAAUUGAUCCGACAGGUGAAAAUUUGACGUUUAUAUUGAAAUGAUGGUGGAAGGGGUUUUAGUUUCCUUUAACUGAAACUGCAAACACAUUCUUUAAACAAUUAAAGCCUGUUUGUACCUAGAAUCAGGGGGUCCAUUUACUACCUCCUGGCUGCAAAGUUAGCUAGGUAUAUUAUGUAGACAGGUUCCUGAUGAUGAUGGCCAUGGUUUUAAGUUCUCUUGAGCUGUCUAUUUGUUUAUAGCUUUCAAUUGCUGAUGGCAGAUCCAGCAUAUGCUACUUUUCAUGACGAAGAAUGGGGGGUUCCAGUUCAUGAUGACAAGUGAGCAACUGAAAUGAUGUUUGCAUUUAUUUUUUAUAGUCUAAAUCUGAAUUAUGUGGUGAUUUCUUUGCUCUCUUCCCCCUUUUUGUGUAUGAUUGUGCCCAUUGAUUUGUGCAGGAGACUGUUCGAGCUCCUUGUUCUUUGUGGAGCCUUAUCUGAACUUACAUGGCCUUCUAUCCUCAGUAGAAGGCAGAUAUUUAGGUAUCUUCCAUAUAUUGCUUUCCUUGUUAUCUAUGAUUAGUGAAUGUGAUCUGUCAGUGUAAAGCACAUAGAUCAGUUUGGUAAUAUCUUGUGCUGCUUGUUGAUUUCUACACUAUUUCUAAGAAGAGGACUAUCUUAACGUUUUCUGAUCUUGUUGUUUUGCCUUCGCUUGAGCUAUUUUGAUGCAUUCUUUAUUGACAAAAUUUCUUUACGCAGGGAAGUAUUUGCAGAUUUUGAUCCCACUGUGGUUGCAAAGUUGAAUGAAAAGAAAAUAAUAGCACCUGGAAGCACUGCAAGUUCGCUACUAUCAGAGCUUAGAUUGCGAGCCAUAAUUGAAAAUGCUCGUCAAAUAUCCAAGGUAGAUUGUCUAAUGGUGCACAUUGUCUGGUAACUCUGUCCACCAGGUCAACUAGUUUGAGAUCAGGCCCUUGAGUUAUUAGUUGGUUUGGUUUCCAAGACAAAUCUGGCUAUAGCUAUAGUGAUUGAUCUUAUGGCAGUUAGACUGUUAUGGAUGUUGUCAUUAAUCUUGCUGUCCACCAAAAUGAUCAUGGCCUUGUUGUAGUACAGCAUUUACGGACCCACUAAGUUUUUUUGCUCAUGUCAUUCUGUCCAAUAGAUGGGUUUAGGACUAAUUGAUCAGUCAGAUUAGGCGGAAAGUAACUUAGUGGUGGUCCUGACCAUCUCCAAUCCGUUUUAUGUACUAAGGGCCAUGGGAAAAUUAUUUGCCCUGUUCUCUAUUAUACUGCAAAUGGCAAGUUAAAAAGUUUGCAUUUUGAUCUUGAUACUGUAAAGUUCAAAAUGAUCACUUAACAUAACUGUCCCUCUCAUUAACCGUGCCAGCUUGCCUCUAACCUAACUUUAUUGGUAGAGUAAAAGAACAGAUUUUUAUAGCUCUUUUAGCUAGUGUUACUGCAACUAACUUUUUUCAGGUUUUGCCAAUGGCAGGUCAUAGAUGAAUUUGGGUCAUUUGACAAGUAUAUCUGGAGCUUUGUGAACCACAAGCCUUUGGUUAGCAGAUUCCGCUAUCCUCGCCAGAUUCCGGUGAAGACCCCAAAAGCUGAUGUUAUCAGCAAAGACCUAAUGAGAAGAGGUUUUAGGUGUGUGGGGCCAACGGUCGUCUACUCAUUUAUGCAGGUUGCUGGUUUAACAAAUGACCAUCUUGUUAGUUGCUUCAGAUUCCAGGACUGCAUGACUCCUGAAGGAAAAGCAGAAGCUAGCGUUGAGGAUAUUGCCCAGCAGAAGAAAGUCAACGAAAUCAUCAAAUCCGAGUUAUGUGUAUCAAUGGACGAGUUGAGUAUUUCAUCCGAAUGACCUGGUUUAUCUACUUUGGGGCAGGCAAUGAUAAUGUUACUUCUUCUGUAACGCCUCUAUCAACUGCUAUUCAGCCAUAAUUUCAUAUAUAUAGCAGUUAGCUGCAAAGAUGGUUGUGUAUAUAGAAUUUAUGCAUCAAGAAUUUCCUAGAUUGGGGACCAUGAUUAAUCAACGGAUAUCUCAAUUUAGAAUCCCUUGUAUAGUAGAAAAGCUAGUGUUGUGAUUCUACUCUUCUCAAAAUCUAAUCCAGAUUACAAGUAGGGGCCAUUUUGACAUGAAUCAAACCGGCUGAAAAUUUGCUGGUCUAGGCGUGGUACUGGCUUUGUGAGGCACCUGUCUUGGGACACAAAGUACUAUCAUGGUUGCGAGUUUCCCAUGCUGUUCAUGAAGAGGGUGUCAAAACUUGUUCCAUUAGCCCAGCUUUUAAUGCCUGCUUUGGAACUAACGUGACAACAUUAUACUAUUAACUUUGUCUAGGAGUUGUUGGCCUCAUUUAAAUGUGAUUGGAAAACUUAUCUACAGGACCCCAAUUCCUUCAAGGACAGGGACCAAGUGAAUUUACUCUACUGAGGAUGUGAAGUUUUGGGCGCGGACUUGAGUAGAGCAAUCGUUCGCGUGUGCCUGGCUACACUUGAGAAGAGGCUGGCUUAGAGACGCCUCCAACCCACUGCCUCCGUCACCACACCAAACGUUUACGGCAUUUAAAUAUAAGCUAUUUUUAGUCGUUCCAAUAUAUUUGAACAGUCGGACUUUUUUAGCAUGGUGGUUGUGACUACUCAUCGCUGUCGUGACAAUUUUGGAGCUUUCUUCCAAGUAACAGACAGCAUGGAAGAGUUCGAAAGAGGGAAAUUGCUCUUAACUUGUACAUUACUAUGCAAUUCAUCUCACUUGCCAACCAAAACCUUGUCAGCAAGUGCUCCAGACUUUAGUGUCACCACAUGAUAGGUUCAAGGAACAGUGAUGCAAUGUACCCGGGUGUCUGGCGAACUUGUAAUCUAUCAUAAAAACUUCCCAGUAAUGAAAGAUGGAUGACGAAAACAGGAUGUUUUUAACCUAUGCUUCAGUCAACACGAGUAGAAGGCAAGAAUUGAAGGAAAAUAGGAUGUUUUGCCUACACACAGUGAACAAAGGAUAACAAGAACCGAAACCUUUCAUGCAAAUUCAAGCAGUAAGCAGCUUCAUUUGAAUCAAAAAGUUUUAACGCUUAAAUUUCUGCCAUCUUCUUUGUUGGAUUUACUUUAGGCACCACACCACAUCAAACAUACUAGACAGCCAUUCUGCAAUUAUUCAUGCAAGACAAGACUUACAUAUUGAUGUAAGAGGAAGCCGUGCUCUUUUCCUCUAAGCUUGUAUAAAAUCAAAGGCAGCAAUUGCACAAAGCUGAACAUUACGCAUAAAACAAUUUCUCAAGAUAAGUACAGAGAAAACAUAACAGGCCUCUAUUGCUCUCAGAUUGCCCAUAUCAAAGUCAACUAAACUUGACAAGCACAAGAAACUCUCUGUUUAGCUUACCAUUUCGAUUAAUUAGUGCACAACAAUGUACAUGAUGAAGCAGCCAAUCCUAUUCUAUUCCAGCACUAUCAAUCAGUCUAACCUACUAAAAAGCCAUACAAACAGCUAGAUAAAUGAAGCAUACCUAUAUUUGACAAGGAAACACACAAGGAGAUAAAAUCAAGCAAAGAAAGCAUCUUAUCCAAAAGAUACUUUUUCUUUAUGCCAUCCAGUCCUACUCACUAUCUUUGCUCAGACUGGAGACUGGAAUUUCAGCAAGGCUUGAUUUCAAACCCAAUACUUAAGAGAGUUCUAGCAGAUUCAACGUUCUUCUCACCUCCACAUUCCAAUGUCUGACCUUUCAGUCCACCUUCUUUGUCUACUGACCACUGGGUGGCAGAUACUUGAUUCUGGAUGGUUUCAGAUUUUACUACCUGCACAGUGCUCAUUGAAGCAGGAGCAGCGGCAGCAACAAGUGGAGCACUAGGUGGGCCAUGACGUUUCUUUGGUACUGGCAUGUCAUGAUCAUGUACACCUUUGUAGGUUAUUAUGACAGCAUUUGUGUUAUCUUUGGCCCUCUCAAUGUGCUUUCGAACUGGACAUCCUGCUGAAGUACACCUAUAAUAGUUCCUGAAAUUCAUUGAUUUGAGAUGAAACCAACCAAUAAACAUGUAGGUCUGGUAGACAACAAGAAAAAAAAAAAAAAAAGAAUGUCAGAAGACUUCCAAUUAUUGCUCAGCUAAGAAAACAAUCGAAUCCAAGCACUGGCAAGCACAAGGUCUCUCAUUACAUUCAUUUGACACUAUUUCACAGACAUCUAACUUUGGGGAUCAAUACAACCAAAAAGACACUCUUGGUGAACCUAAACGGAAUUCGGGAUAUCCAGUGAAUGUAUAUAGUUUUUUGAUUACGGGUGAAAUUUAGCACAAUAAUCACUGUAUCUUUCCAUUAUUCUAGCAAAAUAUCUGUCUCAAAAACAACAAAGGCUAAAGCAUUGGCGCAUGUCAGGGCUACACGUAAAGUGCUCCGCUCGUGUCUUAAAUAUAUAUACAGUUGUACACAUUAAUUGAGACGUAUUCAUCCAUUGAUUCAGUUGUAUGACCAGUAUUAAGUCCUUGAUGUAUGAUAUUAAACAAUAAGCCACUAACUGCUAGCUUCUUCAUGUCUCACUGCCGUCACUUCUAAAACCCUACAAGUUUAAUUCCAAAUGUUUCUCUUUUCCUCCAUUUAACUGCUAAGAUAUCACAUUUAGCAGCAACUUAUCCACCAAUGUUUCUCUUGAAGUCCUCAGUUUACAAACUGUAUCAGAUAGUUUUUCCUUUGCAGUCUUAGGAUAACACCACAAUCAGUCAACAUUUAGAAAUCUUCAUUCAUCUUAAGGCAUGGAAGCAACUAAUUUUGUUCCUGCAAUCUAACAAUUUUAGUACCUCAUGAAGUCAAUCUUUGUUCUUCUUUGGAUAGGACUUGAAAUGUCUUGAGUUUUCUCCUUAAACUAUUUAAUGGAUAAAAGCUUAGUAAUAUAGCAAUUAGCACUGUCAGUGAUUACUCCUAUCAUGCACACAUAAUAAGCAGGACAGGAUACAUCUCAGAGAAGAAAAAAGUUGUAUGAAAGUAGAAUCCCAACUGCACCAUUCCUUUUCACUUUCUAGUAGGAAUUCAUGUUUAUUUCUUGUAAACCUUGGCCAUCUUACUAAUCAGAAUGCUGACCUCUACACACAGGUUUCUACUCUCACAACUUGCCUUUAACUUUUCUUCCAGUGUUUAGUUCAGAAAAUCAUCCCCCUCCAGUUAUCAGGUAUCAAAUAGACAGUGCAUGACAACACAACAUCAAGUACCAAUUUAUGCCUGUGAAGGGAGCAAAUCUCUAAUCUCUAAUUCCUUCUAACAGGACCUAGGCAAAGGAAAACGUUUGAGCAAGACUUGUAAGGAGGAUAAGCUGGAUACUUCUAGCAUUUGCUUCUUGUCAUAUAUGGGUAGACUAUAAGGAACAUCAAGAUUCCCUCGCUUGAAGUUAAACUCAACUCAAAGGAUAUUCCAACAUUCACUUUUUAACAGCAAAGUGUGAGAAACAAAAGCAGAAUAAUACAUCACAAGAAUUUCUUUAAGAUCUCAUAUCAUAAUAGAAAACAUUUUACCUUGGAUGAGGAUUCCCCUUGACCAUCUUUUGCCCAUACUUCCGCCACCUGUAGCCAUCUGCUGAGAUUCCCACAUCACUAGCAGCAUGGACCACAAUUUUUGGUUUCUUUCCAGGUUUUAAAAGAGGAGCAGAGCAGCUAGCAACAGUUUUCUUCAAUCUGGUAAUCCAAAGAGUUAAUAUAUAUUAGUAUGUAUUAAUUAUCAGCUUAGAGAGAAACUAACUAGAUGUAAUCAGUAAUAGACAGAUAUUUGCUUAUGUUGAAUUACCUUUUGCUUGGUUCAGGUUCAUCUUCUCGCUCCUGCUUAAUAUUAGUUUCAGCAUUAUCAUCUGAAUCACUGGAAUCCUUUUGUAUUGGAUCUGGUACACUAACUUUUUCCUGUACAGAGUCUUUUGAAGAAGUGGAAGGAGCUGAAUCAGCUGUAGCUCCAAUUGGAGCAACCGAAGAGUCACUCCCAUUUGCAGGGGCAAUUGACAAUGAAUGCCUGCUUCCCCUUGUGCAAUUUACUUUUUGAGGAGGAUCAUGAUUGUGAUGACUUCUAUAAACAAUUUCCAUAACACGAUUAGAAUCAUCAGAACAUUCAAUUUUCUUAGCACAGCACUCAGAGUACGUGCAUCUAUAAUAACUCCGAGAGCCUUGAGGACUCUUAACUUGCUUUUGACCAUACUUCCGCCAGUUGUAGCCAUCAGGGGAAGGUGUUUUUUGAAUGGACACAACAGAUAAAGUUUUUGGGUCAAAUGAAUUCUUUUUGUCUGCCUCUGAUGUGUGUGAGGUGUUUCUGUUAUCUCCAGGUGACAUUUUUUGUUCUGGAAGAGUAGGACUUGGAACGGAUGAAAUCGGCUGAGUAACAGAAGUUGGAGAUGGUUCUGAUGAACGUGGACCAUUAGGUGGCUCUUGCUGAUUCUGUGUCUGAUCUGGAACAGCUUGAUCUGCAAUGAUUCUGAAUUCUUCUUGGUAGGACAUGCCAACUUGAUCCUGAAAAAAUUAAAUAAAAAUGAAAUGAGAAUCAAUUACAUACAACAGAAUGCAGGAAGCACCUAAAUCAAAGUUCUUUAGUUCGACAGAGAAAAAUUUAACAUGUAAAUUCCAUCGUGUUCUAAGUAGGAAGAAAGGACAAAAUCCUACUUGCUCCACUUAUAAUAUGCAUGCAGCCACUAAAGAAGUUCUGAAUGUAUGUAAAUGCAGAAAUUUCAAUAGACAGUAAUAAUAACAUGGCAACAGAAAAUGCCAUCAAAAGAUAGCAGUUACACUAAUUCAUAAUUAACAUGUUGAAUUGGCUUGCACAUGUAGUUACAUGUGGUAACCUCGAGUUUUGAGUUGCAUGUUCCUAUAGAUGAGCAUUCUCAGAGUACAUUUAGCUUCUCAUUCGACUUUCAUAGGACAAAUUUUUUGAAAUACCAAAAAAUUAUACAUGCAAGUAUGGGGGGUUCUCUACUAUGAAGCAUGUUGGAAAACUAAGAGCCAGCAAAAGGUAGAUAAAUUGACUUUUGGCCACAUUAUCUGAAUUAUUUCAGCACGUGUUUUGAUAUUUUGCUGGAUAAGGUAAAUUACACUUUGUCCAUCCGUCUUGCAAGGACACAUUUCUUUCUUCAAUUAUUGCAAAAUACACUUUCAAAAUCAAAAGUCAAACUAAAGUAAUUAACUGGUAAUCUUCAUGUAAUACGAAAGAAGUUAGAAAUACAAGACUAAAAUAUCCUCUCAAAUUUCAAGUUUUCACAUAUAAGGAAUGCUAAUGAUGAAAUCACAAUUCCACAUGUAGCUUCAUAUUAUAUGUCCAGCCAAACAGGAAAACAAAACCUACAGUCUGGUGCAUUCAAAGACUAGUGUUGGGAAUUGUCACCACUCUUAAGGGACUUGAAAUAGAGCUUUUUUUUAUCUCAAUUCUUUGAUUCUCUUUCAGAAUUUCAAGUUAUUUUCUUCCAUUAUGCGGUUUUAAUACAUAGGCUACAAAUUCAAGCCUCAGAUAUGAUAACUUCAUGAAUUCUACAAAUGUCUUUAAUAUCUUGCUUUGCACCACUCCUCUUCUUAUGCUUGUCCAUAUAUUUUUUUCCCAAGCUUCUACACUUAAUUACCAUAGCUGAUGUGGAUCUUAACUUCAGUGUCAAUGAAAAUCAUGCAAAACCAAGAAAAUCUUGUUAUUUAGUUGAAGCUUGAAUACAACAAGAUCACUAAUUUUAAAAAGACCUUCUAGCAAAGUUAUGAUCACUAGAACUCUAAUUUCCAGGUCCUUAAUUUUUUGCUCUAACUCAACUAGUAGAAGCAAAACUUCUUUUUUGGCAGAUCUGAUCUCGUAGCUAAGAAGAUCAGAUGAAUUGAGGGCCUGAACAAAUACUCAAUUCCAAAAACCAAAGCCCUAAAAACUAAAAAAAGGUCGGGGCAGAUCAUUUGACAGCCAAGCUAGUACCAGAACCCAAAUAAUUCAGCUAGUACCAACAAUAAGACAACGAGAAUGACAAUUAAUCAAGGACAAAUUAUCCAAAAUCAACGAGAAUGACACAGGUGCAAACUCCAACAAGGACAGAAAUUAUCCAAAAAAAUUUCACGAACAUCCAAUUAAUCAUGAAACAUAUUACUAGUAAAUUUAAAAUCAAAAGUAACUAAAACAAAGGUUUAUUCUAACCUUCAAUUCCUCGGCCGGCUCCAACCGUUGCAUUUCAUUGUCCACCGCCACCUCUGUUUUACAACUCACUAAACUUAAUAUUUUUUCCGCACAAUUUCAAACCACUAACCUUACAACAUGCAGACACUCAUGGCACACACAUCACACUUAAAAACAGGAAACAGGAAAUUAGCAUUAAAGAAUGACCGGAAGAAAAAAGGGAAAAAGAAAAACUCUCACUCACACACACACAAUAUACACAAACCGCACAGAAACAAACGGUAGAUUAGACAGGAAAAAAAAAUGUAAUGUUCGAGGAGAAAAAACGGAGGGAGAGUUAAGCACCGAAUUUGCAGUGGAGAUCACUCGAGGCGGCGGUAGCUAGGGUUUCGGGAGUAGACGAAGCUCUGUUAUUACUCAUCUGAGCUACUACUACUGGAAUUGAACUGUUGUCAACAGUUUUAGAAUUCACUUGCUCAUAACCAUCACCACCGCCACCUCGAGAAUUUUCGUCAAAUUCUUCCCUGGACUUUGAAUUCUGAGCUGCUGCUUCAUCUUCUUCUUCGCAGCUCGGGCUUUUGUUGCUACUAUUAUUAUCAGAAUUGAAAUUUUUGGCGUCCAUGGCGCCCGAGUGCAGCAGCUGCAGCACACAGUUAGUGCGUGUAAUAUAGAGAGAGAAAGGAAAGGUAAUAAAAUUUCUUUUUUGGAACGUUAUUUUAAUUUUUGCAUCUAACCGCAUAGUUUUGGUUUAGCGGUCGUGGUUAGCAAUUCGGGUACAAACAUGGGUUCUGAUUAGUAUUGUUGUGGGGGCGCGCCCAUUGUCGUGCUAUAGUAACAUUAUUGUCCUUUAAAACAAAGUAAAAAUGUGUAAUCAAGAAAAAAUAUUGCUAAAUUUAGGAGACAAAUAAAGUAAAAAUAGAAAAGGGCAAAUUCCAAUAGUUGAAAAUGAAAAGGAUCAUAGAUGGCUGAAAAUAACUAAGUUGGUUUAAAAUUUUGGUCCUUAAAAUUAAUCUUUAAAAAGUUUUAAUAAAACUAAAUUGUGCACGCAAUAUAUUUAGUUAAACUGUUAAGUCAAAUAAGACACAUUUAGAUGCUCUCUAAAAUAGAAUCUUUCCUUACCUCUAUUAAGAGAUAGUCAAAUUUUGUCUAUUAUAUCUUUUUGUCGUGUUAUCACUUAUCACUCAAUUGGAACAGAAUUAUUUUGCAAUAUUCGAAAAUUUAUGAUGAAUAAUAAAUUAUUACGAAAGUACACUGCUAAUUGCAGAUAUUAACGUUGUUUCAAUAUAUGAAGCCUCAUGGAUUCAAGUAGGAUUUACUCUAAAAGUUGCAACUGAUUCAAUUGAAACUUGAAUUAGUAAUAUUGUCAUUUUCCUUUUUAGGAGAGACUUUGCGAGUAGAAAUGUGCAAUACAAAGGCAUGAGGGUACAAUAGUCAUUCGAGAGGGAAGAAAGAGGAUGAGUGGACCGGAGCGGCCAGAAAUGAGAAUAGUAACCGGUGUUAACUGUUAAAGGCCUAAUAUAAAAAUGAACCGGACAAAAGAUCCGAGGAAGGGGAAUUAAUGAAGUGUGUUGUUGACUGGUGUUGACUCAGGUGCUUUCUGUAUUACUUAUGCCGGCAUCUUCUAAACGGGCGUUAGAUUCUCCGUUAGGCGUUAGAUUGGUGGGUGGCUCAAUCAGGACUAUCUAUGACCGGCGCGUUGACGUUUUCGUUCUACUAGCACCUGAAAAAUUCACGAUUUCAUCAAAUUCGUCUCUUCACAUUUUUUUCCUUUUUGUUUUUACAAACUAAAUUCAUUUUCUUUUCUAAAUAUGACUAAUCUAAAUAUCUGAAAUAUAUAUCACAUGAGUUUAUAUUAUAUCUUCCAGUAAUUAAAUUAAUGAUAUUAUAAACAAGUACUGCAUCCUAGACUUACCGAUCUUUUUAUUAUAUUUUUGUGGAGUAAAUAAAAAUAGAAGAGCAUGUACUAACUUUGGUAAUAUUAGGUCUGAAUGCAUGAUAUAUGAUAUGUGUUCAAAUUUAUUUAUUUAUUUUUACAUGUCUUAUGUGUCUACAUUUGUUUGUGUGAAAAAAAAAAUUGCACUGAUUGAUAUAGGAAAAAAUAAUUUAAAAACAUUCCAACAAACUAUCAUUUCAAGUAGUCAGGAAGGAUUUUUAGAACUUUUCCUAUUAUCAGAUCAACAAUUUGGAUCUUGGCGACCAUUAAGACAAUUGGAAUGAAAUUUGCUCUCUUUUUUCUAUUUAUUGUAUCUAAAAUUAGUUUAUCAUAAUUUAUAGAAAAUUCAGUUAGAGUAUUUUGAGGUGGAGAAGCAAACUCGGCGGUUAAUACUCAUAAAAGGGUUCAUUAACGUGCUGGAUAAACAAGAAGUCAAGUGAAGUUCUCCAUCCCCUCCGGCAAAAAGAGAAAACUUGCAAGGGAAUUUUUUUUCCAUUUAAGCAAAAAAUCUAAAAUUUUAACUACAAUUUGUCCAUUUCUUCAUUCUACAAAACAAACGAGAUGUCUAAAACGCGUAAGAAAUCCCUCUUGGAUCAACUUGAAGAAAUUGAUUAAUUAGUUCUAACUACCAUCUUGAAAGUUUAAGCAGCAAAAAUUUUGUUUUACUAUUUAUUUUAUCUUCUGUUGUCAUAGUCCUUGUAGAGAUGUAUACUCGAGCUCGACUCGACCUAUAUGUAACUAGACUCGAGUUCGAUCGAGCCUAAAAAUCGCAACUCGAGGCUUGAUUUGAGGAAAUUCUUUUAAACUCGAGACUCGACUCGAUAAGGCUUUGAUCAAGCCUUAUCAAGUCGAGUCUAAUUAAGCUUUUUGACUCAACUCGAAAAAUGUAUACUUAUAAAUUCAGUAUAAAUUAUACUCAUAAUGAUCAUUUUAUAAUUAUAAUACAUAUAUAUUAUUUAAAUUAUAUAUAUAUUAAUUAAAUAUAUCCGGCUCGACGAGUAGCUCGUCGAGCCACAAACCGCAAAUUCCUGACUCGAACUCGACUCGAAAAUAUAUUCGAGUAGCUCGAGACUCGGAUUGAACUCGAUUUGACCGAGUUCAAGUCAAGUCGUUGAUCGAGCUACUCAAUAGUGGCUCGGCUCGCUUGCAUCCCUAGUCCAUCGUCAUAAAUUUCUGAUACAUGUUCAACAAUUUAAUGUUAAUUAAUAAAGGGAUUCGUACAAUGUAAGUAGGAUGGUGAUCUGAUGCUUUAGGUUCCGUUAUAGAAAAAGACUCAGGUCAGUUGGUUCCAAAAUAAACAUUAUUGGGUCAAAUUCCAUUAAUGCACCAAUUAUUAACUUAUUAUCUCACAAAUGGAUUUAGUGUUAACACUUUGGUUAAAGACAAACUAAUAGUCGUCUUGAUACAUAGAACAUUACAUCACAACAUCAAAGCAUCACAAAAAAAUAUCAAAUUUCUUCUACAAUAUGUCUCGGCUCGGGUGUAAUCACUUCGCAUGUACUACAUUUUUAUUUUCAAUGAUUAUACAACAAGUAUAUAUAUUUUGUUGGUUUGUCUAACGGGUGUAUCGUUAAAAUAUAAUUCAGGUGUUAUGUUCUUAAAAAUAUAAUAUUAAUUAAAAAAAAGUAAAUAAAUAUAAGAGAGAGUAGGUAAGAUUAAAUAGAGAAAGUAUAUAACUGCAAGAAAAGACAAUAAUUAUUAAUAUAUGUGUGUGUGUCUAUAUAUAUAUAUAUAUAUAUAUAUAUAUUAUAUGUUAGGUAAAUGUUAGAUAUGUUAAUGGGAGGCUUAGGAACCAGUUAGAAAAACCCAUAUUUUAUAUCAGCCCAAUCUGGCCUUUUUGGACCGCUUUGUCAUCACGUUAUUAAAAUUUAUUUCCUUUGGUUAAGGAAGUUAUUCAUGUCCUUCUUUCUCUUUUAUUUAUCAGUCUUCUGUCCUGAUCUCUUUGAAGUGGUCGAUAAAGCAAUAAUUUAACGUCAAUAUACUAGCACAAAACCAUCACAUUUCACGGUUAAUUAUCAUAUUGGGAAACAAGUUAAGGAAAUACAAACAUAAUCUUAUACUAAAAAUCUACUGUAAAUCAUUACUAUGAUUAUAUUGAAAUAUCAACAUAAUUAUAUAAAAAUCAAUGAUAAACCAAAAUACUAUGCAGUGAUGUGUUUGGAUAUAGAGUUACAAAUGAGCCGAGUGAGUCCAAUUUUUUGUCUAAUUGAGCCAAGUCUCGACUUAAUUUUACCAAACUCGAGUUCGAUGAACUCUCAAUGUAAAACUCGAGCUCGAAUUCAAUCUCAAAUUCAAGUCAAGUUGAAUUGAACUCGAAUUCAAUCUUAAAAAAAUAGAAAUAAUUAUUUUUAUUUUUUUUAACAAAUAAAAUAGUAAAUUUUUUAAUAAAUAAUAAAACAUAGGGAUACAUAUACGUAAUUUUGUUAUUAAGAUAAAAAAUAAAUAAAAAAAUAUAUAUAUAUGAUUGAGUUGGCUCACGAACUAACGAAUUGAAUAUCUUUGAGUUUGAACUUAAUUUGAUCAACUUGAACUCGAAUUAAGUUUUGACUCGAACUUCUCGUGAUCGGCUUAUGAGUACGAGUGGUUCAACUCGCAUAUAGCUCUAUUUGGAUAUAAGUUUAUUUGGAAAAAAAAAAUUGAAAUAAUAACGAAAGUAAGAAUUUUCUAAUCUUUUAUAGCUAUAAGUAGCACAUAAGGUUGAGGUCAUGAAUGGUGCAUGAGAUGGUUCAGCUUUUUUUUUUAUGGAAACGUUAGAAAUAUGUUUGUUUGGAUUGUAAGUUAUUUGGGAUAUUUCUACUGUAGCACUUUUUGUGAUGUGAUGUAUGUGAGAUAAAAAGGUAAUUGGAAAGAUAAAAAGGUGUAUUGGAAAUUGUAAUGAUGAUGUAAAUAAAUAAAAUUGGGUAUAAAAAACAAACUAUACAACUUGAUCAAAGACCCAUAUUGAGCUUUACAAGAGUGUCCUUAGACGCUGAGAAUUCCUUAUCUUGUACUAACUUAGCAGCAUAAGCACUGAUCCUUCUACUUAUCAUAUUACAUUGGUGGUCUAUCAAGCUAAAUGAGCAUUUCAUAAGCAAAGAUCUUAGCAUUUGAAUGUCUUCCAGAUGAGCAAAAAGUAUUAUGUCUUGUGCUUUGUUCGUCCUCAAACAACGUAUCAACUGAGGUGAUGAAACUUGCACAUUCAUUUCUUCUUGCCAGAGCUUCUCCCUAGCCUUGCACAGUGUUUGUUUGAUCGCUGCAGCAUGAGAUGGUUCAGUUGGUCAAGCAAAAUCUUCGUGAAAUGUGUGCUAUUUGUUGGAACUUUUCCCGGCAGGGAAUGGCGCAGUCUGCGGGAAGUGAACCGGUCUACAUCGUUCAUCCUUCUUUGGGUUAAUUCCUUAUAACCCCUUGUACUUUUUCCUGUACCCAGUCGGCCCCUAUUGACUUGAAUUGCAUCAUUGUUCUCCUCAUAAUUGUUUUGGUGCCUUAACCUGUAAUUGAGUUUUGAAACUUUAAUAAAACUGUGUCUAAUUAAUUUAUCAACCUAAUUCCGAUGAUAAGGGGGGCUGGGUUAGGUGGUUUGAGAGAAAAAGAAUAUGAGUGAAAAAUCUCAAAUUUUAACCCUUUUAUUUACACUUAAAAAAUAAAAUAAAAUAAAAUAACCUAGUUCCGAUGAUAAAUUAUACUGGCCCGAGUAGGUCACAUGCAUGGCUUAUGACUUAUGAGAGGCCCAGUUGUCAACGUGGAAAGAAAUGCUUGCUUUUCACAAUUAUGCUGACCAAACAAAGUACCUAAAGAAAUAAAAUAUCCCAAGUUUCUUCACCUCUUUUGAUUAAACAAAUAAAAUAAGACCAUCUUAAUCUCACUUAAUACUUAACCUAAAAGUUAAUUCUCUAGGAUGCAAAGAUUUUUUUUUUUUUGGAAGUGAUAUAGAUCUACAUCACUUGUACAGAUGUACUAAAAAUCUUAUUCCUAGUUUGGAUUCCUUGUUUUUGUCUCUGUUUUUGAAAAACUGUUUUUCACAUUCCAAAUGCUACAGUAAAUGUGUAUUUCAAAAACAAUUCCAAAAACACCCAUAUCCAAACAUUAUAUCAAAAACAACUCCAAAUAUACAUAAUAUGUAUAUUUCAAUUAUGUAUAUUAUAUAUAUUAUAUUAAUAUAAAUUGAAAUAUACAAAUUGAAAAUUAUAUAUUUAUAUAUUAUACAUUUAUAUAUUUAUAUAUUAUAUAAAUAUUUAUAUACAUUAAUAUUAUACAUAAUAUUGUAUAUUAUACAUAAUAUAAUAUACAUAAUAUGUAAUAUUGUAUACAUAAAUGUAUAAAUAUUUAUACAUAAUAUAUUACGUACAUUAUAUUAUAAUAUAUACAUUAUUAAUGUACUUUCAUUAUUAUGUACAUUAUUGUGUAUAAUAAUUUAUAAUAAUAUUAUGUAUAAUAUAUAAUAUACAUAAUAUGUAAUAAGGUAUAAAUGUAUAUUAUGUAUAAUAUAUUAUAUUAUGUAUAUUGUAUUAUAUAUAUACAAUAUUAUGUAUAUUAUACAAAUUAAAAAUUUUAUAUUAUAUAUUACAUAAAUGUUUAUAUAAUGAAAUAUACAAUAAAUAUUACAAAUUGAAAUAUUAUAUAAACACCAUAUUUAUAAUAUUAUAAUAUUUAUAAUUAAUAUUAAUGUAUAUUAUAUAUAUUAAAUAUUUAUAUAUUAUUUAUUUAUUUAUUCAUAUUACAAAUAUUUUAUUUUAUUUAAAAUAUAUUUUUAUAUAUUUAUAAUAUAUUUAUAUAAAUAUUAUAUAUUAUAUAAAUUAUAUAUUAUAUAUUAUAUAUUAUACAUUUAUAUAAAUGUACAUUUAUACAUAAUAUAUAUAUUUAUGUAUAUUUAUAAUAUACAUUUAUAUUAUGUAUUAUAUAUAAUAUAAUACAUUUAUAUUAAUAUACAUAAUAUUAAUAUAUAUUUAUAAUAUAUUAAUUUAUACAUUUAUAAUAAUAUACACAUACAUUUCUAAAUAUAUUUAUAUUAUGUAUUAUAUAUAAUAUAAUACAUUUAUAAUACAUUUAUAUAUUUUUAUAUAAAUAUAUUUAUUUAUAAAUAUUUAUUAAUGUAUUAUAAAUGCAUAAAUGUGACAGCCCCACCUUCCCCUAAGGCGGACCAAAGGGGUUAGCGGACUGCCUGCCCAACUCUCGCCAAGACUAUUAGGACAAAAUUAACACAAUCUAAACAUUCCAAAGUGUAACACUGCACUUAACGAUUCUACCACCAUAGGGAAAGAACAAUUCCAAGCCAAAACAACACAUGAACAUUACUAAAUACUUCAAUAUACACAAGGUUACAACUUUACAGAUCAAAAGAAAAUGUUCGAUCAAGAUACAUUUAAGGUUUUUGACCCAUUGAGGAGCUAUAUAAAAGAAUAUUUAAACUAACUCAACUCAUACUUUAAAGUUUCAUAACCUUCAAAAGAUACUCCCUGUAAGGAAAACAAAGUCAACAAGGUGAGCUUUCGCCCAAUAAGGUACCAUCACGCAAGUAAACAAAAUUCACAUAAGACAAAGUUGCUCAAUCCAAAUACGUUCAAUAAAUGAAUCAACUAGCACCACAUUUCAAUAAAGAUUUCUAAAAAGAUACGGUCGGCUCUCAAGAGUCCUUUUCCUCGCUUGCCGUACUUGAUCUCGCCCCAUUGACCCUCCGUCAACGUUUAAGGAGUAACCAAUACCGUAAACUCCACUUUCUCCAAUUACUUCUACCUCACAUACCCCUACCAGACCCGAACUCCAACCAGUUCAGUAAUGGUAAUACUCGAGUAUACCGGAAUCAAGAGUCUCGUACCCAUCGAUUCCUUAGAAACAGUCCCCUAUGGCUUAUCAAUUUUCUCGACCAAACCCUUACUGACUCGAUUCAAUUGACCACCAAUGGGGUUGAACUCAGAAUCAACAGUAUAAGUCGUUGGAUACACGUCCAAACGACACCAAUUCAAGUAUAAUCAAUACAAUUCAAGUGAUACAGUAAACAGUCAAUUAGGCCAUAGAGUAUGAGAGUGAUAAAGUACACCCUCAUCUCAACCAGUAUCAUCAGUAAACACAAACAUUCCAAUCAUAAAUCUCAAGUAUAACAAAGCCAAGAAGUAUCAAUCAUGUGAGUAGUACACUCACCAAUCAAACAAAAGGAAUUUCACAAAUUUCCGUCCAAUGAGCGCCUUGGGUCACCGGCACGCCUUAAAACAUUCAAGUAAACACAAUGAGAUUCGAAUACGAAUCAUAAACCGAAUCCACAUACUACGAGAGCAAGACCAAAUAGAACGUAUAAGUGCAAAAUCAAACUAGGGAGAGUUCGGAAAUAAAGUUUAAGCCCUAAAUCCAAAAUGCAGAUUUGACGUUAUUUAGCGUAUUGGACACAACCGGACCUACGAUUAUCGGAUUGGGGUGAAAUUUAUACCAUUUCGAAAUUAAGAUAAAGGGAUACAAUUUUUAUGAGGAUUACUCAGUCCAGUUCGAUGCGUAGCUAGGUCAAAAUUUCAACGUACUAAACCAGAAUCGCACAAACAGGUCAACUAACCGCAUUCUGGUUAAACGACCAUAACUCAGGCUACCAAAAUCCAAUUAAGGUGUUUCCAGGGCCGUUAGAAAGCUAAGACACAGCACUACAACUUUUGUGUUUUGACCAAAAUCUAAUUUAGUACACAUCAGAGUGAACGGUCGCGGUCAGAUUGGGUGAACUGUCAAUACUGUCACCAAACUCUUACCUAUGGCAGUCUGGGUAUUUCAGUCUUUUCACAAGCUACCGAACUCGGAUUGAGCUGAAAUUUUACAGGCAACUAUAAAACAUUAUUUCCUACAACUUUCAUGUUUUAACCUAAGGCUAAUUUAGCCUUCAUCCUAUCCAAACAGUACCAGGCAGAACAGGGUUGGUUGAAACCCUAAUCUGGAAUUUUUGCUUCAAACCAAUGAUUCUACACAACUAAUCAUUUCCAACAUAUACCAACUCUAUUUUUCACUAUAAUAAACCAUCAAUCCAUGAUUAACCAACACUAAACAUAUAAAAUCAGAAAAAUCAUGAAUAAUUAUAAAAAUUCACCAAUCUCUACCAAAAGUCACAAAAUCUUACACAAAACCAACUGUAUGACUAACACAAGUAAUUAAUUUCACAUUAUCAAAACCAAAGAAGGAAUUCCUUAACUACUCACCUUGCAAUCUCAAGAAAAGAGCCAACUUAGUACCACUUUCUUCCAAACCACUUCAGUAACAACCUUACUACAACUAAACUAAGAGGUUUUAUGGAGAAAUUUCAAGUUUAAUCGGUUGGAUUGCAAGCUUAAGGAAGAUUGAGAGUAAAAGAGUUGAAGGUUUCUUUUCUUUUCUUUCUAGAGAGAGCCGGCCAAAGAUUUUUGGGUAAAUUUUGAUAUAUGGUAAAGGUAAAGUUAAAUGGUCAAAGUCCAAGAUUGAAUAGGAUGGUGACACUUGUCACCUUUUAAACUUAAACUUAUCCUCUUGUCUCUCAAAUAUUAAUCCAUCUAGGUAACCUCUAAUUAUCUCUUAGCACCUAGUAAAUUACUCUCGGUAUACAAAACUUAACCUAAUUGGCCGAAUUUUACCGCACUUACUGCACUAACGGGUCCCACAUCCGGUAUACAUUCUUAAUUUCUCAAAAACUAACUGCUACUAGAAAAAUAAUUUAAAAACUAUAUUUACUCAUAAAAAUUAUCUAGAAAAUGUUUCUAAUAAAGAAAAUGUAGAAAAGCGUGCAAUUAAAUAAAAUAAAGCCUAAAAAGUAAAAAAAAAAAAUUUCGGGUCUCACAAUAAAUAUAUAUUUAUAUAAAAAUAUAAAAAUUAUUUAUUAUAAUUUAUACAUUUAUAUAAUAUUCAUUUAUAAUUUAUACAUUUAUAAUAAUAUACAUUUAUAUAUUUAUAAAUAUAUUUAUAUUAUGUAUUAUAUGUAAUAUAAUACAUUUAUAAUAUAUUUUUAUAUUUUUAUAUAAAUAUAUAAAUAUAUUUAUUUAUAAAUAUUUAUAAAUGUAUUAUAAAUGCAUAAAUGUAUAUAAAUAUAAAAUUAUAAAAAUUAUAAAUUAUAAAAUAUUCAAAAAUAUGUUUUAAAAAUACCUCUAAAGAUAAUCCAAAAAACAUCUACAGUAAAAAUUUUUCAUAUAGUUUUUGAAAAACAACUAAUCCAAACGAACUUGUAUUUCAAAAACGAAAUGCUACAGUGUUGUUUUUUAAAAACAAAAAAACAACUCCAAUAACAGCUAAUUCAAACAGACCCUUAGUGUGUCAAAGAAAAAUUGUUACGUUUUCCGUGGAUACAUUUUUUAAUGACAUUUUUAUUUCAUAUAUAUCAAAUCGCUACAGUAAUUUUUCUAUAAAAAACCCAGAAAAAUACAAUUCAAACAAAUGGAAAUUAGCUGUAUUUCUUUAAACAACUUGAAUCUUUUUAUAUCUUUAGAUUUAUGUCCCAUACGUUAUAAUAAGCACAUUUUUGGCGUUGUCAACUUAUAAAGGAUCAAUCCUCAAAACUAAAUUUUCUUAACUAGAUUUAAAGACUAUAUGCAAUAAAAUGAAAAUUCCAUUCACUAAGAACGAUGGUAAGAGAAGUUUUCUGUAUCCUAACUUUAUCAAAUUGACGAUUACAAACCAACGCGAAGCGCCAAAACAACCAAUUAAUUGGGAAGUUGAGAAUUUUCUUUCUCUAUUUUUUUAAAAAAAAUUUUGGGUAAAGAAAAGCUUAGAAGGAAAAGAAAGUUACUCCAUUCUAAGGCCAGUAGGGUUCCAAACGAAUCAAAUUGAAACUUUUAAUUUGUCAGAUUCAAUUCAAACUUUUGGGUUCGAGUUUGUGUACGAGAUUAAAAAUUAAGAUUGAGUUGGAUUGAAUCUAAUACUCGAUAAGCUCCGAUUCCAGAACUCAAAAUUAUAUUUUAAUUUCUAAAAUUACUUUACCAAUAAUAUAUAUAAUGAAAUCCAAUAAUAAAUGUAUAAUCUUAUAUAAAAUAUUAAAUUUAUUUUAGCAUUAUUAAGCCUUAAGGAGUCGAAUCUAUACAAAUUUUGAAUUCGAUUCAACAUUUCAAUCGAAUUUUACUUUUUAUUCGAAUUUGAGGUCGAACUUCUCAAAUUCGAAGGCAAAGUAUUUUUUAAAAGAGAAAAUGACAUGUUUCCUCCUUCAUAUUUCGCAAAAAAUAUUCUUUGCAUUUCUCACUUUUAAAACGAAGCAAAUUUGUCCAUGACAUUUAAAAUUUGAAACUAUUACAUUCCUGAACCCAACUUUCAAUCUGAAUCAAACCAUCUAAUAACUCAGUAAUAAAUUUCAAAGAUAAAAUUGAUAAAUCACUCGAUCAACUUGAUCACAUUGACAUUACAUUUAUUGAACUAAAAAAGGAAAAAAUUGAAAAAUUAUAACAUAAAAGGCCAUUUUUUUCUUAGAAUAGUAGGGUUUCUUUUUUGGAUAAAUCUUUUUAUACACCAUUAAUAUAUACACUUGUGAGUCUAAGUGUAUACCAUACAUACAAAGUUUGGUAUUUAAAUUAAAAUUAAAAAGAUGUAACAUGUAUUUAGACCUGUCAGUGUAUAUAAUGAUAAUGCAAGAAAGAUUGAUCCUUCUUUUUUAUGUUAUAAUUUUUUAUUUUUCCUUUUUGGAUUAAUUAAAUGUCACAUGAAUAUCAAGUUGAAUUAACCAAGUGAUCUUCCAAUUAUACUCCUGAAAUUUGUAAUUGGAUUGUUAGGUGAUUCAAUUCAUAUUGAAAGUUGAUUUCAGAAUGCAAUAGGUUCAAUUUUUAAAUAUUAAAAAUGAAUUUAUUUCGUUUUAAAAGUGAGGAAUUAAAAAAAAUAUUUUUUUUUGUAAAAUGUGAGGGUUGAAUCUGGUUAUUUGCCCUUUUUAAAAGCUGAUUCGUCGACAACCCUUGAUUAGAAUGGGCCACGGACUACUUUUCAGACUCGAGCUUCCCGAAGGCGAGGUUUUACCAUCAUUUGUUGGUUUUGUUAUAAGUUCUCGUGGUACGCCGGGCGCCACAAACGUCAGGUCAACUAGCUCGCAGCGCUUAGACAAUUAUCGCGAAUCAUUGUCCUUGUAAAAUGAUGCCCGGCCCCUCGUUGUUUGUUAAGUCUCGUCCUUUUACAGGGAAACUUCUACUAUUAUGCAUCCUUCCUCUUUCAAAGUAAGAUGUCUUAAGUCGUACCAAAUGAACUAGUUGUAUUAACUGGUAGUCUGGUAUACGCCCGGAGGUCUUGCCCAAAAUUCUCACCUUUUAAUUCUUGAAAAAUACAUUGCAGAAAAGUUGGGUUCAUGCAGCAGCCACUUCUUGUUCCAGGUUAGCUCAAUUCAACGCAUACAAACUUGGUAUUUUAUUGUGAUUGAUACAUGUUAUGUGUUCUUUCCUUGAACAAAAAGUUGAUGAAGGGUGUUUGAGUGUGUAUUUUGUGGUGUAUUGUGUGGAUUCUGGUUUGUCGGUUGUGUUCUAAUGCUCAAUUUACAAAGAUACUUUUAAGGGUUGUAGAAGAUUAUUCAAGAGCUGGAUGUUGACUUAAUCUUGAAAUUAAAAGCUUUUCUCUAGAAACAGAGACACUAUGAUAGUAAUUGGAUUUUGACUUGAUUAUCGUGAAAAGUUGAAACUUUUUCAGAUUGUUGUAUCUUUUAACUUUGACUCAGUUAACUAUUUAGACUUCACUUAAAAAAAAAAAACACCAAUGGGAUUGGGAUCAGUCAGCAUAUUAGGUUUUCAUGGGUUGUAUGGGAGCCUAGGAGGUGGUAUUACAGGCGCUGAUGUUUGUUGAAAUGCAUGUACUUAGCGAGAUGGAAUUAACAUUUGGUGGACAUUGGUUAGCGGAUCAGGCUGUUGUUUCUUAAACCUGAGGGAUAGAAGUCUAAGAUGGUAAACAACGUUUUGAUAACGUAAUUGCCCAUAAAACGCGAAAAUGAAUUGAUUGUUGACUAACGACUCAUGCCUUUUCAUGUUUAGUCAAUUUGUGCCUUUAUUAUGUCUAUCCAAUUUGGAAUUCCACAUACUCUUCUUUAUAGUUUUUGGGCCUCAAUAAUGCAUAAGUGCAAAGCAGAAAAGGAUAAAGCAAGAAAAUAUCGAAUAAAAAGGAGAACUACCAUUUCUUGAAGGUUUGUUCUUCAUUCAGUGGUCAUGAGAGGUAAUUCUGAAAAGGGAGCGGUAAUUAGUCUCUACUGUUUCCUUAAGCUUCCAAAUUCUGUAAUAAGUUACACUAUUUCAUUGUCUCUCAGGUUGCUUGAUUUUACAACUACAACAGGCUCAAUGAUUUUUAAUUGAUUUUUUUUUAUCAUCUGUCAGCUUGAAUACUGUUGCACUCCACUGCCGCACCUCUGCUUACAUGUAAAAGUCAUUCUUGAAAAUCCAGAAAAAUUUGAAUUCCGAUCCUCUCAACCCAAGAAGAGAACUUUAAAGUGCUAUCAGUAGUAUUUGAGGCAAUUUAGCUUUUGUGGCCCUGAAGCAGUGAUUAAGGCAUCAUACUAUGGCUUAUCAUUCUCAGUGAAGAUAAUACUCGGAAUCAUUAUUAAUUUGCCUUCAGUGUUCAAUGUGUGCCAUAAUUUGAUUCCUUUCAUUUCCCUUUUUUCUUAUUGAAUCUGAUCCUGCCCUUGUUUUAACAUGUCGCUUCAUUCUUUAGAAAUAUCUGCUUAUGUGACAUGAUUAUGGGACAUUACUGAUCAAGCAAAUUGAUCCUUUCUAGGGGAAGGAAUGGAAGAGUCGCCUCCAAAAACACUGCCAAAAUCCUUAAGGGACAGAAUUUCUGCAUACAAAGCCAUGGCUUGGGAAGCAUACAGAAGCAAACCGAUCUCACAUUGGAUUCUACUGGUUUUGAGUAGUGCUGCUAUGCUUGUGGCCUUCCCUGCUUCUAGUCUCCUUUCCCGUCUUUAUUUUUCCAAUGGAGGCAAGAGCAAAUGGCUAAUUUCGUGGGUGGCUGUUGCAGGGUGGCCUAUUCCAGCACUAAUCUUAAUUCCUACCUACUUCAUUUUAGGAGUCUAUCCUACUCCUUUAAAUUUAAAACUUGUUGUGUCUUAUAUUGUGCUGGGCUUCUUGACUGGUGCUGACAAUCUUAUGUAUGCAUAUGCCUAUGCCUAUCUGCCUGCAUCAACCGCAUCCCUAUUGGCUUCAACAGUCCUGGUGUUUUCUUCACUCUUCGGGUAUUUGCUUGUGAAAAACAAAAUGAAUGCUUCAAUCAUAAAUGCCAUAGUGAUCAUUACUGCUGGAAUGGUCAUCAUUGCGCUGGAUUCAGAUUCGGACAGGUACGGAUAUAUCACUGAUUCUCAGUACAUUAUGGGAUACGUGUGGGACAUUCUGGGAUCUGCUCUUCAUGGGCUUAUUUUUGCACUGUCGGAGUUGGUUUUCAUAAAACUUCUAGGGAGAAGAUCAUUCCAUGUUGUUUUAGAGCAACAAGUGAUGGUUUCCCUAUUCGGUUUCAUCUUCACUACAAUUGGUUGCAUUGCGAACAAAGACUUCCCAGCAAUGGCAUCUGAGGCACGAAGAUUCAAGGGUGGUAAAAGUGCUUAUUACUUGGUUCUUACUUGGGGUGUAAUCACUUUUCAGUUGGGGAUUCUGGGAAGCACUGCUAUUUUAUUUCUGGCCUCCACUGUGUUUGCUGGAGUUCUGAACUCAAUAAGAGUGCCACUCACAAGCAUUGCAGCAGUUAUAUUGUUGAAGGACCCCAUGAGCGGCUUCAAGAUUCUGUCUCUGAUUAUUACCUUCUGGGGAUUUGCUUGCUACAUUUACGGGAAUCGUCCUGCCAGUAAAGAACCAUCAUGAUCGAUUGCCAAGUUUUGCACAUAGAUCCGAAUAGUUUGUGCCAAGCAAUUAUAGCAUGAUCCAUUUCCUUGAGAAGAUUCAGCUCUAGGAUUGCCUUACUAGUACUGGGAACUCGUAAUGUAUAAAACUAUACCUUAUAAUCGUUUUUACCAUUGAAACGCCAACGAUGAGCUUCAGUUUCUUAAAAGUAUGCUAAAUUUGGCUUAUAUGCAGUUGCCUCUUAACCCUUUUCAUUCCCAUUCAACAUCAAUGUCUCAAGGAGCUGGUAAUUUUUUUGGAACUUGAACUGCUGCUCAUAGAGCUCGAACAGCUUUAUCUAGCGGAGAUGUCUGGCUGUCUUCAUUUUAAGGUUUGGGGCAAGUGCAAUUGUGACUUUGGUGCUGUUGUUAUACUUUUACACGCACACCAAUUCGACAGACGAAUACAAUUGUUCACGGAAUCUGAAAGAAAUACAAUAACACCAAUCCGACUGUACCAAUGCCAACCAAACCUACCUCAAUCAGCAACUAUUAUAGGAAAUGGUCCAAAUGUACGAGGAGGAAGAAAUAAAGAGGAUCUCCUGAGUGAUUUUGCUGGUUAACGCAUUUCACACUGGCGUUUGCUUGCAUCUGAUCGAUCGCGUUUAGCGGACACGGGAAAUUAUAAAAGAGUGACCGACCCGGAAAGCACGAAGAGAGUUAAAAACGAAACACAGAAGAAAACCCGAGGAAAAUUGCAAUACUAGAAGCUUCACCAAGUGAAUAAAAGCAAGCUACUCGAGCAGGCACCGCACAUCUGCAUCUCCGCAAAUCACAAGAACAAUGACCGGUAACGGACCAUAUCUCAUUUUCUUAUUAUCCUAGUUGAGCUGAGGAGAUGUUAGGCCGAAAGUGGAAUACAAACCAGCCAGAUCUUGGAACAAAACAGAUAUUUCUUGUCAGAGAAUUGGUGGCCGCUGAAGAAAGAGCAGCACGAUAGAGCAGGCACGCAAAAUCUUGAAACUAUAUUAAGGCAAACCAGCAGAUGGUACCAUGUAUAUAGAUAUAAAAGCUAUGAUGAAAGUUGAAGUUUCCACCCUAGAAGGAUCAAGGCAGCCGUUUUGCAUCUUUUAUGUAUGUUACAAGUCCAAGAAAAGUUCAAAUAAAACACUUCCAAGACCAUCUAAACAGUUGUAGUUCUAAAGAGCAUCCAGAGAGUAUAUAGAUUCCCUGUUAAACACAUAGUUGCCUUUGCUACAGCUACUGGGUAUGCUAUAGCACUUAUUAAUUUUUGCCAAUGUCCUU
rnacentral:lncRNA from 1 species